rnacentral:lncRNA from 1 species
AUACAGCUACUUGUCUUGUGUAUUGACUGACUAAUUGUAGUUAGCAUGGCACGUCAGGCAGACCGUCUUGCUAAGAUUGGGCUGGAGGGCUUUGCAGCCAUAGAUGAGGCCAAGAGGCGGCCACCAGUUAUGAAGGUUCCCUAUGCUCAUCCCACAUAUUACUAUGCAAACCAAAUUCCUGCAACAGCAGUUAUCGACAGCAACGAGGCAGCUCGACGCUACAAGGGGAGGGUUUAUAUCGAUUAUCCAAAGGGGAAACCAGUUCCAUUUUAAAGACCCAGUGAUUAAUCACUUUGCUUUCUUGUAUGCAUAAUCUCCUCCACUUGUGUUACCUUUAGUCCUGUACGAUAUUCUCCCUCUGCUAAACGUAGACGAGGAGCUUCUCUUACUUCUUCAAAUAAAAUUUCUGUGAUUUAUAUAUCAUAAUUUUCUAUUUGGCUGGUCAAGUAUGUAUUGUCAUAAUUAUCUUUCUGACUUCCUAAUUAUCACCUGAUUCACCUCUUACUUAGCAUGGAAUUGAAAGAUACACAAGUAAUUUUCUGUUGAAAUGCUUUGAAGCUCUUCAAGCUGUGAUUUCACCGACUUAUUUCGGAACUGUACAGAGCUCAAUGAUGAGCCGUGGGAAGCGUCUCUGAUUAUUGCACUGUAAGCACGAGUGUACGUAUGAAUAUAAACAGCAGAUCUGCUCCGUUAUUGCCAUAUGCUUAAAUAGAUCGCAGGAUCCGCAAACCACAGGUGAUGACAAGCUUCUUAAUAACUAUUAGAAAAUAAUAUAAAUCAUAUCUUGGACCCUCAUCUAACAACUUAAAUUUUUGGGUUGAGAUGGUUUUUUGAUAUGGUAUCAAAGCCUUGAUAACCAAGUAGUCAUAAGUUCAAAUCUCAUCAUUCUUAUUUAUUUAAUAAAAAUUAAGCACAGGGUAAAGUGGGUCUGUGCAAGUUUCAAACCUAAAAGGCUUUCACUCGAGGAGAUGUGUUAAAGAAUAAUAUAAAUCAUAUCUUAAGACCUCACCUAAUAAAUUAAAUUUUUGAAUUAAGAUGGUUCUUUACAAUAACUUCUAUUCUGACUUCAAUAGUGGAUUUAAGGAUAGAAAACCUGUAGGUUUGUGGUCAAGGAGGUUGGCUCUCUUCCUUAUAUUUUUUAUUUCAAACUUUAAUAACAAUACUCAUAUAAAUUUAUUUUUUCUGAAUGAAACUUGUUAAUACAAGAGUGUUAUUUUGAUGAAAAAGAAAAAUCUUAUUUUUAUCCCAUCACACCCCACCUAAGAAAUUAUGUAAUUAGUUAUUUCUAUAAGCUGUUCCAGAGAAUAUAGUCUUAAAUCAUUAUAUUUUACGACUCAUGAUUGUUUUUUUAAUAUAGCUGGGCUAAGAAAGAAAAAUAAACGGAGUUCUAUCUGCAUUUACAAUAGAAUUUUACAAUAGUGAACAAUAUAUCUAGGAAUAUCAGCGAUGAUGACCAUAGAUGGAUCAUGUGUGAAUUCUUAGCAAAUCAUUACUUGUAUAACCAAAAUUUCCUUCACAGCUCUUUUACUAAGCUGAUUGUCGAUGAAAAGUAAAGGAAAAGCAUGAUUCCCAAUCCGAGCUAUGUGAGCAAGUGUAUCUAGUAAAAAUAUCUCAUCUCCCAAGAAAACGAGAUUAGUAAGCCUCCCUUUAAAGCUUUGCUUUGCACACCUUUUCUUGAUCUUUCCCAAUCCUUCAUUAUAAAUGGGACCCAUCAAAAACAUGAGAUGUGCUUUAACCUCCUCCAUAUUUCAUCUUAGCCUAGAAGGAUAAACAAGAAUAUUAUUGCUUCUGAAACAUAACGAUUGCAAGCAUCGCCUUUCGGUGAACUUUUGAUGACAUGAAACUGCCACAAAUUGGGUCCUAUUCCGAGUGAGUUUUCUUUUUCUGCUCUGUUAUCGCAUAUAUACAACUGAAAUCUUUAAGUCCUCUUCAGGGUACCCCUGAAAGAAAAUGGUCUAUCAUGGAAAGUCCUGAGGAAUCUGAGGCAUAUAAUAUGAGAUAUAUAUCGUCCCAAGAUCAUAAAAAUGAUAAAUCUUAAUCUUAUCAGGUGUAGCCAUGAAAUGGGAUCAGAACCUAUUUUCCUAAUUUUAUUAACUAAAGGGAAAGCCACAACCAAGUCUCUGUACUAUAUGAUUGUCCAUUAAUACAGAAUCUAGCACAUCCUUGAGUAGCUAAAGAAAGCUAGAAUAAAGUACCUCUAGCAACAUCUUCACUGUUUAUUUUCUAAUAGUUUUGUUUUGUUAAAUCGCACUUGAAAAUACAGAACCUGUUCUUGAUAUUUCAUGGACAAUAUUUACUCUAGUUGUGCAAGUAACGUAUACACAAAUACCUGUAAUAUUGCAUCAAAAUUCAAACUAACAACAGUAUGUGUAUACUUGUGGAUAUGGAAUCAGCCAGAAGUGGAGAACCCCAUAAAUCUUGAAAACCUCUGUUGAUUGUGAUGGGUCCAAAAAGCAGAAAGCAAGUUACAAGCUGCCUGCUUUCUGCUAAUAUAUAUAAUGCUGCAUAUAUGACCUAUUUUGUACCAAGGCAAACCAUACAGUUUUAAUUGUUCUUUGAGUUAUAGUGUUAAUUUCACAUAUGGCACGUCAGGUAGAUCGUCUCACAAGGAUUGGAAUGGAAGGCUUUGCUCUGAUUGAGAAUAGUUAUGGCUGGCCUGGAAGGUCUGGAAGACUCCCCUCAACUCAGGUACAGCAAAAUCAUCAUCACUAUCAUCAUCAUCAUCAUCAUCGUCAAUACCAAGAUCAGCAAACAUUGGUUUAUCAGGGAACUCAAAUUACCACGGUGAGGAUGCCUGUGAUCAUUAGCAAUGAGGUAGUUCAAUACUAUGGUAACAUGGUGAAGAAGCCUGUUAUUCCUAGCAAUGAGGCAGCUCAAUAUCAAGGGGGUGUGGUGAAAGAGCCUGUUAUCACUAGCGAUGAGGCAGCUCAAUAGGAUGGUAGAAAGAAACGAUUUCGUUUAGAUUAUUAGGUUUCAUGAAUUUACUGAACAUGCUUAAUGUCAUGUAUGAGUAAUCUGAGUCACUUGGUUCUUAAAUCUCCUGGUUUCUUACUCAUAGAUAAAGCAACUUGGUCUGCUAAAGAACCUUGUAAAUUUUAUCUUUAGAGCUCCUGUUGUCACGCAGUUUUCUUAUCUAUAACGUAAUCAGCUUUACUGUAACUCUUUAUGUCUCUCUCUCUCUCUCUAUUUUUGUGUGUGGGUUGUGAUGAUCUUUCUUACUUCUGAUAAGCCAAAUGAUUCUCAAAGCACACCUUGGAAAACAACAGCUAAGGCAAGGCGAAAUGAAAGCUAAAGCUAGGAAUUAAAGAACAAAACAACAUAGAAUAUGAAGGAAAAAAUGAAUAAAAAAACGAAACAACAGAAUUAAAAAAAUAAAAAAUUAAAACAAAAGGAAAUUAGCCAAAAACAAUUGGAAGAAAAUUACUAUGGUAGGAGUUUAUGUUAAAAGAAAGAUAGGUGUUGUAUAAUAUCAAAAAUAGUAAUGCAAAGUCAAAACUCAAUAAGAAGAAGAAGAUUGAGAGAAACGUAUACUUUUAUUAAGUGUUUCUCUCUAAACUCUUUUAGUUAUUCUCUCUGCUUUUAUUCUUUUUAAAAAUGCUAAAUUACAAGUCUUUUAUAGGUAUAAAGUCCUAGAUAAUCAAGGAAUUAAACUAAUACAAGGAAAUUCUAAUAUGAACAAAAAUUGUAUUCUGCCUACUAGCUAAAUCAGUCGACUAGUUCCCAACCAGUGGAUCGGUUCCUCUAUUCUUCAUAAAAACAAGAAAUCGAGUUCAAUUUUCAAAACCCCUUUCUAAACUUGAUUUCUUCAUAACUCGCACAAAUCUCUUAUUUUGGUAAAAACAUCAUAUUCAACUGGUUUUGUGAAAAUAUCUGCAACUUGCUCUUGUGUCUUUACAUACUUGGCUUCAACUUCUUUGUUUGUAAUGCAAUCUCUUAGGUAAUGAAAUCUUGUGUCAAUGUACUUAUUUCUGUCAUGAAAAACUUGAGUUUUAGCUAAGGCAAUAGCUAAUGAGUUGUCCACAUAAAUCUAUGUAGACUUCUCUUAUGGGAUCCGUAAUACUUUCAGUAAUCUUAUUAGCUAUAUGGAAUGACAAACACAUGAUGUAGUAGUUAUAUAUUUAGUUUCACAUGUUGAUAAAGUGACUAUAGAUUGCUUUUUUAAACACCAUGUGAAUGUUGUGUCUUCCAUGUAGAAAACAAAACCAAUAGUGCUCUUUUUAUCAUCCAUAUCUCUAGCUCAAUCACUAUCAUUGCAACCCACAAUAUCAAAGCUAUUAGAAUAUCCAUAAAACAAGCCAAAAUCAACAGUACCUUUGAUAUACCGAAGAACUCACUUCAAAGCUUUGAAGUGUGUCAUAGUUGGUGUAUCCAUAGACCUACUCCCAAGUUCUACUCCAAAAAGAACAUAUGAACAAGUGCAUGUCAAAUAUCUCAAACUCCCAACUAGGCUUUUGAAUGUUGUAGAGUUUAUCUUCUCCUCUUCAUCAUUCUCUAUUAUCUUCACUCCACACUCAACUAGAAUAUUCUUUUUCGCACAAUCUUUCAUCUUGAACUUCUUGAGAAUCUCUUGGCUUACAAAGAUUCCAUCUUCUCCUUGUUUGAUCUCAAUCCCUAAGUAAUAUGUCAUAAGACCAAUGUCUAUCAUUUCAAACGCCUUGAUCAUUGUUUGCUUGAAGUCUUCAAACAUCUUUGGAUUAUUUCCUAUAAAGAUUAAGUCAUCCACAUACAAACAUAUAAUAAGAGUAUCACCACUCUCUUUGAUCUUUACAUAGAUAGCAUAUUCAUAGGAACAUUUAACAAAUGCAUUCUUUAAGAAAAAGCCAUCAAAGUGACUAUAGCAAGCCCUUGGGGUUUGCUUCAAUCCAUAUAAGACUUUGUUCAACUUUAGUACCUUGUCUUUAUGUCCCUUCACUUCAUAACUCAUAAGUUGCUUAAUGUAGACCUUCUUCUCAAGAAAACCAUUAAGAAAGGCUGAUUUGACAUCCAUUUGAUAGAUUCUCCAUCUAUAUUGGGUAGCUUUGGCAACGAUUAAUUGAACGGUCUCCAAUCUAGCAACGAGAGCUAAAACCUCAUCAUAGUCAAUCUCAUACUUUUAGCUUUCGCCUUUUUUCCACUAACCUUUCUUUGUACCUCUCCAUUUCUCCUUCGGCAUUCUUCUUUUCUUUAUAGAUCCACUUGACACCUAUUAGCUUCUUUCCAUUUGGUCUACGAACCAAUUUCUAUGUGUCAUUCUUCUUAAUUGAUGCAAGCUUCUCAUCCAUAGCGAUUCUUCAUUUUUCAUCCUUUAUUACUUCUUCAAACAUUAUAGGAUCACUUGUAGCAAGGUGAUAAUAUAGUGUUACAUCAUCAUCAAUAGGAGUAGUUACCUCAUAUAGCUCAUCAAGGCUCCACAUUCUUUUUGGUGGACUUGAUGGGUUGCCACUACUUGAACUUUCAUUAGAAAAAAAAAAAGAAAAGAGAUAAAGGUAAAGAUGACACCAUUGGUGAUUAUGGAGGUGUAGUUUGUUCUUGAUGAUCUUCAUAUCUCUCCUUCCCUUUAUCAGAACAGACAAGGCUUCAUCUUCUUCUUUCUUCUUCUUUUAUCUUCUCUCACAGGGCCAUUUCUUUUUCUUUCUCUUCUCUUCUCUCUAUCUCUCCUUCUUAGCUAAAAACAAGCAUUCUAUUAUCUUCUCAUCCUCAAGUACGUUGUCUUUUUUCAUUUUCUUUGGGUUUAAUAACAAUCUAUUUUCUUUUGUUUUGUUUUUCUUUUUUUUUUCCUUUUAAUUAUCAGUCGAAAUUAAGCAUACCAUUAAGGUUGGAAUUUUUCAUUCUUUUCUCUUCCCCUUUUUAUGUUUUUUGCAAUAUUUUUGUUUUUUGUCAUUAUUUUUGUUCAAUUUUGUGUUCUUAAUAAUUUUAUGAAUUAAUAAAUGUGUUGAAUUUUAGUUGUUAUUGAAAUAUUGCAUUAUUUUGUUGAAUUUUAGCUAUUUUUUUUUCAAAUUUGUUGUUCAAUUUUAAUUAAAUGUGUAGGAUUAAUUUUAAUUAUUAUUUUGUAUUUAUUCCAUAUAGAAUAAUUUUUUGUAAAUUUAGGAUUAAAAAUAUUAUAACUUAGAAAUAAUUGUGUUGAAUUUUAGUUGUUAUUAUAAUAUUUUUUGCAUUAUUUUGUUGAAUUUUAGUUGUUUUUCUUUUCAAUUUUGUUGUUCAAUUUCAAUUAAAUGUGUAGGAUUAAUUUUAAUUUUUGUAAAUUUGAAAUAUUUUUUUUUAAAUUUAGGAUUAAAAAUAUUAUCAUGUAGAAAAUGAAAAUUUUCUAUGAAAUUUAAUUAUGCUAAAUUGUUAGAAGAAAUUGAAUAAAAAUACCAGGCCUAGUGGAAGAAAUAUGUUGUGUAUUUGUAGGUUUAAAACUUUUGGGUAGUCUUCUGUGUAGGGGAGGUGCUGCCAAUUGUUUUUAAAAAAAAUACGAAUCAUUUAAUUUUUUUUAUUCAUUAAUUUGUGUAGAUGCCUAUAGAAAAGUCUAAUGCACGUCAUGAGGACAAGAUUGCUGCUAGUUCUUCUAGUAGCGAUGCUGACGACCACGAGUCAUUAGGUGCCAAUAAAAAAUAGGAACUUGAGGCACAUGCAUCAACUCACGACGCGGGCUUGUCGAGUGCAAUGUUGCAACGUCGAGGGGGGGUCCCUUCACAAUGGGAUCCAUUUACUUGCAAGUAUGAGGCCUAGUGGAAGGACGACCUUUCAAUGUAAGUUUUGCUUUCGCAAUGACAUGUUUAAUAAAUUUUCAAAAAAUAAUUUCAUUUAAUGAAUGCAAUUUCAGGUUUAUAAAUAUUGAGGCUGCGAGAACAAUAACAUCGAUCUAAAAUCAUCGAUAGAAAUUUCAUUGUUUUAAUGGAGCUAGGUUUCCAAACAUCCUGAAUGGAAACUGCAGCUCAUUGCAUGAUUUUCAAGGUUCAAGGUUGGUAGUAACUUAAAUAUUUUUUUAUGUUAAUUUGGUUAGUUUAUUGAAAUUAUUGAAUUUUUUCUGAGAGAGUUGGAAAAGCAUUACUGCAAAUAUCACUUCUACUAUUAACUCAUCGACGAAAUUACAGAUGGUAUUCUAUCGGUGAUAUGUUAUAUUUAUCGAUGGAUAUACCGAUGCACAAAUAAAAACACUGAUGACAUUGCAUACAGUAUUCCUGUUUGUGAUAUGUUAAAUUUACCAAUGGAGAUACUGACGGAAUAAAACAGAUAAUUUUUUUUUGGCGUGCUUUGUUUGUCUAUAAAUUCAUUGGUAUAUUUAUUACCGAUGGACUCACCAACAAACCAUAAAUUAUUGGCGAGAGUUUUUUCGAUGGACUGUCUCCAUCCGUGAGCCCGUUGACAAUAUACAUACCAAUGGACUGUGAGUGUGAAUACUGACAAAAAUUUCUGUUAGUAAAAUUGUUAAAUCUAGUAGUGAUUGCAUGAUCCACCGCUAGAAGUGAUGAGUACAAGUUAUGACCAUUUUAAGUUGUUGUUUCUGGUCUGACAUGACUAGACCUUCUCUUGGACCUAGACUUGUCCUACUAGUCUAUAAAUAUAUAUGUUAGAACAUCCAUAUAAUCUGUCUAGAGCAGAUACUCAUCUAAUUGUGGCAGACCCACAUAUGAUAGCUCAGAAUCACCUGUUAUUGCAAGCCCAACUACAUCAUUAAUGGUUUCUCAAGGUAAGUCAUGAGGAAUUUGAAGCAUAUAAAAUGAUAUAACUUGUCCCAAUAUCAUAAAAAUGUUAAAAAAAUGUGAGUAUAUGAACCCAUGAAGCGGGAUCAGAAUCUAUUUUCCUAUUGUUAUUAACAAAACGGAAAGCCAUAACUAACUGUUUGUACUAUAAUAUUGGGAGUGAGAGGUACAAUGUCCAGAAUGCUUCUAAGGAUAACCAUAUGUCCAUAUCCAUAAGAUCUCAAUCGAUUGCCCCUUACUACAGAAUCUAGCACAUCCUUAAGUAAAUAAAGAAAGCUAGAAUAAAGUGCCUUCACUGAUUAUUUAGCAUUACUGAGCAGGCCAAGUCUUCACUGCUUAUUUCCUAAUAAUUCCUUAUUGUGGAAUUGCACUUACAAAUAAAGAACUUGUUAUUGAUAUUUUCGUACAGAAUUUCUCUCUCGAUUAGUCGGUCAAUAAUGUAACUUCGUUUAUUCGGAUUUGAGGCCGGCCAUGAGAUGGAGAGGUUGUGUCACAUUAAUUAUGUCAUGUUAUAUGGAAUCAGAUUCACCAUUAUUAAACUAAAGCGUCUCAUCGAUUCUACGAAACUUGUCGAAAGGAAUCAUUUGUUCAAUAAUUGAAUGCGAUUUUUAUCGGGUUCACCUGACGAUCCAACCUCCAUCCACAAAUCCGGAUCGAAUUCCGAAUGGGUCAAAAUAUCGUCCCCGUAUCUCUCCCUCAACCGAUUAUUAUAGGUCUCCUGAAAAUAAAAAAAGUAAUCAUCAUAUUCAAUUCAAUAAACAUAAUAACUUACAAAAUAAAAUGGUUGAACAAACAUACCAUGAAAUGUUGAGCACGGUUAUCAACGAACUGUUGCGCCCCCUUUUGGCGGUCUUGACUCCGCACGUGCGUCUCCACAAACAGCUCCAUCGGGCUUGGCUCACGUCCAAGAGACGUAGCCUAUAAUGAAAAAAGAUUUAUUAACAACUUAAUUUAACGAUAUAUUUCAUUUAAAUUAAUCUUACCAUCCGUUUCGCAUGUGUAGCAAACGGAACGGAGCCGCCAGUGUGCGUUGUUACUGAGCCAUGAAUUGGCCGAUUCCGGUUGCCAACACCGGACUGUGAGCGUCGUGUAAACCGCUCAGACAUCACGUGCUCAAGAUAGUGCGGCCAUAUAUCUUUUGGGAUGUAUAUCGGUUUGAAAUUCCUCCAAACCGUAACAUCGUUCCAGCCUUGGAAACCCCUAUCUCUAGCGGUUUUUUUUGCCCUUUUUUGUGCUUCAUACCAAAAAUCACGCAACCAAAAAUUACAUUUCGAAAGAUAAAUUUUUGUCUAAAAAACAUCUUGUAUUGUUUUCGAUGUUACCUAGUUGCCGCGUGAUUUUCCCACACCCUCCUCGCAACAGUGUUAUGCUCACUGUCCCAGCAGAAUUUGUCCUGUGUAUAAAUAAUUAAUUUUAAAUAAAAAUAAUAAUUUAUUUACAAUUAUAUUAAUAAUUUAUUAGAAAUAAGCUGAAAAUUAUAAAUUAACACCAACCUCAAAUUUGUCAAACCAUGCAUUGAUUUGAGGCAUCCAUUCAGGAUGCUUGGAUAUCUGACUCCAUUGAAACAAUGGAAUCUUCAUCGACGAUUUAAACGCCGAUGAUAUUACUCGGGCAGCCUCAAUGUUUGUGAACCUGAAAAUAAAUGAAAUAAAUUCAAUAGUGAUUACUUCAUAAGUUAUGUUGUAAUUUUUUUUAAAAAAAAAAACUAAAACCUUAACAAACUUACAUUGAAAGGUCGUCCUUCCACUGUGCCUCGUACUUGCGGGUAAAUUGAUUCCGCUGCGAAGGCACGCCGCCUCUGCCCUGUGAAGUAGCGCUGGAAGAGGCAGCAUUGGUUGACGACGCAGGUGGUGUAGGUGCCUCUUCUUGAGAGGCACCUAAGGAAAUAUCAUCCUCGCUGCUAGACGAACUAGUUGCGACCAUACGUGAGCGACCAGCUUUGGUUUUCAUUCUACGCACCUACACAAUUUUAUACAAAUAAUUAUAUAAUUAAAUUCAAAUGUUAAAAAAAAAUUCGACAGCAUCUCCCCUAUACUGGAUACUACCCAAAUCUACAAACCUGCACAUAUUAACAAUAGCCACAACCAAUUGACCCAAUCUAUACUAACUAUUCCAACAUAUUCAAUUACUAAUCCUAAGGUAAUUCAACAUUAAGAAUUACAAUUCAACAAAUUAUUCAAUAAUUAUGCCAAUACAACAAUAAAAUAUAUUCAAUAAAUAAAUAAAAACUCUAGACUAACAAUUAAAAUUAAUGGAAAAAAUUAAACAUAAAUCAUGCAAUAAUAGAGUAAAAUUAACAAUUAUUUCAAAAUAUUCAAUUACUAAUACUAAGGUAAAUUCAACAUUAACAAUUACAAUUCAAAAAAUUAUUCAAUAAUUAUGCCAAUACAACAAAACAAUAAAUUCAAAAAAAACUCUAGACUAACAAUCAAAAUAAAUGGAAAAACUUAAACACAAAUUAACUAAUAAUAAUUAUGCCAACACAACAAUAAAAAAUAUUCAAAAAAUUCAAAAAAAAAACUAUAGACUUUAGGAAUCAAAUAUGCUUACUUUAAUAAUGUGUUGAAUUCAAUACUUUAUCUACAUUACAAAAAAUACACCAAAACAAAAAACAUAACAAAAAAAAAUAGCAAAAAAAAAACCCCUAAAGUAAAAUGAAAUAGAAGACACACAUACCUUUUAAACUGAUGAAGAUUCACAAGAAAACUUGCUAGAGAUGGUAGGUGAAAGCUUUGAAGAAUGGAGAGGAAAAAAAUCGAAAUUUAAGGUGAAAAACGGAGGAGAAGAAAAAAUGAACUGAAGGGGCGGUCGCUGGAACUUAUAUGGCAGUUUUACCGACGGAUUCACCGAGGGAUAUAAAAUUAAUUAUUAUUUUAAUUUAUUCUGUCAGUGAAGUGUCAAAAAUCCGUCGGUAAUUUUUAAAUUUCGCACCAAAAUUUUUAAUGACCCUCCAUAUUUUUCGUGGUCUGUCGGUAAUUUCGUCGGCAAGAUGACGCGGUCAGAGAUGCAUUUAAUGCACAAUCUUUUGGAAUUCGCACAGUCCGUCGGCAAUUUUGUCGGUAAAAUUGACCUGCCGACAACUUACCGACGGACUUAUAUCCGUCGGUAUUGUCGUCAGUGAUUGUGGCAUUUCAAGUAAUUAUUUUCGAACUCUCUGUGAAAUGCCGACGGACUUAUUCUGUUAGUAUGGACGUCGGUGAUUGUGGCAUUUCAAGUAAUUAUUUCAAGUAAUAAAUAUUUCAUGUUACAAAAUAUAUCAUUCAUAAUCUAAAUUACAUGAAAAAAGGGGUUUUACACAGGGCUUCAUUUUGAUAGUUAGUCAGAAUUUUCUUCUUCUUUGUCCUCAAUUGAAUAGUCAUCACCUUUAUCGCAAUCUUCAAUAUGGAUAUCAUCUUCUUCAUCGACAUUUGCUUGUCCGCUAGAGCUCAAAACAGCAUUCAACUCCUCUACGUGAACAUCAACAAGACUAUCAUCGAAAACAUGAAAAUUUGAAUUUUCUUCCAAUUCAAUCGAAUGAGCAACUCAAUAUGGUUCAACCACCUCACUAACUUGAAAGACUUCAUCUCGCACACUUGUGUCUUCGUUCUCAUCCUGAACAACCUCGACACGACCCCGGGGUUUUGUUUUUAAAACGGACAACCAAUCCACUCUUGAUCGAUCCUUUCUAAAUGAAGGGGUGUAUGUGUAAUAAACUUGUUGACAUUGCUUUGCGAAAACAAAGACAUCGUUUUUGUUGCGGAGUCUAGCUUUUGAGUUGAUUUCGACCAGACCAUAGUGCGGAUCAACUCUGAUUCCUCUGUCAGUCGUGUCAUACCAAUAACAUUUGAAUAAAAACACUUUAUUCUACUCGUUAUGAUAUUGCAGUUCGACGACCUCUUCUAAUCUACCAUAGUAGUCAACUUCUAACUCACUACUAGUGGAUCCCUUAACACAAACACCGCUGUUGUAUGUCUUUCUUCCUUGCCCGUAUUCUUCAGUAUGGAAAACAUAUCCAUUGACAAAAUACCCGUUGUAGCACUUACAUUUUCUUUCAGGCCCCAGGCUUAGUGAAGACAAUGACUUAGGCGCACUCCUUCCCAUUUGAUAAACCUUGUAUGUAAUGUACAUCAAUAAAUAGUAAAUGAACGAGAAUCUCAUAAUGACAUGCAUACGUACAGUAAUUUUGCAAGUUAGAAUGAGUUUGUGAUAGUGCUUACAUGUGUUCUAGACCACGUGACAAAGUGUUCAUCUUGUAAUUGAAAGAUCUGGGAUUCGGUCAGCUAUGAGUUAUUGGAGAGCAAAUAUUGUCGAUGUUGCCUGCAAGUGAUAAUGAGUGUAUGAUAUUAUAAUAAAUAAUUAAUAGUAUAUUACUAACAAAGUUUAAUUACUAUACACAUAUAUAUAUAUAAACCUUACUGAAUAAAAGGUCUCAGCUCAUCACAGUUAAAUAUAACAUAUUUGUGUGCUUAUUUGAACUCUAUUUCCGACAAAUAUCUUCCUCUUACGCCAUUUUUAGGUGUGGGUCGUCCAGUGUUAGAGAAUAUUGACAAGUUUCCACUGGAAGGCACUUCACCGCCAUCAUCAUACCGUGGAACGCGAUUGAUUCUCAUUCUUAGAUGAGGUUCGAAAUAGUACGAUAUAAAUGUUGAGAUCUCCUCAACAAUAUAGGCCUCACAUAUCGAAGCCUCAACGUGCGCCUUGUUCUUAACCUUUUUCUUGAGAUUAAACAAGUACCUGCAUUGAAUUAAUCAAGUAUUUUCAAUUAAGAAAAACAUAGAAAAUACUUUUAUAUAUGAAUUACAUUGCAACUGUAAUAUCUAACAGUUCGAAUGGGUACAUCCAUCUAUAUUGGACCGGUCCUCCAGCUUUUGCCUAGAACGGUAGAUGUAUAGGGAGAUGCUCCAUUGAGUCAAAAAAUGAUGGAGGGAAUAUCAUCUCAAGUUUGCAUAGUGUCUCAACGAUAUUCGUUUGAAGCCUCUCAAUGUGCUCAACAUUCAACUUGCUGGAGCAUAUAUCUCUGAAGAAAUGACUGAUCUCCGUAAGUGCAUCUCAUAUUCCCUUUGGCAACAAAUCACGAAAAGCUAAUGGGAUGAGUGUUUGCAUAAACACGUGGCAGUCAUGACUCUUCAUUCCAUACAAUCUGCAGUCCUCUAUAUUAACCAGCCUUGAUAUGUUUGAUGCAUGUCCAUCUAGAAAACGUAGACUCUUAAGCCAUUUAUAGACUAGCAGUUGUGCGUUUUUCUCUAACACGAAGCUUGCUCUUGGUUUUGCGACCUGUGACUCAUCAUAAAACAACUCCAUAUUUUUACGGUUACAGUAUAAAGCUAUAUCCAAUCUAGCCUUGAUGUUGUCCUUUGUCUUCCCCUUCACAUCCAUGACGGUGUUGAAAAUGUUCUCAAACACGUUCUUUUCGAUGUGCAUGACGUCAAGGUUAUUGCGGAGCAUAUUGGUCUUCCAAUAAGCAAGCUCCCAAAAGAUACUUCGCUUUACCCAAUUAUGGGUCAAACCAAAACCAGGAAACUUUUGCUUACCUGAUUGAAGGCCAAACACAAUGUCACCGUACUCUGAUACAACAUCAUGCAAUUCUUCACCAGAAAGACGCGGGGAUGCAACAUCUUUUUCAACUCUGCCAACAAAGAAAUCUUUUCUGUUCUUUCUAUACCUGUGAUUAAGUGGCAAGAAACGACGGUGACAGUAAAAAAAAGAAGCUUUACCUCCGUUUGCUAGCGUGAAUGCCUUGUUGUUUUCCAUGCAGUAUGGACAUGCGAGUUUCUCAUGCGUGCUCCAACCAGAAAGCAUUCUAUAAGCUGGAAAAUCAUUGAUAGUCCACAUCAAAGCAGCCCUCAUAAGGAAAUUUUGUUUCCUCGAUAUAUCAUAAGUCAGAGCUCUGGAGGACCACAACUGCGCCAACUCAUCAAUCAACGAUCGAAGACAAACAUCUAUAUUCCGCCCUGGGCUGCUUGGACCGGGUAUGACAGUAGAUAAAAACAUGAACUCCGGCCUCAUACACAUUCCCGGUGGCAAGUUAUAAACUGUGAGUAUGACCGGCCAACAAGAAUAAGGAGCAGCAAAUGACCCAAAUGGGUUGAAUCCGUCUGUACACAACCGAAGACGCACAUUCCUUGAUUCAGCUGAAAAGUGAGGAUGAAGACUGUUAAAGCAUUUCCAUGCUUCGCCAUCAGAAGGAUGCACCAUCACUCUAUCAACCGCAUUAUGUGCUUGGUGCCAUGUCAUGUGCUCAGCAGUCCUUGGUGACAUGAAUAACCUCUACAGUCUAGGUGUGAUCGGGAAGUAUCUAAGUUUUUUAUAUGCCACUAGAGUCUUUCCCCUGCCAGUUCUCGGUUUGUAACGGGAAUGCCCGCAUGUCAUGCACUCUGUCCUCUCAGCAUUUUCAAGGUAGUAUAACAUGCAGAAGUUAGGGCACAUGUCAAUUUUCUGGUAUCCUAAACCGAGGGGUUUCAUCAUGGACUUCGCAGCAUAGAAGUUCUCUUUCAGCCUGUCCCCUUCAAGUAAAAUUCUUCUCACCCAUUCAAUAAUGUUGUCAUACCCGACCUCACUCAACCCGUGAUCUGACUUGAUGGUGAACACCUGUGCUAGGGCCGAUAAUUUACUGUGGUUCGUGCAGCCAUCCCAUAAUGGUUCAUCAGAAUCUUUCAACAAAUCAAAAAACCUAGCUGCAUCUGCAUUAGGUUCUUCUUCUACGAUUCGACAUUGACUGACAUUACCUUGAUUCAUUCUCAUUGCAUCCAUAACUAUAUUUAUGUAAGGAUUAGUGUUGUCAUUUGCCGCUUCAUGCACGUUGCUAGCACUAGAAGUAGACCCAACCACCGUUUCUCCCAUUCUCCUCUUACUAACAAAUACUUCUCCAUGUGCAUACCAACACUGGUAAUUCUCCAUAAACCCUUUGUGUAGAAGAUGCAUCAUUACAACAUCUGGAUGCAGAUAUUUUUUAUUUUGACACUUCCUGCAUGGACACCUAAUACCGCCUCUAGUAAAAUUUAUCGGAAUAGAUGUUGCGAAAUUAAUAAAACCUUGAACCCCGUUACAAUAAUCAAUCCUCCGCAAUCCUUGGGGUGAAUCUCAAUACAUCCAUGAACGAUCAUCCAUGACUUAUAUCGAACCUCUAUAAAAUUAUGAUGACAUCAUGUAUUAAUUAACUAAGUUAGGUAAAUAAACUUGUAAAAAUAUUACUUUACCUCGAGAUUAUCCAACAAACCAAUCACAACUUCUCAUAAAUAUUAAAUAUUCAUUAUCAUUUAUCAACGUCCAUACAAAUUAAUAUAUAUAAAUUUACAGAAAUUACCACUCUGCAAUACCAUUAAUAAAACUUUAAACAGACCCAUUAAGCAAGCUAUUAAUUAUUUCAAAACAACACAUGUAAUUCAGUAAUUCCAUAAAGUUUUAACAAUUUACAAACAAAUACAAUCUUACAAAAUCUAAAACAAACCAUAACAGGUAUAGAAUUAUACAUUCAUAUACUACAAGUUUGUUUGAGAAAUAACAAUAAAACAUGUACAUCUACUAACAAAAUACAUAUACUAAAAAAACAAUAAAAUUGACAUUUAAAUGUUAAAAUUUAAAAAGAUAGAAUUACUUACAAAAAUUGAUAAAAUCCGUCGGUAAAUCAGAAUAUGGAUGUUGUGACCACAAAACUUUCAAGAAAUAUAACUUGUUGUGCUGAGAUGAGGGAGAUUUUUGUUUGGGGGGGGGAGGGGGGCUGGUUGUUUGCAGAUGGGGAGAGUUGGGAUUAGGAAGAAGAAGGAGAAAUAGGGGAGGAGAGGGUCGGUAGAGAGGGCAUUUAUUAACUUUUUCCGACGGUUUCACCGAUGAAAUUAUCAAUUGAUGAGUCCGCCAGCUAUUCUGACGGAAAAAUCGACACGUCACCGUAUGGAUCUUCCAUUUCGAAUCCCUCGGUGAUUCCGUCGGUAUUUCAAGCAGUGAACCGGUCACGUCACCGUACGGAUCUGCCAUUUCGAAUCCCUCGGUGAUUUCGUCAGCAUUUUAAACGGCGAACCGGUCACGUCACUGUGUGGGGUUGUCGUUUUGAAUCCGUCGGUAAAAAUAACCCCGCCAAAACCUCUACGUUUGCGACCCGCCUUUUUUUUUAAAUUCAAAACGUUUUCCGUCCGUAAUUCAGUCGGUAACUACCGACGGACACUUGUUGUCGGUAGUUACCGACUGAAUUACGGACGGAAAGGUUUUUGUCGGUAAUUUCGACCUCAAAUUACUGACAGAAAUAUUCCGUCGGUAAAUCCGUUGCUAUUGAGUGAAUUUCUAGUUGUGAAAGGGGCGCAUACGUACCACCCAUCUGUGAUCUCAAUCCAUGGCCAUUCUACGGGUUCAUCAUAAUCCGCAUAGAGUCGUUCAUAUUCUUCAAUGAGAUGGGUCGUAUGUUGUUCCAAGGUCGCGAACUCCUGAGACUGGGUGGUCAAUAUCGAUUGCAAGCUCCCAACGGUUGAGACACUACGGGCCACCUACAAGUUGGUCGUGGAGUUGGAGAGUUUGUACACCUGAUUUCUAUCGGGUCCACCAGAUGAUCCUGCCUCCAUCCACAAAUCCAGAUCGAAAUCCAAGUGGGUCGAAGGAUCGUUCCCGUAUCUCUCCCUCAAUCGGCUGUUAUAUGUCUCCUGAAAAUAAAAAAACUGAAAUCAUCAAAUUUAAUUCAAGUAAAUAAUAAUUUACAAAAGAAAAUGGUUGAACGAACAUACCAUAAAGUGUUGAGCGUAGUAGUCAACGAACUGUUGCACCUCUUUUUGGCAGUCUUCACUCUACACGUGCGUCUCCACAAAAAGCUCCAUUGGGCUUGGCUCACGUCCAAGAGCUGUAGUCUGUAAGAAAAAAAUGUUGCAAGUAAAAUAAAUUUAUAAAUAACAACAAAUUAAUUAAAGAUAAAUGUGAUUAAAAUUAAUUUUUUUGUUAUUUUUUAGGCUUUGUUUGGAAAAACAAAACCUAAUUUUUUUGUAAUAAAACUGUCGAAACAAGCAUAAUGGGGUGUUUGCCAAACACACCCUUAAACCAAAAAACCCUUUUAGCAAAAAUAUUGCAAGCUAAACAGGGUCUUAACCCUUUGACCCAUUCUUGACCCAUCUGGGUUGACCUGAUCGAGUUGACCUGACUGGGAUGACCCAAAAUCUUUGGUUUCAACCAUAAAUCGAACCAAAGAUCCUGGUUUGACCCGAAAACAACUCAAAAAGAAAACAAAAGCCAAAAAACAGAUUAAACACCAAAAAACAUGAAAAAACUCGAAAAUAACAAAUCAAAUGCAAAAAAAAAUGAAGAACACGAAUAACAUGAAAAACAUUAAAACUCAAAUUCUAGCAACAUGAAUUCUAAUCUAGACCAUAUUUCAGGAAAUAAAAAGCACAUAAAGGAUGGAAAUCAAUCAUUGAACAAUAAUUAAGCAUCAAGCAUCGAUGAUUAUCAACCAAUAAUCAUGAUUGAGUCAAAAUAGGUUUUGGUUCAAAACCAAAAUCCUAUGAUUAAAACCCCCAUAAAACUUGUUAUUGAUACAAAUGAACUCUAGACUACUAAUUAAUCAAGUCCAAUGAAGUGUUUAAUGCAAUGGACCAAAACUGGUCCAAAACAUAGAUAUAAGCCAAUGUUUUUCCCAAGAACAUAGAACACUGCCUUAGAAAACCCGGCUAUUGUCAAGCCACCAAAACUGGCAUUUUCGACCACUAAAACAUGCUUUCUUCGUUUCAAAAAGUCACACUACCAUAACCAAACAUGUUUGAAUAAAAAAACUAACAAAUAACAUUAAAAUCAUGCAAGAGGUUCCAAACUUCAAAACUACAAACUUAAAAUAGCCUAUAUAUUUAUGCAAUUUGGAUUCAAUUUUUUUUCCUAAACCUUCAAUAAGACCCAACCAAAACCUAGAAACUAAGAACAUGCAUCAGCCAACAUAAAAAAACAUCAUAACCUUGCUACCACAUCUAGUAGAUUUCAAAAGUACUUUAUUUCAUCAAAACUCAUCCAACAAACAUCACCUAAGUAUUCAGAGACAUUAACAAACAACUCAAAUCAAGAUUUAAACAAUAAAACAACUUUUUUAUGUAUUAAUCAAAAUCAAAACUAAAGAACAUCAUAACAGUAAAGCAAGUUUGAAAACAUCAUUAAACAUGUAAAACAAGUGACUCGACUAACUCGGAAGGAAGUUAAGUUUGAAUGGUCAAAAGAGUGUGAAACAAGUUUUCAAGAGUUAAAAUCCAGGCUAACUUCAACCCAGUAUUGGCUUUACCAAAAGGACAUGAGGGAUUUGUUAUGUAUAGGGAUGCUUCCAAUAAGGGUUUGAGUUGUGUAUUUAUGCAGCACGGAAGGGUAAUUGCUUAUGCAUCUAGAUAGUUGAAACCACAUGAGAUAAACUAUCAUGUACAUGAUUUGGAGCUGGCAGCUGUGGUGUUUGCUUUGAGGAUAUGGAGACAUUAUUUGUACGCGAUAUAGGAGAUGGAUGGAGCUAAUCAAAGAUUAUUACAGAUCACAAAAGUUUAAAAUAUUUGAUGUCAUAAAAAGAAUUGAAUAUGUGAUAUAGGAGAUGGAUGGAGCUAAUCAAAGAUUAUAAUUGUAUUAUUGACUAUCACCCGGGGAAAGCAAAUGUGGUGGUAGAUGCUCUAAGUCGGAAGAAUAAAGCUUUUAUUAGUGGUUUACUAGUGCUAAGUGAGCUAAAUGUGCAUUUGGAUGUGACUUCAGGAGGAAUAUUACUGGCAACAUUAGUGCUAUAAUCAGAUAUGAGAGAAAAGAUUCGAAAAGCUCAAGGUGAAGAUCCUGAAGUGAUAAAAGAAAUGAACAAUGUAAAAGUAGGCCAAGACUCUUUAUUUCGAGUGUCAAAAGAUGGGCUAGUUAUGGGAAACAUAAUAUAUUUACCUGAUGAUAAGGUUUUAAAAAGUGAAGUCUUAAAAGAAGCUCAUGAGUCUAAAUUGACGAUCCAUCUAGGGAGCACGAAAAUGUAUAGAGAUUUGAAGGAGAGUUACUGGUGGCCAAAAAUGAAAAGGGAGAUAACAUAAUACGUGGCCAAAUGUGCCAUAUAUCUACAGGUGAAUGUAGAGCAUCAAUGGCCGAUUGGAGAAUUACAAUCUCUUUCGAUUCCAGAAUGGAAAUGGGAGAAUAUCACUAUGAAUUUUGUAUCUAGCUGGUAAGGACUUGAUGCCAUAUGGGUGAUCGUGGAUAGACUGACAAAGUCUUCUUUGUUUUUGCCUAUGAAGAUAGGGGAUUCGGUUGAAUAACUAGCUCAAUUAUAUAUUAAAGAGGUGGUGAGAUUGCAUGGUGUACCAGUUUCUAUAGUUUUUGAUAGGGAUCCUUGGUUUACAUCAAGGUUAUGGCCGAGUAUACAAUGGGCUUUGGGUACCAUAUUGAAUUUAAGAAUGACUUUUCAUCCACAGACUGAUGGGCAAUCUGAAAAGACAAUUUAGAUUUUGGAAGAUUUGUUAUAGCUUGUAUUCUAGAGUUUGGAGGUCAAUGGGAGGAUCAUUUGCCAUUAGUAGAAUUUACUUAUAAUAAUAGUUAUCAAUCUACUAUUGGCAUGAAACCAUAUGAAGCAUUGUAUGAAAGGUGAUGUCGAACUACAGUACGUUGGGAUGAAGUUCGGGAAAGAAAAUUAUUGGGAUCUGAACUGGUGCAGAUCAUGGUUGAUAAGGUGAAGGGGAUAAAGUAAAGGAUGAAAGAAGCUCAAGACCGGUAAAAGAGUUGUGCUGAUAAUUGACGGAGACCUCUAGAGUUUCAAAUUGGAGAUAUGGUAUUUUUAAAAGUUGCACCAUGGAAGCAUGUGAUUCGGUUUGGAAUGAAAGGCAAAUUAGCACCCAGGUAUAUCGGGCCAUAUAAAAUUAUAGAAAGAAUUGGGAUGGUUGCCUAUCGAAUAAUCCAAUCCUUAGAUUGAGCUGAAAUUUUACGAGGGACUUUAAAAUAUAUUGAAUAAAAUUUGGUUAAAAUUUUAGGAUGAACAGAGCUCGGUGUUGCUUAAAAAAAAUUAGGACCUUCAAAUAGAAGCAAAAUGACUCAUUAAGGGUAAAAUGAUUAUUUGCCAUUAAAAAUAAAACAAAUCAGCUCUCCUUUCCUUUUAUAUGCUGCCGACUGGGCAGAAGCAGAGUGGGAAAAGAAGAAAAGAAAAAAAGCGAGUGAGAAAGAGAGAAAAGUAAGGAAAAAAUAAGAAAAGUGAGAGAAUAAUCUUGUAAACUUACAAAGUCCAACUUAUAAAACACUAAUCUAAGGAAGAAUCAAGUGAAGGAAGGAGGAUUUGAGAGAGAGAAUUUGGCUAACCUUGGGAGAGAAGAGAAAUUGGAAGAAAGUCAAUUAGUAAGUAUGAGAAGUUUGGAUUUAAUGUUUGAUUUAGAUGUUUUUAAGCUAACUCGAUUAAGUUAGGAAGUAAUUUCAUGGAAUUUUACUUUAAUUUCCCUUAAAUCCUUGAUUCUUGAACUUAGGAUUCUUAUGGGAAUUUGGGGGAAUUAGAAAGGGAAGGAAAAAUGAUGAAGUAAGUGGAAUAGCAUGAAAACAAGUUGAAAUAACAAGUAAAUGAAGAAAAAUUUGGGGGAGGAAAAAGAAGAUGACAUUUGGCCAAAUGAAGGAAAAGUGGAGGAAUGAGUUUUGAUGUUAAUGUUUAGGAAACUAUGUUUAAUCAUGAUAUUUGAAAUAUACAAGAAAGACUAAAUGAAGAAAUAACAUUAAAGUUGAGAAAAAUAAGUAAAUUCAAUUUAAAAGAGAAUUGAACUAGUUAAAAAGAAAGUAUGAAGACAAGAUGUUUAGAUUGUGUUUGAAUAUAGUUCUUACAUAUGUUUAGAUAAAAUAAAUAAUAUGAUGUGAAGGCAUAAAGAAUAGAAGGAUUAUUUGAUGGAAGAAUUAUGAACAUAAAGUAAGAAAAGAAGUCAAAAAGGUCAUUCUCAGUCUUCACACUUCAUGCACAAGGAAAUAAUAUGUUUAAUUCGUCAAUCGACUCAUAGCCAACACUGUAACAAAUGUUUGGGAUGAAGGGAAAAGUAUAGAUUUUUCUCAUUAGAGAAAGAAACUGCAUAAAAUGUGAAUGCUGUAAUUAUUUUCAAAGAACUUAACCAUAAAUCCACCCUUCUUGCAAGGAACAAAGCCUUCUUCCCUAUAUUUUCAAAGAAUGCUAUAAUUAUUAUGGUGAAUCAUGCAAGCAUAUCCCACUACCAGAAAAUUGAUAAAUACAAACGGAAAUACCGAGGGAAUAUUUCCGUCGGUAAAUUUCCGAGGGAUUUUACCGACGGAAAUAUUCCCUCGGUAUAUACCGAGGGAAUUACCGUGGGAAAAAAAAUUAAAACAAAGCAAAAAAAAAAUGAUGACGUGUCAUUUUUACCAACGGAAUUACCAACAGAAUUACCGACGGAAUAAAUUCCGUCGGUGAUUCCGUUGGAAAAUUUGUUGGUAAAUUGUGAACACUGUUCAUCAUGUUAAUUACAAAGGGAAUCACCGACGGAAUAUUCCGUCGGUAUUUUCCAGAGGGAAAAGUCGUCGGUGUUAUUUGGCGGUUUUCUGAAAAAAUUCAAUUAAUUUAAAAUUUUCAUUUAAAUAUUACAGACGGAAUCACCGACGGAUUGAAAAAUCAUCGGUAAUUUUUUGGCGGUUUCUGAAAAAAUUUUACGAAAUUGAAAAUUUAAAUUAAAUAUUACCGAUGGAAUUACCGACGGAAUAAUUAAAAAAUAUUAAUAUUUAAUUAUCCGUCGGUAAAUCCGUCGGUAAAGCGUCCCAAUAAAAAGCCUGAAUGCCCUUAUUUCACAAGAGACAGACCCGUUUCUUAUUAUUAUUCUUCUUCUUGUUCUUCUACUUCUUCUUCUUCUUCUUCUUCUUCUUCACUAUAUGUAAAAAACAUCAUUAAGGUAUGUCUUCUUCUUCUUCUUCACUUUAUGUAAAAAACAUCAUUUCUUAUCUAUUUCUUUCUCUUCUUUUCUCUCCUCAUCUCCUUCUCUUUUCCUCCAUGCUUGGAUAUGUCUUUUUCUUCUUUCUUCUUUUAUCCUCUUAGUUUUUUUUUAAUUAAUAUGCUUAAUGAAAUUUUUUUUCUCUCCUUAGCUUCACUUGCAACUACAUUAAGGUAAGAUUUUUCUUUUUUCUUCUUUUUUCAUGAUUUGUUUCACUAUAUUUGUUCUUUAUUUUAUUUUUAAUUGUUUUUGUUCUUAAUAAUUGUAUAAAUGUUGUUGUGAGAUGUUUUUUUCAUAUGAGAUCAAUUUUUAGUAGAUUUAUUUAUAGGAUUUUUAAAUUUUUAGCAAUUGCAACUUCAUUUUUUUCAUAUGAAUUUUUUUAGUUGAAUUUAUUUUUUUAUUUUAUUUAUUUGUUGCAAAUUUGUUUGAAUUGAUUUUCUUAUUCUUUUUUCCAAGCAUUUUGAGUAUAUAUUAUACAGUGUUAAUUUAUGUCAAUUUAAUUAUUUUAUAAUUUUAUAAAAUGAAUUUUUUUAAAAUGUUUUUCAAUAAUUACCGACGGAAUUACCGACGGAAGUUCCGUCGGUAAUUCCGUCGGUACAUCCCUCGGUAAUUCUGUUGGUAAUAAAAAAAUUAUUACCGACGCGUCUGUUCCGUCAGUAAAUCCAUCGGUAAUUCUAUUACCAACAGAUUUACCGACGAACGAUUCACCGACGAAUCAUUUCCGUCUUUGAUUCCGUCGGUAAUAUAAUUACCGAUGAAAUAUGUGUCUUACACCGACGGAAAAAUUCCGUCGGUAAAACUGUUAAAUCUUGUAGUGUCCAGAAUGAUUUGAUAUUUCUUAAUUGAAUUUUGGAAAAGUCGUGAUACUUGGUAAAGCCUUUGGAUAGUUUCUCUGAGAUGUGAUGGAAUUAACAACAUAUUGAGAAUAAUAAAAAAGAAAAAGCAACUGAAUCAAUGAUCAAAAGUUGUGAAAAUUAUAUCUUUCUUUGAAGAUUUUGAUUUUGACCACAGUGAACCUAUAAGCUUAGAUAGAGAGGGCUUCUAUGAUUUCUAUAUAUACGGACUAGCUUGGCUUCAAACCAUAUGUACAAGUCAAGCUCAAACUCAGAACCUACUUAAACUGUUUCUUCUUCUUAUUUUUUAGUGUCAUUUUGCAAAUGGCUCGCCAAGCAGAUCGCCUUUACAAGAUUGGGUUAAAAGGGUUUGCACUAAUAGACGAGUGGUACGGGUGCCCUAGGAGGUCUUCAACUCCUCAAGAGCACCAUCAGCAACGAUAUGAUUAUGGUGGAAUCCAAGUUCCCAUGAUGAAAAUGGAUGUUAUCAACAACAAGGAGGCAGCUAAACAUUAUGGUGGGGUGGUGAUUAUGGAUUAUCGAAAGAAAAAAUUACUCUAUUGAGCUCUUUAGUGAUAAUGUAUUGGGCCUUGCUUUGCUUGGUUAAGUUAAUUACCAAGCAUAAUUAAGUCGUUUUUAACUUUAUUGUUUUCUUCUUCUUUUUCCUAUGUUUGUGUGUGUGUAUGCCAAUUGUUUUAGAGUCAGCUACUCCAAAACAUGAAAAAGUAUGAGUGCCUUAAAGUGAAUUGUUGCACCUCUUAUUUCUCUAUGAUUACGAUUGUUGGGUUUCUUGAAAUACAUGACAUAGUGAAAAUAGUUUUUUCAAGUCUCAUGUAUCUCAUUAAACAACAUAAACUUAUUUAAGAUUUGUGCGAAAAUUGUAUGAAGAUAGUUCUUCCUCCUAGAAUUUGAUCAACACUUGAAGGCUGCAUUCUCGUAAAUCAAGUCCUUACUUGAUUUUUCUAAAUCUAGAAUUUUAAUCUCAUGUGCUAAUUAUAUUAUAGUUUUCANNNNNNNNNNNNNNNNNNNNNNNNNNNNNNNNNNNNNNNNNNNNNNNNNNNNNNNNNNNNNNNNNNNNNNNNNNNNNNNNNNNNNNNNNNNNNNNNNNNNAAAAAUGUAUUAUUCUGUAUUUGUAAUCUUAGUUUGUUUACUUGCAAUUGUUAUGAAUUAUGUGUGUUAAUGGGAAAGAAAUGAGCAUGCGAAAUGUGAGGCAUGUACCAUGAAUGAUGUGUUGUCAAGGUUCUACAUGAUUAUGAUAUGAUUGAGAAAUGAGUAUAACUAUACAGGAUGAUUGUCGAUAACUUGGGACCUCCAGGUAUAAAGGAAACUCUGCCGAAAUUUCAGUGGAAAUUUUGGCAACUCUCGGAUAAGUUCGGUGGAUGAAAAAAAAAAAUACCCAUUUUUUUAAAAGUUAAGGCUCAAAGUACUUUGAUGAAUGUACUAAAUUACAGGGUGUUACAAUUUCUGUAUCGGAUUCUUCAAGGAUAGUUUAAAUGUCUCAAAAGUUUAAAAUUUAAAAUAAAUUUAAAAAAAAUAAUUAGGAUUGCUGUUUUGGAUUUUUCAAGGAUAGUUAAAAGUCUUAAAAUUAUAACAUUCAAAAGAAUUUAAACAAAGGAAUUAGGAUUUCUGUUUUGGAUUCUUCAAGGAUAGUUUAAANNNNNNNNNNNNNNNNNNNNNNNNNNNNNNNNNNNNNNNNNNNNNNNNNNNNNNNNNNNNNNNNNNNNNNNNNNNNNNNNNNNNNNNNNNNNNNNNNNNNUCGCCGCGUCGCCGCGCACCCCGCUAUAAUUAUUAUGGUGAAUCAUGCAUGCAUAUCCAGAAUGAUUUGAUAUUUCUUAAUUGAAUUUUGGAAAAGUCGUGAUACUUGGUAAAGCCUUUGGAUAGUUUCUCUGAGAUGUGAUGGAAUUAACAACAUAUUGAGAAUAAUAAAAAAGAAAAAGCAACGGAAUCAAUGAUCAAAAGUUGUGAAAAUUAUAUCUUUCUUUGAAGAUUUUGAUUUUGACCACAGUGAACCUAUAAGCUUAGAUAGAGAGGGCUUCUAUGAUUUCUAUAUAUACGGACUAGCUUGGCUUCAAACCAUAUGUACAAGUCAAGCUCAAACUCAGAACCUACUUAAACUGUUUCUUCUUCUUAUUUUUUAGUGUCAUUUUGCAAAUGGCUCGCCAAGCAGAUCGCCUUUACAAGAUUGGGUUGGAAGGGUUUGCACUAAUAGACGAGUGGUACGGGUACCCUAGGAGGUCUUCAACUCCUCAAGAGCACCAUCAGCAACGAUAUGAUUAUGGUGGAAUCCAAGUUCCCAUGAUGAAAAUGGAUGUUAUCAACAACAAGGAGGCAGCUAAACAUUAUGGUGGGGUGGUGAUUAUGGAUUAUCGAAAGAAAAAAUUACUCUAUUGAGCUCUUUAGUGAUAAUGUAUUGGGCCUUGCUUUGCUUGGUUAAGUUAAUUACCAAGCAUAAUUAAGUCAUUUUUAACUUUAUUGUUUUCUUCUUUUUUUUCCUAUGUUUGUGUGUGUAUGCCAAUUGUUUUAGAGUCAGCUACUCCAAAACAUGAAAAAGUACGAGUGCCUUAAAGUGAUUUGCUGCACCUCUUAUUUCUCUAUGAUUACGUUCUUGGGUUUCUUGAAAUACAUGACAUAGUGAAAAUAGUUUUUUCAAGUCUCAUGGAUCUCAUUAAACAACAUAAACUUAUUUAGGAUUUGUGCGAAAAUUGUAUGAAGAUAGUUCUUCCUCCUAGAAUUUGAUCAACACUUGAAGGCUGCAUUUUCGUAAAUCAAGUCCUUACUUGAUUUUUCUAAAUCUAGAAUUUUAAUCUCAUGUGCUAAUUAUAUUAUAGUUUUCAAUUUCUAAAACUUAUUUACAAUCAAUUUGUUAUUAUCUACUUUUGACUCCACAAAAAAUCAAGAAAAGAAAGAGAAAAUAGAAAGAGAAAAUCCAAAAUACAAGAAGAUAUACAUGAAAAAAAAACAUAAAAGAUUACUUAAGUUGAUGGUGAAGGACCAAAUUACAUGUGGAAAAGUUGAAGGACCAAAAUAUACAAAACUACUAUAAUUAACAACUCAAUUCCAAUUGACAAAGGGCCCCAUUGGUGAAAAUAUUUCUAUUAGGGUAAAGAAAUACAAAUUUGGAUAGGUAAGGACUUAAUGAGAAUUUUGGAAGGCUUAAUUAAUUUUAUUGAGGACUUGAUUACUGGGAAAAUCAGUUUUUAGAGUCAAUUUGGGUGUUAAUUGAAAUAAAUUAAAGUCCAUAGACUUAAUUGGUUUUUUAGGAGGUUUAAUUGGAUGAAUCAAGGGCUUAAUUGUAAGAAUAUUGAAGUUUGGUAGGUAAUUAGGGACUUGAUUGAAGAAAUCUAAAACCAAGGACCAAACUGAAAAAAGGCGCAUGACUGUAGAGACUAAAUUUGACCAAAUUAGGGGCCAAAUUGAAGAAAAUUGAAAGUUUAAUGGUCAAUUAAGGGUCCGAGUGCACAAAUUAGAAACUAAGGACCAAGAUUAAAAUGGCGCUGAACUUUGAGGUUGAUGAUUGAGCUGGACAAGGGUGAAAUUACAUGAAAUUAAGAGUUUGAAGGACAAUUAUAGGUGCAAUUAAAACAAAUUUGAAGAAUAGGGACUAAAGUGAAAAUUUUCAAAUCCCAAAUAAAAAACCCUAAUUUCUAGGGUUUAACCUAGAUGAUGCGUCGUUCGACCAUUGUUUAGUUUUUUGUUGGCAAUUUUGGUUGAUCGAGUAGGCACCUUCAAACGAAUGAAUGUGGCGUUUCCAACCACUUCUAGGGUUGUAACCACCACCAUUUAAUUGAGAAACACCCCAUCUACAAAGAUCAACUACGACCAUCAAGCACUUAUAUCCCAUUUUCUUUAUCGAACUCAACAACAUCUUUUCCUAGUUAGCCAUUACUACAUUUUCAAAUUCUCGGAUAAUCGAGUUGUCGCCUUCAACAAGUGAAUAUGGGGCUACAGACAUCCAAAUUGAACAAGAAUGGACCAAAUCGAAAGGUGUGAUUCUCCUUUAUAAAGUUUAGGUGGUCUCCAAUAACAUUUACGUUGGAGUUGCUCUGGCGUGGCCUCAAAAUUGGUCAACUUAGUCAGUCUUGACUAAGAUACCUAUUUGUACAAAGUCAUUCAACUUUUUCGUGUGUUCACACUUAAAAAAUUUUAGAGGGUUCUUAUCAAGGGUCAUAAAUCUCAUCCAUAAUCAGAAGGUGAGGGAUGCAUGCCUUUGUCUCCAAGAAAAAAAAAACCUCCUAGGUAAUUUUGUUAGAAAACCAUUGUCCCAAAACCAUUGAAAGACAAAGGUUCUGAUUGUUAACAUUUGUCCAGAACUCUCUCAUUUUGAUCAAAGAACUAAGCUUUGAUCGAUCUAUAUUUGAAUCCAUUAAACACCCUAGCAAAACCCUAUAAAUACCCCCUGAAAAAUAAAAAUAAAAAGAGAGAGAGGAAAAACAUGGAAGAAACACACUAUGAAAAGAUCCUGGUGUGAAGGUUCAAGAGCCUAACAUAGAGGGUCUAACAAGCUUUAGAAAAAAUAUAGUGAAAGGGAAAGAGGUAAAUAAAAGAGAAGGAAAAUAGUUCAUAGCUAGCAAGCUUGGAUAAGGUAUAAAUAUGUAGAAAUUCAAGCGUGGAGUCCAUGUGGCCUUCCUUUUCAUGCUUUCUUAAUGUUUAAACCUCUUUUGAUGUUGUUUGAGCUUGUCUUGCAUUUUUUGGUUUGAUUUUGGUGCUGGAAUAAUUUGAUGUAUUUUCAGCAGAGUUUGUUUUAUUAGAUUUCAUUAUGAUAAUUUGUUUUAGUUUUGGUUAAUAAUUUGUUAUUGAGGUUUGCACUAAAGACAUGAUUCUUGGUUUUCACACUUGUUUGAUUAUGUGAUUUUAGCCUAAUAGCAUGAUGAUGAUGUAUUUGAGAUAUUUUGAUUGGUGUUUGAAUCUAUUUUGUAAUUAAACAAUGAGUUGUUUUUGUUUGUGGGUUAAAUAUUUUGGAAGCAUGUUGAUUAAUUUGAUGAUUUUAGUGCAAGUUCAUGGUUUAUACAAGUAUGUUUUGGCAUAUAGAUGUUAAAAAUAUCAAGUUUUGAAUCCAAAUAGCAUGAAUAUGCUUGUUGAUUAUCUUUAGUAGUUUUGAACUUUGGAACUUAAUGCAUGUUAUUGAUGACUUUAUUUUAUUUGUUAGUUCUUUGAAUUCAACAAUGCUUAAUAUUGAUAAUAUGGUUUGCAAGGACCAAAAGAAACAUGUUUUAGAAGCCUUAGAGGCUAGUUUUGGGUUUAAUAGUAGGUUGGGAACUUUUAGGUUGCUGGGUUUGGUUUUUUCAUGUUCUUGGAAAGAAAAUUGCCUUAGCACUAUGAUUUAGAUCAAUUUUGGUCCCUUUGUUUACACUAAACCAUUCAGGGGACUUAACUAGUAGAUAAUAUAGGGUUUAUUUGCAUUAAUAACAAGUGUAUGGGUUUUUAAUCCUAAGAUUUUGGUUUUUAACCGAAACCCAUUUUCACAAAAUCACGUUAAUUCUUUGAUAAUCGAAGUAAUGGAUGCUAGAUUAUGGAUCCUUGCAUGAUUUCAAAUAAAACCUUGCCCUUGAUUGCAUGAAAACUUGACUGGAUUAAGAUUUGUGUUUGUUGGUUUGUUGAUGAAUGCUCUUUGUGUUCUUCACGAUUUGAGUGUUUGAUCUAUUUUUCUGCAAAUUUUUUUUUAUGUUUUGUGUUAAUUUUCAACUUUGAUUUUGUUUCAGGUUAAACCUUUGUUUGAGUUUACUUUUCAGAUCAAACCUUGUUUUUUGGUUCAGUUCAUGGUUAAACUAGUGUCUUUGGGUCGACCCGUUUGGUUUUGUUUUAGGUCAAGUACUUAAGGCUUUGUUUGUUUGAACAACCUUUUGUGAAGGAUUUUUUUGGCCCAAGAGAAUGUUUGGCAAACACACACUUAAGUGCAUUUUGGUAAUUUCUAGGGAAAGAAAAGAUGGUUUUGCCAAACAUUGGCUUAUAGAAAUAAACUAGCUAUGUGACCCGCGCUCCACCGCGGGUUAAAUAAUCAAAAAAAUUUAAAAGAGCUCCUAAACAAAAUAAAAGAGAUGAUGUUUUAUCCAGGUUAUAAAAAGGUCCAAAGAUGUUGGGUCUUGGUGGCAGAAGGAUCCAAUUGGGUGUUGGGCCAUGGUGGAGGCAAGGCCCACAACUGUUGGGUCUUGGUGGGAGGACCCAACACGCAAUUGGGUCCUACACCGUCAAGACCCAACAUCCACAUGGGUCCUGCACCUGGCAGGACCUAGAAGGAUGUGGGUCCUGCACCCGGCAGGACCCAACAUGCAAUUGGGUCUUGCACUGUGCAGGACUCGAAGCUAAUUUCGGUCCUGCACCUUGCACGACCCAAAGUUAUUGUGGGUCCUGCGCUAUACUCAAUUGGGUUGGGUCCUGCAUCCUGUAGGACUUAAAGUGCAGGAUCCAACACCCAAUUGGUCCUGCACAUGUCAGGACCUAACACAUAAUAUAUAUAUAUAUAUAUAUAUAUAUAUAUAUAUAUAUAUAUAUAUAUAUAUAUAUAUAUAUAAUUCAAAACUACUGCAUAAAAAUCUAAAGACAAUAAAAUAUUGAUAUAACUUUGAAUCUCAUACACUAAUGUUAUAAAAUUAAAAUAUCUUGUAUUACCUAAAAUAAAAUCUCUUAUAUAAUACUAAAGAUUUAUAAAGUAUAUGAUGUAAAUAAAAAAUUUCUUGAGAUUUCUAUCAACUUUAAUAUGAAAAUAUUAGAGAAUAGAAUUAAAAAUUUUCAACUUUUUUCAAAGUAUUUUUAAAACUAUGAGUCAGGUGCCCUUGUCAACUCUUAGUUUUUUAGGUCUAGAAGGGAAUGUCAGAUCCAUGUUAAUAAUAAUAAUAAUUCAUUUAAUUAUAAUUAAAAUGAAGAAGAAGAAGAUACAAAAAGGAAAUUAAUACAGGUUUGUAAGCCAUGUAAAACACAAUUACUCAAGAUAUUUCAUGGUUUGCAUGCCUCUAGUUUGCGUGCGUGGUUAGGUUUCCCAUCUAUUUUAUGAAUUCACGCAAACCUAUUAUGAUAAUAUUUACAUACCAAGCACUAGAAACUAUAGAAGAAAAAAGAAAAUCUGACAAUAAGAAAAAUAUAUUGGUCUCAUAAUAUCUAUUUAGCCUUACACUUCUGGAAAAAGAUUAAUUUUCCAUCAGCACCAUGGACAUCUGGAAAUUUUUAUUUUUUGAUUUACUUUAAAUUAGUAUUUUUUUGACAUUUUUGUAUUAUUUUUAAAAGAUUGUUUCCAAAAUAUAUAUUUAGAUUGUGUCUUGAAAAUUUUUAAUUUUUUUCUUGACUUUAAAUUUUGAAGACACAAUCUCAACAUAAUUUUUUAAAAGAAAAUAUUUAAAAAAUAAUAGAAAAACAAAGAAAAAAGUAAUUUAAAGUAAAGGAAAAAAAUAAAAAUAUUUCAAGACACAAUUUCAAUAUUUUUUUUCAAACAUAGUAUUUAAAAAACAAUAGCAAAAUAUAAAAAAAAUCAAUUUGAAUUAAAGGAAAAAAUUAAAAAUUUUCAAAUUUCUUGGCUCUUGCUUCACAGUCAGACACAAUCUCAAAAAAAUAAUUUAAAAUCUUUAUUUAAAAAAUAAUAGAAAAACAUAGAAAAAAAAAUUUAAGUAAAGAAAAAAAUUAAAAAUUUUCAAGACACAAUCUCAAUGUAUAUUUUGAAAAAAAAUAUUUUCAAAAUAAUACAAAAAUAUAUAUAAAAAAUUAAUUUAAAGUAAAUUAAAAAUUUUCAAAUUUCUUGGGUCUGGCUUGUCAAAAGUUAUUUCAAAAAUUACAAAUUCAAAAAAUUAAUGUUGUUGGGUCUUUUGGUAGAGAAGGCAACGCCCCCAGCUCUUGGAUCCUAACUCUAAAGGGUUGAGGAGAACCCAAUGUCAUUGGGUCCUGGUGUUAGCAAUACCCAAUAACCCACAGUCAACCACUAUGUUGGGUCUCCCAGUAGCUCUGGGAAGACAAGGCAAAGCCUCCAUCCGUAAAUUUUGACCAAAACCAUAGCAGGGUAUGACCCCCAAGGUGUAUGGCUGCUAGGUCUGGCUGUGUAACCACACCCAAUAUCCUUAGGUAUGGUUGUGCAGCUAAACCCAACACCUUUGGAGGGUGUUAGGUCCUGCACCGUGCAUGACCAAAAUAGCUAUGAUAUAAGUAAUCCAUCCUAGGGACAUCGGCAUAGGAAGAUUGAAAAAAAAACAAAACAAAACAAUUGAUUUCCUUUGGUAAAUGGAUUGGAAAUCCAUGUUAUCACGAAUGUGAGAAUUCAAUCACCCAUACCUCUCUAUAUCUCUACACAUCGUAAAUAUAUAUAUCUUUUUCACUACAAUAUAACACCACCAUUGAAUAUUAAUGCAAGACCAUUGAUCAAUAAGGAUGACUGGCUUCCAGACCCAAUAACCAUACCCAAUUAAAUUUCUUUGUCGUUGUCUUCUCUGAUUUAAAUUUAUUUUUCAAAAUAAAUUGAUGAGAUUUUUUUUAUAUUGUAUAAAAGUUGAGUGAUAAUAUUUUUUUCCCAUUUCAGGUUGGGUUAAAUUUCCUAAUUAAAUCAUGUUUGAUUUUGCGUUUUGAAAAUUCCUUGAAAUUUUUUUGAUAAUUUUUAAGUUUUUUUUCUUUGCUUGAAAUUAAUAUUUUUGUUAUGUUUUUGUAUUAUUUUUUAAAAAAAUAUGUUGAGAUUAUGUCUGGCUGCGACGCUAGACAAAAGAAAUUUUAAAAUUUUUAAUUUUUUUCUUUACUUCAAAAUAUUACUUUCACCAUGUUUUUGUAUAUUUUUUAAAUAUUUUUUUUUUAAAAAAAACAUAUAUUGAGAUUGUGUCUAGUUGAGAGGCAAGACUCAAGAAAUUAAAAACAUUUUCAUUUUUUUAUUUACUUCAAAUUAAUUUUUGUUUAAUAUUUUUUUCUUCAUUUCAAAUUAUUUAGAUAGUGUUUGAUUUUGCAUUUCAAAAAUUGUUUGAAUUUUUUUUGACAAUUUUAAAGCUUUUUUCUUUACUUCAAAUUAAUUUUUUUUUAUGUUUUUGUAUUUUUUUUUUAAAUGUUGGCAUUGUGUUUGUCUGCGAUGCUAGACCCAAUAAAUUUUUAAAUUUUAAUUUUUUUCUUUCCUUCAAAAUAAUAUUUUUUUUUCAUGUUUUUAUAUAUUUUUUAAAAAUAUUGAGAUUUUCUCUGGCUCGUUUUGUGGGGCCUCUAAACCCAAGGAGGGUUAGAACAGACCUCGACGGCUGGGUCUGCACCCAGCGCGUGUGUAAUAGUCCGAACUGUACGACUCGAUCAAUGUUAAAAGAUUCCAACAUAUACUCUUUAUUUGAGGGUAAUGUUUUUUUUUUAUUUCCAAAAAUUCGACAGAGUUUUGUUUGCAUUUAGAACAUCCCAAGUUAUCGACUACUAUCAAUUUACUCAAUCAACCCAUUAUCACAAGGUCCCUUAAUUCCGGACCUUAUAUCAAACCUCAUAAUUCCACACCUCAUACAAUCCACACAAUAUAUAUAUAUAUCCUACGAGUAAGUUCAAUAUGAACAUAGUCCAACACAUCGUAUCAUAAAAUUUAAAGGAAAAGCAAUACUAUCAUGCAAAGAAAGUAUUUACAGUUAAUUACAAGAUAACUAAAAUACUACAUGCUAAGCUAAACCUUUAUAAAUACAUCAAGGUUUGCACAAAAGUAUACUACAUAAACACGUUAAUUCCCUUUUGUUUUAAGUUAAAUAUUUACAUAAGCUUCACAAGGUAGAGUCCUAAACUAAUGAUCUUCCUGGAUGUUUGAUGGACCUGUUACAUAAAUAAACAUACCAUUAUGUUGAUAAAGAAUAUAUGUAUGCUCAUGCAAUGAAUACGAAUGAAGUAUUAACUUUCUAUCGAAUCCAUGAGAAUUCUAACAAAUAACUUAUAUUUUGCUUGUAAAUCUUUUAAACCCAAUUAACACUCAUUUGUAUAUUCUUAAUUGAAUAAUCUUAUUUACUUGCAUAAACUGGGUGACCUUGCAAGGUUUAAUCUUGUAAUUCAUUUCCCGGCAAUCCUAUCAUGGAUGCCAUUAGCCGAAGCUAAUUAUGUAAAUCAUUUCCCGGCAAUCCUAUAACGGAUGCCAUUAGCCGAAGCUAAUCUUGUAAAUACACUAGGCUUUAUUUACAUUGAACACGAUAUUUAUUAUAAUUGCAUUCACCAGAAGGAUUCUAAAUUGUAUAAGUGCAAAUAGGAGGGAAAAUCAUGCACCUGCUUCGUCUGUCUCGCGACCUCCCCUAACAAAAGAUCCAAUCCUAGUUGCUCCUCCUGAAUCACAAGGAAGUUUUUUUUUUUUGGUUAUGAUUCCUUCAAGCCGAUAUUAUAGAGAAUUCAUAUUCAUCCAUUACUCAUAUGUUACUUUCUAUGCAUGUUCAUUUCCUCAUAAUAACAUACAUACAUAUAUCAUGUAUAUUUUCAGAGUUAGUAUCUCAAUAUACAAGUGUUCGUAUGACUCAAUUCUUUUAUAUUCUUAUUUAUAGUAUUCACGUCAAAGUCGUCUGACUUUGAACUGUUACUGUUUGACUUUGAACUGUUACUGUCCAAUUUCCAACUGUUACUGUUUGACUUGGAACUGUUACUGUCUAAACACUCAUCAGAUUUUUAACUAUAUCUAAAGUUCUAAAACUCCAUUUUAAGUGAGAUUGAUCUCGCUAGAAAGCUAAGACACGAGGCUACUAGUUCUCUGAGGAAGGAGAACCUAGUUUUGCCUCCAAGAUAGUCAAAAUUGUUCAUUUACUAAUUAGUCCUACUACCCUACAUAAUUAGUUACGACUCAAUCUCAGUUGGUAACCCAUAACUGGAGUUCUACAUCUCCAAAUUGAGCAAGACCAGUUUCUUUGGUUAGCUAACAUUCAAAUCUACAAUUUCUAUGAGGAACCCGAUCCUAAUCCCCUCAUCCUCCUACCCGAAAUCUCAUCAAAAGUUAGGAGACAAGUCUGUCUAGAUUCGUCUCCCCCUCCCCUUCACACAAUACUUUCAUAAACUACAUACCACACACAUGAAUUAACUUAAUCUCAACAAUAAGUACUUUUUCCCCAAUUUAUGUCUAAGAACCCUAACCUAUGAUUCAAUAUCAAGGCAUCAAUUCUUUAUCGAAUUUAAAAAUGAAUUUUUUUAAGAUCAUGUUUAGAAUACCUUACCCGGUACAAAUUAAGAUUUUGAUCUUCAACCAGUUGAAGAUUUUCAACUCCCUCCUUUCUUUUCUUCUUGUUCAAUUUCUUGGUAAUUUUUUGCUCUCAAGUGUUUAUCCCAUCUAUAAGCUCUUAAUCUUGGAUGGGUUCUUGAAAUUUUAGUGUUUCUCUCUUGAUUUCUCAAGAAUGGGUAUAAACUCCCUAUCUUCUCUUCUUAUGGUUCCUACAGAUUUUUUUGGUGAGGAGAGAGUAUUUAUACUCUAUAUUUUCCCUUAUUUGCAUUUAGGCCCUCCUUUUCCUUUAAGUGUAUUAUUCUCUUCAAUUAAAUCCAACCCUCAACAGUACCGGGUUUAUUAUAAUAUCGCGAAUUAUUUCGCUCGGAAAUUUAUAUUCAAAAAUUUCAGAAUUUCUGUUUUUAUUUAACCAUAUGCAUGAAUUUCAUCACUUUUAUUUAUUUAUUAUUUUUCCCGGGGUUUACAGCGCGGGUCCAGAGGCCAGGAGCGCGGGGUUGCAGACCCUGCCUCGCGGGUAUGCAGACCCCAGGGUCACAAGGCUGCACACUCGCUUGCACUGGGGAUGCAGCCAGGCGCGCGGGUCUGCCUUACCACCUAAGGCAUGGCAGGCCCCGUGCUAGGUGUCUGCAUGCUAGGGCCUUGGCCAGCCCUAGUGCUAGGUGGCAGCAACCUAGAGCGCGAGCAGGCGCACGUGGCCUACCCCACUCCCAAGCCUGACAGCCUAAGCGCCAAGUGUCCCCAGCCUUAGGGGUUGUGCGUCCAGCCAGACACUUGGGGCCCACACUAAUAUUUUUUUCAAAAAAUAUUUUUUAACAAUAAUAGUAAUAAUGAUAAUGAUAUUUGUUAUUAUAUUUUUUUUUUUGCAAUUUCCUUCCAUUUUUAAUAUUAAUACAAGUAAUAAUAUUUAGUAAUAAUAUUUUUUUUAACAUUCAAUGAAAUUAAAAAUAUAAAUAUUUAGAAUAAAAAUAAAAAUAUUUAGACUACAAAUAAAAAUAUUUAUCACAUUAAUAAUAAUAUGAAACUUGUUUGACCAAAGUUGAUAAAAUAAUAUUUUUUUUAAAAAAAAUUAUUAACAAUAAUAAUAACGAUAAUUGUUGUUAUAUUAUUUUUUUCAAUUUUCUUCUAUCCUUAACAUUAAUACUUUUAAUUACAAUAAAGAUAAUAAUAUUUAGAAUACAAAUAAUAAUAUUUAUCAUAUUAAUAAAAAUAUCUACAGUAAUAAAUUUUUUUAUGAUAAUUAACCAUGAGACAAUAAUAAUAAUGAUAAUUGCUAUUGUAUUUUUUCCCCUGCAGGGUCUGUCGAUCCAGCCGUGCGAGCCUCUAAACCCAAGGGCGGUUAGAACAGACAUCGGCGGUCGGGUCUGCACCCAGUGUGCGGGUCAGGAGGCUAGGAGCGCGGGGUGCAAACUCUACCUCGCUUGUCUGCAGACCCCAGGGUUGCGGGGCUGCAGCAAACCCCGCGCCAGGUGUCUGCAUGCUAGGGCCUCGGCCAGCCCUAGCACCAGGUGGCAGCAGCCUAGGGCGCGCGCAAGAGCGCGUGGCCAACCCAACGCCCAUGCCUGUCAACCCAAGCGCUAGGUAUUCGUAGCCUCAGGGGGUGUGCGUCCACCCAGGCACUUGAGGCGUGCAAUAAGAUUUUUUGAAAAAAAAGUUUUUUAAAGAAUAAUAAUAAUGAUAAUUGUUAUAAUAUUUUUUUUUCCAAUUUUCGUCUAUUCAUAAUAUUAAUACAUUUAAUUAAAAUAAUAAUAAUAAUAAUAAUAGUUAGAAAAAUAAUAAUAUUUAUCACAUUAAUAAUAAUAUGAAACUUGCUUGACCAAAGUUGAUACAAUAUUAAUAAUAAUAUGAAACUUGCUUGACCAAAGUUGAUACAUUAUUAAUAAUAAUAUUUAUCACAUAUUUUAUCAAAUUAUUUACAAAUAAUAAUAUAUUUUUAUGUUUGAAAAUCCAUUUUUUAUAUACUCACAUCAAAAUAUUCAUUCGUGUAAAAAGGAAAUAAUAAUAUUAAUUUUUCUUUUCUUUUCUCUUAUUUUCGAUAUGAAUACUUUUUUAUAUAUAUUUUUGAUAUUUCUCUUCUUGAAUUUGCUUAUUAAAGCAUGUUUGUUUUUGCGUUUAAAAAAUGCUUUGAAAACAUUUUUAAAAUUUUUAAUUGUUUUGUUUACUUCAAAUUAAUAUUUUUGAUGUUGUAUUUUUUUUUGGUCUAGGUCCAUGACUGCGUUUUUAUUAUAAUUCUAAUUAUAAAAUAAUAAUAUUUAUAAUAAAAAUAAUUAUAUUUAGAAAGCUAAGACCCAAUUCUCUUGGGUCGUGACGCAGGACCCAUUACCCUUGGAUCCUGCCGUGGGACCUAAAGGAAUUGGGUCCUGACGCAUGACCCAAUCCUCUUAGGUCCUUGGGUCCGGCGGCAGGACCCAAGAGAAUUAUAAUAAAAAUAAUAAUAUUUAUAAUACAAAUAAUAAUAUGUUUAAUGUCAAUAACAUUAAUUAUAAUAAACAUAACAAUAUUUAUAAUACAAAUAAGAAUAUCUUGAAUUUCAAUAACAUUAAUUAUAAUACAAAUAAUAAUAUUUUUCAUUUAUUAAUUAUUAUAUGAAUAAUAUUAAUUAUAAUAAAAUACAAAUAUUUAUAAUACAAAUAAUUUUAAUUUUAACGUUAUUAUUAUUAUUAUUAUUAUUUAUAAUACAACUAAGAAUAUUUUUUAAUAACAUUAAUUAUAAUACAAAAGUAUUAAUAUUAAAAAUAUUAUUAUUUGUAUUAUACAUAUUAUUAUUUUUAUUAUAAUUAAUAUUAUUCAUAUAAUAAUUAAUAAAUUUUGGAAAUUUAUUAUUAUUAUUAUUAUGAUUAAUAAAUUUUAAAAAUACUAUUAUUACUAUUGAAGAAAAACCAUUAUUUUUUUAAAGAUUUAAAAAUAUAAUUCAAAGUAUUCAUAUAAAAAAUAUAAUUAUUUGUAUUAUAAAUAUAAUUAUUUUUCUUAUAAUUCAAAGUAUUCAUAUCAAAAAAAUUAUUAUUUGUGUUAUAAAUAUAUUAUUUUAAUUAUAAUUCUAAGUAUUAAUAUAAAAAUAUUAUAAUUUGUGUUAUAAAUAUUCUUGAGUUUGUUAAUAUAAUUAUUUGUGUUAUAAAUAUUAUUAUAACAAAUAAUCAAAUGCCAAGCGCCCUAGGGCUGCAUCCAAGCAUGCGUGUCCGGUCAUAGCGCUCAAGGCUCGUCACACCCUUCGCCAGGUGUGUGCAUGCUGAGGCCUCGGCCAGCUAUAGCGCCAAGUGUUUGCUGCCUAGGGCCGCGACUAGGGGCGCGUGGCUGGCCCCAAAGCCCUGGCUUGGCUACCCAAGCACAAGGUGUCGACAGUCUAAUCUAAUUAAAUGUCGCCUCUGCCGCUGCAUCACUCCCAUCUUAAUGACAAAAGUCAAAUGAGCCACCCCAGUCGCAAUUCUUGACUAAAAACACAGGUAAGGAACGCCCCCCAAGGUGCUAUAGUGUCAUCCACAGUUCAUUGUAUCUUGGGCCACAGUGCAUGUACAGUAGAAAAUCCUAAUACGUGUUAAGACAUAGCAAAGCAACUAUGUAAGUUUUAAUACAUAGCAAAACAACUGUGCAAAUCCACAAUUAAUUGUCUCUUGGUCCACAGUGCAUGCAUGUACAGUAAGUCCACAAUGAAUUAUCUCUCAGUCCACAAUGUAUUCAUGUAUAGUAGAAAACCACGUGUUUUAGAGUUUUGUUAAUAAUAAAAAAAAACAAAAAUAAUUUUGGUUUGUUGUAUACGUCUCAAUCUUUACAUAACAUUGCAAUUUAUUAAUAAAAAGGAGGGGAAAAUGUUUUUAGCAUUGUUUUUUUUUUUCAUUUUGUAAUUUACAAUAAGUUGGCCAAUAUUUGGCCAAUAUUUCAAUAACUCUAAAAAUUUUAAUUCCUAAAAAUUAAAGGUCAACAUUAUGGUAUAAAUGUUAGACCUACCAGUAGGCUAGUAUUUAAGUACCAGAAGUUAACUAGAAAAUUUUCAGAAUUAUUUUGGAUAUUCAUCAUUUUUAAUUGUGAGUAUUUUUUCAUCACAAUAUAUGAGUUGUGGAAAACAUUUUCACCUUUCAGGAUAGGUGACUCCUGUCAAAGCACCUACAUGAAUUUUUUUUAUAAGAAUUUACCUAAACAUACGAGUCCAUAAUAAAUUUGAAAUGUCAUAUUUAUUUAUGGGCGUAAUUCCUUUUUCUGAGCCAUAAAUGGGCUACCGGUUAGGAACCCAUCAACACGUUUAAACCACAUCAUGACAACACAAUACAACUUUACUCAAGUAAGGAUGUUAAUGCCUUUUUCUAGCCAAUACUGGUCCCUUACCCUGAAAUUUCAGAUAAGAUCAGUUACUUGGGUCUUCUAAUGACUUUGAAAUCACAAAACUAGGUGCGGACUCCUUAAUCCCGAUGCUGCAACACCGCGCGCACAUAGGCGACACAAUUCAUGCUUGAUUAAUCAUCCAUGUGAAUUAUUAGGUUUCGAAUAUGUUGGCACAAAUAUAAAUCAUAAUCUUAUUCAAAACAAGAUUAAAUAAAUUAAGCAAUUUAAGUUACUAUCAAUCCAACAAAUUGAUAGAUUUAUAUUUAAAUAUCAAAUGCAAGAUACCAUGAUCUCUUAAAUCUUGUCCCAGUAUAAAAAAAAUGUGAGUAUAUGAACCCAUGAAGUGGUAUCAGAAUCUAUUUUCCUAUUAUUAUUAACUAAACGGAAAGCCAUAUCUUACUGCUUAUACUAUAAUAUUGGGAUUGAGUGGUACAAUGUCCAGAAUGCUUCUAAGGAUAACCAUAUGUCCAUAUCCAUAAGAUCUCAAUGGAUUGACCCUUACUACAGAAUCUAGCACAUCCUUAAGCUAGAAUAAAGUGCCUUCACUGAUUAAUCUAGCAUAUAUAUCUAAUUAUUUGAAAAUCUUUUCAAAUUUCAUUCCACCUUAUAUAAAGAUUUAAUACUUAAUAUUAUUUGAGAAUACAUAUAGAUUGCAAGCAUCGGCUUUUAGUGUACUUUUGAUGACAUGAAACUACCACAAAAUGGGUCCUAUCCGAGAGAGUGUUCUCUUUCUGUUCUGUUAUCACAUAGAACUGAAAUCUGUUCAGAGUACCCCUCCAAGAAAAUUGAUGCGGGCAGAAAGACAAUAAUAAAUACAGAAAAAACACAAGAAUUUUAAUGAGCGAAAUGGGCUGUUGAUGUGAACAUUAAGUUCACAGGUUUUAUUUUCUCUUAAAUAACAAUCAUCACUACAAGAUUUCACAGUUUUACUGACGGACCAAUUCCGUCGAUGUGUGAUUAGAAGUUCGUCGGUGAUUUUUUUACCGACGUCAUCACCGACGGAUUACGUCCGUCCGUCGGCAUUCCCUUCGUCGGUGAUUCCCCCUUCCAUCGCUAUAUCGAUUGGAAAAACAAAAAAAUCAUUUGCCGAUGGUUUUACAGAUGGAAUUUGCGCGCCAAAAAAAAAGAUUCCCGCUUGAAAUAUACCGACGGAUUUUUAUUCUGUCGGUGAUAUUGUAAUUGACCGACGGAAACUAUCCGUCGGUAAAUACGUCGGUGAGUGUAUGAAAUACCGAACGAAUAUAUUUGUCUGUAAAUUCGUCGGUACUGGUGGCAGUUACUGUUAAAUGCCGACGGAUUAAUUCCAUCGGUAAUUCUGUCAGUGAGUGUUUAAAAUACCGACCGAAUUAAUCCGUCGGUAAAAUCCUUGGUAAUAGUUUUUUUCUUAAUUUUUUUUAAAAAAACUAUUUAGGAUAUAUAAUAUAAAACUAUUUAAAUUAAUUGUAAUACAAACCAAUUAUGCAAAAAAAAAUUAUAUUAAACAUAAAAAAAACAAAGUUAAAUAAUAUUCAUUACAAACUGAAUAUGUUUCAAGAAAAAUAUUAAAUGAAGUUUUAAAGGUAAAUAAUGUUGAUUACAAAUUAAUAUAAAGGUGGAGCUGGAGGAGGAGGAGGAGGAGAUCCUGGAGGAGGCUGGUGAUUAUACGGCCAAAAAAGAUUAGGCGCACAUGUUCCACUAUUUGUCAUGUUCAUUAGCAUUUCGCGAAGUUGUUCAUAAGCCGCUUUUUGUUGUUCAUGAGCCGCUUCAUACUCCGUUUUUUGUUGUGCUUGAGACGCUUUGAGUUGCUCAGACUACGCUCUUUGUUCCGCUCUUUGUUGUGCAUGAGACGCUUUGAGUUGUGCGUACUCCGCUUUUAGGUGAUCGUAUUUCUCGGUGAGCUGAGCUGUGUGUUGCUGCAAGGCCACGAACUCCUUAGAUUGGGAGCUCGAUAUUGAUUGGGAGCUCCCAACGGUUGAAACACUACGGGUCGACCGCAAGUUGUCGGCCGUAGUGUUGGAGAGCCCGUAAACCCGAUUUUUAUCGGGUCCACUUGACAAGCCAACCUCCAUCCACAAAUCCGGAUCGAAUUUCGAAUGGGUCAAAAUAUUGUCCCCGUAUCUCUCCCUCAACCGAUUAUUAUAGGUCUCCUGAAAAUAAAAAUAAAAAAGUAAUCAUCAUAUUCAAUACAAUAAACAUAAUAACUUACAUAAUAACUUACAAAAUAAAAUGGUUGAACAAACAUACCACGAAAUGCUGAGCACGGUUAUCAACGAACUGUUGCGCCCCCUUCUGGCAGUCUUGACUCUGCACGUGCGUCUCCACAAACAGCUCCAUCGGGCUCAGCUUACGUCCAAGAGACGCAGCCUAUAAUGAAAAAAGAUAUAUUAACAACAACUGAAUUUAACGAUAUAUUUCAUUUAAAUUAAUCUUACCAUCCGUUUCGCAUGUGCAGCAAACGGAACGGAGCCGUCAGUGUGCGUUGUCACCCCGCCAUGAAUUGGCCGAUUCCGGUUGCCAGCACCGGACUGUGAGUGUCGUGUGAACCGUUCAGACGUCACGUGCUCAAGAUAGUGCGGCCAUAUAUCUUCCGGGAUGUAUAUCGGUUUGAAAUCCCUCCAAACCGCAACAUCGUUCCAGCCUUGGAAACCCCUAUCCCUCGCGGUUUUUUUUGCCUUUUUUUGUGCUUCAUACCAAAAAUCACGCAACCUACUUCACGCAACCAAAAAUUACAUUUCGAAACAUAAAUUUUUGGCUAAAAAAAAUCCUGUAUUGUUUUCGAUCUUACCUAGUUGCCGCGUGAUUUUCCCACACCCUCCUCACAACAGUGUUAUGCUCACUGUCCCAGCAGAAUUUGUGCUGUGUAUAAAUAAACAAGCUUAAAUAAAAAUAAUAAUUUAUUUACAAUUAUAUUAAUAAGCUGAAAAUUAUAAAUUAAUACCAACCUCAAACCUGUUAAACCAUGCAUUGAUUUGAGGCAUCCAUUCAGGAUGCUUGGAUAUCUGACUCCAUUGAAACAAUGGAAUCUCCAUCGACGAUUUAAACGCCGAUGAUAUUACUCGGGCGGCUUCAAUGUUUGUGAACCUGAAAAUAAAUGAAAUAAAUUCAAUAGUGAUUACUUCAUAAAUUAUGUUGUAAUUUUUUUAAAAAAAAACUAAAACCUUAACAAACUUACAUUGAAAGGUCGUCCUUCCAUUGUGCCUCGUACUUGCGGGUAAAUUGAUUCCGCUGCGAAGGCACGCCGUCUCUGCGCUAUGAAGUACCGCUAGAAGAGGCAGCAUCGGUUGACGGCGCAGGUGGUGUAGGUGCCUCUUCUUGAGAGGCACCUAAGGAAAUAUCAUCAUCGCUGCUAGACGAACUAGCUGUGACCGUACUUGAGCGACCAGCUCUGGUUUUCGUUCUACGCAUCUACACAAUUUGAUACAAAUAAUUAUAUAAUUAAAUUCAAAUGUAAAAAAAAAAUUUGACAGCACCUCCCCUAUACCGGAUACUACCCAAAUCCACAAACAUGCACAUAUUAACAAUAGCCACAACCAAUUUACCCAAUCUAUACUAAUUAUUCCAACAUAUUCAAUUACUAAUCCUAAGGUAAAUUCAACAUUAAGAAUUACAAUUCAAGUAAUUAUUCAAUAAUUAUACCAAUAUAACAAAACAAUAAAUUAAAAAAAAAACUCUAGAAUAACAAUCAAAAUAAAUGGAAAAAAUUAAACACAAAGCAUGCAAUAAUAGAGUAAAACUAAUAAUUAUUCCAACAUAUUCAAUUACUAAUUCUAAAAUAAAUUCAACAUUAAGAAUUACAAUUCAACAAAUUAUUCAAUAAUUAUGCCAAUACAACAAAACAAUAAAUUAAAAAAAAACUCUAGAAUAACAAUCAAAAUAAAUGGAAAAAAUUAAACACAAAUCAUGCAAUAAUAAAGUAAAAUUAAUAAUUAUUCCAACAUAUUCAAUUACUAAUUCUAUGGUAAAUUCAACAUUAACAAUAAAUAUUCAACAAAUUAACUAAUAAUAAUUAUGCCAAUACAACAAUAAAAAAUAUUCAGUAAAUUUAAAAAAAAAACUAUAGACUUUAGCAAUGAAUUAUGCAAAAAAAACUAUAGACUUUAUCUACAUUACAAAAAAUACACCAAAAAAAAAAACUAACCAAAAAAAUAGCAAAAAAAAACCAUUAGAAGAAACACUAACCUUUUAAACUGAUGGAGAUUCACGAUAAAAAAAGCUUGAGAUCGCCUGAAGAACGGAGAGAAGAACGGAGAGGAAAAGAAUGGUGAAAAACUGAGGAGAAGAGAAAAUGAACUGAAGAGGCGGUCGGGGGAGUUUAAAUGCCAAUUUUACCGACGGAUUCACCGACGUCUAUAAAAUUAAUUAUUAUUUUAAUUUAUUCCGUCGGUGAGGUGUUAAAAAUCCGUCGGUAAAUUUUGAAUUUCGCACCAAAUUUUUUAAUGGCCCUCUAUAUUUUUCGCAGUCCGUGGCAAAUCCGUCGGCAAUCUGACGCGGUCAGAGAUGCAUUUAAUGCACAACCCUUUGAUAUUCGCGCAGUCCGUCGGGAAUUGUGUCGGUAAAAUUGACAACGUACCGACGACUAUAUAUUCGUCGGUGUGGUCGUCGAUGAUAUGGUGGCAUUACCAGUAAUUAUUUUCGAACUCUCUGUGAAAUGCCGACGGAAUUAAGUCCGUCGGUGUGGUCGUCGGUGAUGUGGUGGCAUUUCAAGUAAUUAUUUCCUGUCACAAAAUAUAUCAUCCAUGAUCAAUAAUUAUUUCAAGUAAUUAUUUCGUAAUUGUGGCAUUUCAACUAAUUAUUUCAAGUAAUAAAUAUUUUGUGUUUCAAAAUAUAUCAUCCAUAAUCUAAAUUACAUGAAAAAAAGGGUUUUACAUAGGGCUUCAUUUUGGUAGUUAGUCAGAAUUUUCUUCUUCUUCGUCAUCAAUUGAAUUGUCAUCACCUUCAUCGCAAUCUUCAACAUGAAUAUCAUCUUCUUCAUCGACAUUUGCUUGUCCGCUAGAGCUCAAAACAAAAUUCAACUCCUCUGCAUCAACAUCAACAUGACUAUCAUCGAAAACACGAAAAUUUGAAUUUUCUUCCAAUUCAAUCGAAGGAGUAACUCGAUAUGGUUCAACCACCUCACUAACUUGAAAGACUUCAUCUCGCACACUUGUGUCUUCAUUCUCAUCCUGAACAACCUCGACACGACCCCGGGGUUUUGUUUUUAAAACGGACAACCAAUCCACUCUUGAUCGAUCCUUUCUAAAUGAAGGGGUGUAUGUGUAAUAAACUUGUUGACAUUGCUUUGCGAAAACAAAGACAUCGUUUAUGUUGCGGAGUCUAGCUUUUGAGUUGAUUUCGACCAGACCAUAGUGCGGAUCAACUCUGAUUCCUCUGUCAGUCGUGUCAUACCAAUAGCAUUUGAAUAAAAACACUAUAUUCUGCUCGUCAUGAUAUUGUAGUUCGACGACCUCUUCUAAUCUACCAUAGUAGUCAACUUCUAACUCACUACUAGUGGAUCCCUUAACACAAACACCGCUGUUGUAUGUCUUUCUUCCUUGCCCGUAUUCUUCAGUAUGGAAAACAUAUCCAUUGACAAAAUACCCGUUGUAGCACUUACAUUUUCUUUCAAGCCCCAGGCUUAGUGAAGACAAUGACUUAGGUGCACUCCUUCCCAUUUGAUAAACCUUGUAUGUAAUGUACAUCAAUAAAUAGUAAAUGAACGAGAAUCUCGUAAUGACAUGCAUACGUACAGUAAUUUUGCAAGUUAGAAUGAGUUUGUGAUAGUGCUUACAUGUGUUCUGAACCACGUGGCAAACUGCUCAUCUUGUAAUUGAAAGAUCUGGGAUUCGGUCAGCUGUGAGUUAUUGGAGAGCAAAUAUUGACGAUGUUGCCUGCAAGUGAUAAUGAGUGUAUGAUAUUACAAUAUAUAAUUAACAGUAUAUUACUAACAAAGUUUAAUUAGUAUAAACUUACUGAAUAAAAGGUCUCAGCUCAUCACACUUAAAUAGAACAUAGUUGUGUGCUUGUUUGAACUCUAUUUCCGACAAAUAUCUUCCUCUUACGGCAUUUUUAUGUGUGGGUCAUCCAGUAUUGGAGAAUAUUGACAAGUUCCCACUGGAUGGCACUUCACCGCCAUCAUCAUGCCGUGGACCGCGAUUGAUUCUCGUUCUCAGAUGAGGUUCGAAAUAGUACGAGAUAAAUGUUGAGAUCUCCUCAACAAUAUAGGCCUCACAUAUCGAAGCCUCAACAUGCGCCUUGUUCUUAACCUUUUUCUUGAGAUUAAACAAGUACCUGCAUUGAAAUAUUAAUCAAGUAUUUUCAAUUAAGAAAAACAUAUAAAAUACUUUUAUAUAUGAAUUACAUUGCAACUGUAAUAUCUAACCGUUCGAAUGGGUACAUCCAUCUAUAUUGGAUCGGACCUCCAGCUUUUGCCUCGAACGGUAGAUGUAUAGGGAGAUGCUCCAUUGAGUCAAAAAAUGAUGGAGGGAAUAUCAUCUCAAGUUUGCAUAGUGUCUCGACGAUAUUCGUUUGAAGCCUCUCAAUGUGAUCAACAUUCAACUUGCUGGAGCAUAUAUCUCUGAAGAAAUGACUAAUCUCCGUGAGUGCAUCCCAUAUUCCCUUUGGCAACAAAUCACGAAAAGCUAAUGGGAUGAGUGUUUGCAUAAACACGUGGCAGUCAUGACUCUUCAUUCCAUACAAUCUGCAGUCCUCUAUAUUAACCAGCCUUGAUAUGUUCGAUGCAUGUCCAUCCGGAAAACGCAGACUCUUAAGUCAUUUGUAGACUAGCAGUUGUGCGUUUUUCUCUAACACGAAGCUUGCUCUUGGUUUUGCAACCCGUGACUCAUCAUAAACCAACUCCAUAUUUUUACGGUUACAGUAUAAAGCUAUAUUCAAUCUAGCCUUGAUGUUGUCCUUUGUCUUCCCCUUCACAUCCAUGACGGUGUUGAAAAUGUUCUCAAACAUGUUCUUUUCGAUGUGCAUGACGUCAAGGUUAUGGCGGAGCAGAUUGGUCUUCCAAUAAGGAAGCUCCAAAAAGAUACUUCGCUUUACCCAAUUAUGGGUCAAACCAAAACCAGGAAACUUUUGCUUACCUGAUUGAAGGCCAAACACAAUGUCACCGUACUCUGAGACAACAUCAUGCAAUUCUUCACUAGAAAGACGCAGGGAUGCAACAUCUUUUUCAACUCUGCCAACAAAGAAAUCUUUUUUGUUCUUUCUGUACCUGUGAUGAAGUGGCAAGAAGCGACGGUGACAGUAAAAAAAAGAAGCUUUACCUCCAUUUGCUAGCGUGAAUGCCUUGUUGUUUUCCAUGCAGUAUGGACAUGCGAGUUUCCCAUGCGUGCUCCAACCAGAAAGCAUUCCAUAAGCUGGAAAAUCAUUGAUAGUCCACAUCAAUGCCGCCCUCAUAAGGAAAUUUUGUUUCCUCGAUAUAUCAUAAGUCAGAGCUCCGGAGGACCACAACUGCGCCAACUCAUCAAUCAACGGUCGAAGACAAACAUCUAUAUUCCGCCCCGGGCUUCUUGGACCGGGUAUGACAGUAGAUAAAAACAUGAACUCCGGCCUCAUACACAUUCCCGGUGGCAAGUUAUAAACUGUGAGUAUGACCGGCCAACAAGAAUAAGGAGCAGCAAAUGACCCAAAUGGGUUGAAUCCGUCUGUACACAACCCAAGACGCACAUUCCUUGAUUCAGCUGAAAAGUGAGGAUGAACACUGUUAAAGCGUUUCCACGCUUCGCCGUCAAAAGGAUGAACCAUCACUCCAUCAACCGCAUGGUGUGCUUGGUGUCAUGUCAUGUGCUCAGUAGUCCUUGGUGACAUGAAUAACCUCUGCAGUCUAGGUGUGAUCGGGAAGUAUCUAAGUUUUUUAUAUGCCACUAGAGUCUUUUCCCUGCUAGUUCUAGGUUUGUAACGGGAAUGCCCGCAUGUCAUGCACUUGGUCAUCUCAGCAUUUUCAAGGUAGUAUAACAUGCAGAAGUUAGGGCACAUGUCAAUUUUUUGGUAUCCUAAACCGAGGGGUUUCAUCAUGGACUUCGCAGCAUAGAAGUUCUCUUUCAGCCUGUUCCCUUCAGGUAAAAUGCUUCUCGCCCAUUCAAUAAUCUUGUCAUACUCGGCCUCACUCAACCCGUGAUCUGACUUGAUGGUGAACAUUUGUGCUACGACCGAUAAUUUACUGUGGUUCGUGCAGCCAUCCCAUAAUGGUUCGUUAGAAUCUUUCAACAAAUCAAAAAACCUAGCUGCAUCUGCAUUAGGUUCUUCUUCUACGAUUGGACAUUGACUGCCAUUACCUUGAUUCAUUCUCAUUGCAUCCAUAACCAUAUUUCUGUAAGGAUAAGUGUUGUCAUUUGCCGCUUCAUGCACGUUGCUAGCACUAGAAGUAGACCCAACCACCAUUUCUUCCAUUCUCCUCUUACUACCAAAUACUUCUCCAUAUGCAUACCAACACUGGUAAUUCUCCAUAAACCCUUUGUGUAGAAGAUGCAUCAUUACAACAUCUGGAUGCAGAUACUUUUUAUUUUCACACUUCCUGCAUGGACACCUAAUACCGCCUCCAAUAAAAUUUCUAGGAAUAGAUGUUGCGAAAUUAAUAAAACCCUGAACCCCGUUACAAUAAUCCAUCCUCCGCAAUCCUUGGGGUGAAUCUCGAUACAUCCAUGAACGAUCAUCCAUGACUUAUAUCGAACCUCUAUAAAAUUAUGAUGACAUCAUGUAUUAAUUAACUAAGUUAGGUAAAUAAACUUGCAAAAAUAUUACUUUACCUCGAGAUUAUCCAACAAACCAAUCACAACUUCUCAUAAAUAUUAAAUAUUCAUUAUUAUUUAUCAACGUCCAUACGAAUUAAAAUAUAUAAAUUUACAGAAAUUACCACUCCGCAAUACCAUUGAUAAAACUUUAAACGGACCCAUUAAGCAAGCUAUUAAUUAUUUCAAAAUAGCACAUGUAAUUCAUAUACUAACAAAAUACAUUUACUAAAAAAACAAUAAAAUUCACAUUUAAUUAAAUGUUAAAAUUUAAAAAGAUAGAAUUACUUACAAAAAUUGAUAAAAUCCAUCGGUAAAUCAGAACACGGAUGCUGUGACCACAAAACUUCAAGAAAUAUAACUUGUUGUGCUGAUAUGAGGAAGAUUUUUUUUUGGGGGGGGAGGGGGGGCUGGUUGUUUGCAGAUGGGGAGAGUUGGGAUUAGGAAGAAGAAGGAGAAAUAGGGGAGGAGAGGGUCAGCAGAGCUGACAUGUAUAUAUAUUAACUUUUUCCAACGGUUUCACCGACGGACACUCCAUCGGUGAUUCUGACGGACACAUAGACACGUCACCAUACGGAUCUGCCAUUUCAAAUCCCUCGGUGAGUCCGUCGGCAAUUUAAACGGCGAACCGGUCACGUCACUGUACGGGCUGUCGUUUUGAUUUCGUCGGAACAAAAUAACCCGCCAAAACCUCCACGUCAGUGACCCGCCUUUUUUUUAAAUUCGGAAACUUUUUCGUCCGUAAUUCAGUCGGUAACUACCGACGGAAAUUUUCCGUCUGUAGUUACCGACUGAAUUACGGACGGAAAAUGGUCCGUCGGUAGUUACCGACUGAAUGACAGACGGAAAAGUGUCUGUCGGUAAUUUCGACCUCAAAUUACCGACAUAAAUAUUUCGUCUGUAAAUCCGUUGGUAUUUAACGAAUUUCUGGUAGUGGAACUAAGCAUAUUGAGAUCGAUUAUCAUCUUACUCGUCAUCAUCUCAAGCAUGGAACCAUUGCUUUGCCUUUUGUUCCUUCUUCCUUGUAGAUUGCAGAUUUCUUUACCAAGGCGCAUUUCAUCUCUCGUUUUCAUUUUCUGGUUGGCAAACUCUCAAUGCUUGUAGCUGCCGCAUCGUGAGUUUAAGGGAAGAUGUUAAAUAACAUUUAUGUAGUCUUGUUUAUUAAGGGUAGAAUAUUACUUUCAGUUUAACCUAUAUAUACUUUAUUUGUUUUUAGGUUAAGACUAAGCACUCAUAAUAUACAGAUUAUUCAGAAUUCUAGCCUCCCUUUUGUGUUUGAUCUUAAUUCAUUUUAACAAUGCUAUUUGUUGAAGUUGUUGCCAGCCUUCAAAAGGUCACUCGAUCUCAUUUUAGAAACUGAUUUCUCAAACAUGGAAACCUGGAAUCUCAAAAUCUUCUUAAUCAGUACAUUCCUAGUGAACAAGUAUGUCAAGGAGAAAUAAAAGGAUUGUCAAUGCAUUUUUCCAGACUAAAGUUGAGUUUAAGGACAUUCAAAAAGGUACAGUUUGCAAGGCCCGGGGGGAUUUCCCCUGAGAAAUUGUUGGAAGAGAGGUAGAGAGACGUGGCAUACUGAAUUAUUUUAGAGAUAUUUUGUGGAAUAGAUCCAAAGAGCUCAUUGCUGGAGAGAUCUAUGCCCGUUAUGCUUGUGCAGUGUUUAAGGCCAAGAGGGAACCUGCCCUUGAGACCCAUAUCCGGAAGUCUGAUAUUCAACACCCUAUUCUCACUAGGAUCGAUGCCACCAUUCAACCCCCAAAAAGGUACAAAUGAAUCCUUCAGUAGAAUUCUCAAAGUUCCAAGAAGAGUUCGAGUAAUUAUCAGGGAAAGGUUUAGCCAGGUUGAGCAACAAUAGUGGUCACGGCUGCAACAAAGUUGUCACUGGCAGCAGCGUUGUGGGCAACAAUGUUGCUGGCACGAGUCAUGAACGUUUCUGUCCAUGAUGGUUAAUUCCUUGAGAUUGUUGGUAAGGACACAAUGGAGGAACAACAUUAAAGAUACUAUCUUUAAAGAUAUUUCCUCUAAAAAAAAAUUAUAUUUAAAAAUUAUUAUUAUAAACAAAAAACACUCAAAAAGUAUAGGUUUUACCUCGUAUAUAAAGGAAACAAAGAUUUUUUUCUUGCUCAACCCAACCUUAAACCUAUUAGAUUUAAAUAUUUCAACUUAAAAAAAAAUAUUAUACAUUUAAUUGGAAUAAAAAUCUUUUAAAUAACUUCUCAAAUUAUAUUAUAUUAUUUACAACAAAUUUUUCAAACCAUUGCAGUAAUUACAAUUCAAAUUAAAUUAUAAAUUAUUAAAUAUUAUUUUAAUAUAUUUUUAAAUAAAAAACAUUUUAAAAAAUAAAAAAAUACUCCUGAUAUACCCUGCUAUGCAGCUCUGCCGCUUGGAAAAUGAGCUAGAAAAGGUUACGGGAGGAGAAAGCAAUGCAAAUUCAUUUGAACAGCCUCCAUGAUUUUCAUUUUUGCAAUUAAUAGAAAAUUUAAAAUAAUUAUGAAAAAUCAAUGUAACUUCCCUCAUAUAUAUAUAUAUAUAUAUAUAUAUAUAUAUAUAUAUAUAUAUAUAUAUAUAUAUAUAAUCCGGGAUGUUCGGGUCAGCUUACGCGUACCACGAUUUAUUUUUGGAUCCANNNNNNNNNNNNNNNNNNNNNNNNNNNNNNNNNNNNNNNNNNNNNNNNNNNNNNNNNNNNNNNNNNNNNNNNNNNNNNNNNNNNNNNNNNNNNNNNNNNNAUUCUUCAAGGAUAGUUUAAUGUUUUAAAAGUAUAAAAUUUAAAAGAAAUUUUAAAAAAGUAAUUAGGAUUUCUGUUUUGAAUACUUCAAGUAUAAUUCAAACUUUUAAAUUUACAAAAUUUAAAAGAAAUUUUAAAAAAGUAAAUAGAAUUUCUGUUUUGGAUUCUUCAUGGAUUGUUUAAAUGUAUUAAAAUUAUAAAAUUUAAAAGGAAUUUAAAAAAAGUAAUUAGGAUUUCUGUUUUGGAUUCUUCAAGGAUAGUUAAAAGAUUUAAAAUUAUAAAAUUUAAAAGAAUUUAAAAAAAGGAAUUAUGAUUUCUGUUUUUGAUUUUUCAAUGAUAAUUAAAAGUUUUAAAAUUAUAAAAUUUAAAAGAAUUUAAAAAAAGGAAUUAGGAUUUCUGUUUUGGAUUCUUCAAGGAUAGUUUAAAUGUUUUAAAAGUAUAAAAUUUAAAAGAAAUUUUAAAAAAGUAAUUAGGAUUUCUGUUUUGAAUACUUCAAGUAUAAUUCAAACUUUUAAAUUUACAAAAUUUAAAAGAAAUUUUAAAAAAGUAAAUAGAAUUUCUGUUUUGGAUUCUUCAUGGAUUGUUUAAAUGUAUUAAAAUUAUAAAAUUUAAAAGAAAUUUAAAAAAAGUAAUUAGGAUUUUUGUUUUGGAUUCUUCAAGGAUAGUUAAAAUAUUUAAAAUUAUAAAAUUUAAAAGCAUUUAUAAAAAGUAAUUAGGAUUUCUGUUUUGGAUUCUUCAAGGAUAGUUAAAAGAUUUAAAAUUAUAAAAUUUAAAAGAAUUUAAAAAAAGGAAUUUGGAUUUCUGUUUUGGAUUCUUCAAGGAUAGUUUAAAUAUUUUAAAAGUAUAAAAUUUAAAAUAAAUUUAAAAAAAAUAAUUAGGAUUUCUGUUUUGGAUUUUUCAAGGAUAAUUAAAAGUUUUAAAAUUAUAAAAUUUAAAAGAAUUUAAAAAAAGGAAUUAGGAUUUCUGUUUUGGAUUCUUCAAGGAUAGUUUAAAUGUUUUAAAAGUAUAAAAUUUAAAAGAAAUUUAAAAACCAAAUUAUGAUUUUUGUUUUGGAUUCUUCAAGGAUAGUUUAAAUGUUUUAAAAGUAUAAAAUUUGAGAGAAAUUUUGCAAAAGUAAUUAGGAUUUCUGUUUUGAAUACGUCAAGUAUAAUUCAAACUUGGAAAUUUACGAAAUUUGAAAGAAAUUUUGAAAAAGUAAAUAGGAUUUCUGUUUUGGAUUCUUCAUGGAUUGUUUAAAUGUAUUCCAAAUAUAAAAUUUAAAAGAAAGUUUAAAAAAGUAAUUAGGAUUUCUGUUUUGGAUUCUUCAAGGAUAGUUUAAAUGUUUUAAAAGUAUAAAAUUUAAAAGAAAUUUUAACAAAAUGACUAUGAUUUCUGUUUUGGAUUUUUCAAUGAUAAUUAAAAGUGUUAAGAAUUAUAAAAUUUAAAAGAAAUUUAUAAAAAGUAAUUAGGAUUUCUGUUUUGGAUUCUUGCAAAGAUAGUUAAAAGAUUUAAAAUUAUAAAAUUUAAAAAAAGAAAUUAGGAUUUCUGUAAACCCCCGUAAAUAAAAAUAAAUAAUAAUAAUAAUAAAAAAAACACAUAGGAUCGAAGUAAUGACAUUUCGAUGAGUAAUGGAUAUUCGGUAUGAAAGAAAUGAAUAAAUAGUAGGGAUGACAAUAAAUGUGUCAUGUGAGAGAGAGAAUGAUCUCCAUAAACAAAUUUAAAGAUAUUGUUGAAGUCGAAAAGAGAGUCAUGAUUUUUAGUUUAAAACUUGUAACGUUAGCGAAACUAGUGACGAGUUUUAAUGGAUAAAAGAAUAAGAAAAAAAAAACCAGAAGAUAUGUAAACCCGGGUCAAAACACGUAUUUUGACAAAUUAAUGAUAAAUGUGGUAAUAUUGAAUUUAUUGAGUAUAAAUUAAGAGGAAAUGUCACGAGGAUCUAAGUAAAUAAAUUAAUGCGUGAAAUUCAGAUUUUAGCGUAAAAGACAUUGAUUGUCUAGUUUUACGGUAUCGAUGAUAUAUCUCAAUCCGACCGUUGGAUCGGGCUGAAAUUUUAUAAGGAAUCUCCAGACAUAUUAUUUUAUAUUAGGUUCAAAUUUCGUGUCAAUCGGAGUUUGGGAAGGAUUUGCGAGAGCACUGAAAAUCGGGUAAAUUGAAGAAGAUGACACAAAGGGCAUUAAUAAGGGCUUUUUUGUAAUUUUAUCAAAACAAAUACUCUCCUCUCCUCUCUUUAAAAACAGAGCACGUCCUCUGCAAAUGGAAAAACAGGAGGGAGACCAUUUGUUUUGUCCCAUUUUCUUCAUUUUCUCUUCAUUUCUUCAAGCUAAAUCAAAAGGGAGUGUGCUUAGGAGGAUUAUAUCCAAGAAAACAAAUUAAAUGACAACUUAGAGAGUUAUAGAGCUUGAGAGAAACAAAGAGAAGAAGCUGGAAAUUGGAAGAGGAGGACAUGAUUUUUGUAAAUUUUUGCAAGAAUUCAUUGAAAUAAGUUAAAGUAGCAAAGGUAAGCAACAUACCCUUUAGUAAUUUCGUUUUUCUCUCUUGUUCUUGCAUGAGGAGAAGAAAACCUCCAAGUUUAAAAUUCUAGGGUUCAUGUAAAUAUUUUGGGGGAGUAAUUGUUCAUGUGAAUUUCAAGAUUAAUUGCAUGAUAAUGGCUUGAUUUGCUGAAAAAUAGAAGGAAUAAAUUGAUUUGAAACUAUGGGUUUUGGGAUUGCAACAGGGCAGGAACUUCGGCAGCCAUAUUUUGACUUUGCACCGUUGGAUUAGAUUGAAUUUUGGAUAUGUUAUUAUACUCAAUGUCACCUACAUUCUGACCGGAGGGAUUGCAAAUAUCCGAUUUCGUUUGAGGGCUGUCACCGGAGGAACAUUUCUGGAAAAUCACCCUUCAAGACAGCUUUGUUCGUCGGCCGUUAUAUCAUCGUUUCACCGUUGGAUUGGUCUGGAUUUUGGACAUGUUAUUCAUCCAGAUGUUAUAUAAAUUCUGAACGGUUUGGAUCGGAAAAGAACACUCCUACCAGAAAUUAUACUUCCCGAACAGCAGGUCUCCAAAUUUCAGGUCAGUCCAGUAUUGUUCUGAUAUCGGGAGGUUUAACCGUUGGAUGUAUGUUAAUUUUGGAUAUGUUAUUCGAAUGAUGAUGAUGUAUAAUUCCACCGUUUGGAUUUAUUGAAUUCUAAAUUUACAGAAUGAUGUUUUAAGUUUGGUUUGAGAAAUAUUGAAUGAGAAUAUGAGGUUUAGCAUAAAAAGUAUGUUUUGGGACUAAGGAUAAUGGCAAUGGGUUUAAUGAUGAUGGUUGUGUUUGUGUUAUGUUUGAGUCAUGUUUGAUGUGUUGAUAAGUGAUGAUAUAGUUAAAUUCUAUAAAGAAUAGUGAUUGACUAAUACUUUGGUUGUGUUAGAAUGGGAAAUCAUGUUGUAAAUUUUGACCAAAACCAUAGCAGGGUAUGACCCCCAGGGUGUAUGGCUGCUGGGUUUGGCUGUGCAACCAUACCCAAUAUCCUUGGGUAUGGUUGCGCAGCCAAACCCAACACCUUUGGAGGGUAUUGGGUCCUGCACCUGAUCAAAAUAGCUAUAGUAUAAGUAAUCCAUCCUAGGGACAUCGGCAUAGGAAGAUUGAAAAAAAAAAAACAAAACGAUUGAUUUCCUUUGGUAGAUGGAUUGGAAAUCCAUGUUAUCACGUAUGUGAGAAUUCAACCCCCCGUACCUCUCUAUAUCUCUGUACAUCGUAAAUAUAUAUAUAUAUAUCUUUUUCACUACAGUAUAACACCACCAUUGAAUAUUAAUGCAAGAUCAUUGAUCAAUAAGGACGACUGGCUUCCAGACCCACCAACCAUACCCAAUUAAAUUUCUUUGUCGUUGCCUUCUCUGAUUUAAAUUUAUGUUUCAAAAUAAAUUGAUGAGAUUUUUUUUUAUAUUGUAUAAAAGUUGAGUGAUAAUAGUUUUUCCCAUUUUAGGUUGGGUUGAAUUUCCUAAUUAAAUCAUGUCUGAUUUUGCAUUUCGAAAAUUCCUUGAAAAGUUUUUGAUAAUUUUUAAGUUUUUUUUCUUUGCUUGAAAUUAAUAUUUUUGUUAUGCUUUUGUAUUUUUUUUUUUAAAAUAUGUUGAGAUUAUGUCUGGCUGCGAUGCCAAACCCAAGAAAUUUUAAAAUUUUUAAUUUUUUUCUUUACUUCAAAAUAUUAUUUUCUCCAUGUUUUUGUAUUAUUUUUUAAAUAUUUUUUUUAAAAAUAUAUUGAGAUUGUGUCUGGUUGAGAGGCGAGACUCAAGAAAUUAAAAAAAAAUUAUUUUUUUCUUUACUUCAAAUUAAUUUUCGUUUGAUAUUUUUUUCUUCACUUCAAAUUAUUUAGAUCAUGUUUGAUUUUGCAUUUCAAAAAUUCUUUGAAAUUGUUUUGACAAUUUUGAAGUUUUUUUUCUUUACUUCAAAUUAAUUUUUUUUUUAUGUUUUUGUUUUUUUUUAAAUGUUGGCAUUGUGUUUGUCUGCGAUGCUAGACCCAAGAAAUUUUCAAAUUUUAAUUUUUUUCUUUCCUUCAAAAUAAUAUUUUUUUUCAUGUUUUUAUAUUUUUUUUAAAAUAUAUAUUUUAAAAAAAUAUUGAGAUUUUGUCUGGCUUGUUUUUGGGGCCUCUAAACCCAAGGGCAGUUAGAACAGACCUCGACGGUGGGUCUGCACCCAGCGCACUGGUCCAGAGGCCAGGAGCGCGGGGUUGCAGACCCUGCCUCGCGGGUCUGCAAACCCUAGGGUCGCAAGGUUGCACACUCGCUCGCACUGGAAUGCAGCCAGGCGCGCGGGUCUGCCCUACCACCUAAGGCAUGGCAGGCCCCGUGCCAGGUGUCUGCAUGCUAGGGCCUUGGCCAACCCUUGUGCCAAGUGGCAGCAGCCUAGAGCACGAGCAGGCGCACGUGGUCUGCCCCACUCCCAGGCCUGACAGCCUAAGCGCCAAGUGUCCCCAGCCUUAUGGGUUGUGCGUCCAGCGAGGCACUUGGGGCCUACACUAAUAUUUUUUUCAAAAAUUAUUUUUUAACAAUAAUAAUAAUAAUAAUAAUAUUUGUUAUUAUAUUUUUUUUUUGCAAUUUCCUUCUAUUUUUAAUAUUAAUACAAAUAAUAAUAUUUAUUAAUAAUAUUUUUUUUAACAUUCAAAGAAAUUAAAAAUAAAAAUAUUUAGAAUAAAAAUAAAAAUAUUUAGACUACAAAUAAUAAUAUUUAUCACAUAUAUAUAUAUAUAUAUAUAUAUAUAUAUAUAUAUAUAUAUAUAUAUAUAUAGCCGGAAGAAAUUAGAAAAAUAAUAGGAGUCUGGAGCGGUCAGAAAAUGGUUAGAAAAAUUGAUUAAGGAGGUUAAAAAAUACAAAGAUUGAAAUUUUGACAAUAUAUACUUGAAUGAUGAGAGCCCUGUUGGAAAAGAAAAUUCAAUUUGAGGAGAAAAGUACAAAAUUAGAUGUUUAUGGACUCAAUUGGAUUUUAUUGAAGGUUUAAUUGAAUUUAUAGAGGGUUUGAUUGCAAGAAAAAUUGUUUUUUAAGUCAAUUUGGGCUUUAAUUGGAAGAAAUUAAAGUUCUGGGGUCAAAUUAUAAUUUUUAAGAGUUGAUUUGGUCAAAUUAGGGGCUUAAUUGCAUAAAUAUUGAAGUUUGAUGGCCAAUUAGGGACUUAAUUGAAGAAAUCCGAAACCAAGGACCAAACUAGAAAAGGCGCGUAAAUAGAGGGGCUGUAAUUAACCAAAUCAGGGCUUAAAUUAAAGAAAUUGGAAGUUUAUUGAUCAAUUGAGGGUCAAAUUGUAUAAAUCGGAAACCAAGGACGAAAGUGGAAAAGGCGGCCAACUAUAAGGGCGGCGAUUGAAGUUGGCAGGGAUUCAAUUGAAAUGAACAAAAGAUAAAUUAAGGACUGAUUUGGAAGUUGACGUGUUGGCGCCAUAUUUAAAUGAAACGGCGCGUUUUGUCCAAAACGACGCCGUUUCAUGUUGAAAAAAAAUAUAACAGAACGGUGUCGUUUUGAGAGACACUGUUCCUCCUUCUUCUUCCCCUGGACGCGCAGCAGGGGAAGAAAGAAACUUUUGUUUUUUCUUCUUUAAUUCUUCAUGCCUAUCUCCCUCCCCGCGUGCUUUGCCAAACAUCCGAAGCCCGAUGCCCCCUCAUAAUGAGAAACUAGCAAAGACGUGCCCAGCAAACCGAGCCCGUUGGUCACCUCAACCGGCGUCGUGACAGGGCAGUAAAGCCCUGCUCCCCAUGCGCAGCAAUAGGGCGGCAAUAGGGAUGCCCCCGCUCCCUUUGCCCUAUAUAUACCACCCAACGCCAGCACAUGACAAAAAAAAGACAGAGGACGAAAAAGAAAACGAGAGGAAAAGAAAAGGAAAGCAGACGGUGGAGAGAGAGAGAGAGAGAGAGGAAGACGAGUUUGAAACAGGGGAGGGUUUGAGAGUAAAAAAAAACAGACAGAGAGGAACAAAAAGAAAGGUAAACAUAGCAGCAGAAGAGGAAAGAAAACGAAGGAGAAGGGAAGAGCAGUAACCUCUCGCUCCGCCGUUUGUAACAGCGACACCGCCACCGGCCUCCACCGCAGCACCGCCAGCGAAGCAGCCAGACCAGCAAGGCACCUCCUCCUCCGCGUCAGGUAACUUUUCUUUCCCCUCCCUUUUUACUUCAUUUUGGGCAUAAGUUUCUCCUGCAUGCAGAAUGAAUAGCGUUCUGCAUGCAGGAGGAGGAGGAGAGGGGGAAAAUAAUUCCCCCUCCCUGUUUUUUCUUUCUGGGCCAGGCCGGUUCUGGCCCAGCCCUUAUGUCUGGGCCGGGUCCGGCCCGGACCCAAAGAAGCAGAGAGAACUGUUGGGCCGAGAUCGGCCUAACCCUUUUGGGCUGAGGCCGGCCCAGUUAACUGGGCGACCCAGCCCACACAAUUAUAAUAUUAUAUAUUAUAGUAUAUUAUAUUAUAUAUAUAUAUAUAUAUAUAUAUAAUUUUUUAAAAAACAAAUUCUAAAAAAUCCUUAAAAAUUUUGUUGAUUUUUCUGCAUAUUUUUUUUAUCAAAAUUAUUUAAUACUAGUUUGUAUUUUUAUACCGUAAAGAUACAGAUCCAGUAUUAAAACAUCCGGUUUUCGUCAAAACAUUGCAAAAAAUUUAUAUAAAAUAAAAAAAUAUUUUGUUUUUCAUGCAUACGGCCAAGUAUUUCAAAGAUAAGAAAAAUCAUCACAUCGUAUUUUCAUACAAAAAAAAAUCAUAUUGUUUUUUUAUACAUAAAACACAAAAUAUUCAAAAAUAUGUUUUAGCAUGCACUUUGGCUUUAAUAACAAGUUUGUUAGAGCCAUGAGAACUAGGCCAAUAUUUCAAAAAUUCUAAAAAAAUAUUUUUGUCUUCUUUUAGUAUCUGGGAUUACGAAUUUAUACGUAAAACGUAUUCCUGAUAUUAAAAAUGUAGUUUUCUUAUAUAGGCGUUAGAACGGUUAGAUUUUUACCCGAUAAGAUAAGGACCUCUUUACUGAGGAGGACUUUUCUUGAACUAUAGACGGACCAACAAUUAGAAAUACAAUAGCACCUUAGCUUUUUAUCAGACAAUCAAACAAUGCAGCUUACCUUAGGUAAGGCGUAUUUGGGGUGCUAAUACCUUCUCUUUAUGCAAUCAAUCCCCGUACUCGAUCUCUGAGACCAGUUAGAGUUCCUAGUGACCAAAAUACUAGGUGGCGACUCCCAUUCUAUUUUCCACCGAUAAAAGACAAGAUUUUCUUGUCUCCCCAUAUUUGCCACAUAGAUAUACAUUUAGAUUGAAGUGGAAUAUUCAUCACGACGCCGCACACGUGUGACAAUAUUAAGAAUAAUAUCUACAGUAAUAAAUUUUUUAUGUUAAUUAACAAUGAGACAAUAAUAAUAAUGAUAAUUGCUAUUGUAUUUUUUCCCCCUACAGGGUCUGCCGAUCCAGCCAUGCGAGCCUCUAAACCCAAGGGCGGUUAGAACAGACAUCGGCGGUCCGGUCUGCACCCAGUGCGCGGGUCAUGAGGCUAGGAGCGCGGGGUGCAGACCCAACCUCGCGUGUCUGCAGACCCCAGGAUUGCGGGGCUGCAGACCCGCUUGCCGUGGGGCUGCAACCAGGCGCGCGGGUCUGCCCCUAGCACCUAAGGCGUGGCAAACCCCGCGCCAGGUGUCUAUAUGCUAGGGCCUCGGCCAGCCCUAGCACCAGGUGACAGCAUCCUGGGGCGCGCGCAAGCGCGCAUGGCCAACCCAACGCCCAGGCUAGUCAGCCCAAGGGGGUGUGCGUCCACCUAGACGCUUGGGGCGUGCAAUAAGAUUUUUUUCAAAAAAUGUUUUUUAAAGAAUAAUAAUAAUGAUAAUUGUUAUUAUAUUUGUUUUUUCCAAUUUUCGUCUAUUCUUAAUAUUAAUACAUUUAAUUAAAAUAAUAAUAAUAAUAAUAACAGUAAGAAUACAAAUAAUAAUAUUAUCAUAUUAAUAAUAAUAUUAAACUUGUUUGACCAAAGUUGAUACAAUAUUAAUAAUAAUAUGAAGCUUGCUUGACCAAAGUUAAUACAAUAUUAAUAAUAAUAUUUAUCACAUAUUUUAUCAAAUUAUUUAUAAAUAAUAAUAUAUUUUUUAUGUUUGAAAAAUCCAUUUUUUAUAUACUCACAUCAAAAAAUUCAUUCGUGUAAAAAGGAAAUAAUAAUAUUAACUAUAUAUGCAUAUCCAUAAGAUCUCAAUGGAUUGCCCCUUACUACAGAAUGUAGCACAUCCUUAAGCUAGAAUAAAGUGCCUUCACUGAUUAAUCUAGCAUAUCUAAUUAUUUGAAAAAAAUUUCAAAUUUCAUUUCACCUUACAUAAGAAUUUAAUACUUAAUAUUAUUUGAGAAUACAUAAAGAUUGCAAGCAGCGGCUUUUAGUGAACUUUUGAUGACAUGAAACUGCCACAAAAUGGGUCCUAUCCGAGAGGGCGUUCUUUUCUGUUCUGUUAUCACAUAGAACUGAAAUCUGUUCACAGUACCCCUCCAAGAAAAUGGUCUCUCAAGGUAAGUCCUGAGGAAUUUGACACAAAUAAAACGAUAUAUCUUGUCCCAGUAUCAAAAAAAUGUUAAAAAAUGUGAGCAUAUGAACACAUGAAGUGGUCUCAGAAUCUAUGUUCCUAUUAUUUUUAACAAUACGGAAAGGCAUAACUAACUGUUUGUACUAUAAUAUUCUUUGGUAUAUUUAUUACCGAUGGACUCACUAGCAGACCAUAAAUUAUUGACGAGAGUUUUUUCGACGGACUGUCUCCAUCCGCGUGAGCCUGUCAACAAAAUACAUACCAAUGAACUGUGAGUGUGAAUAUCGACAAAAUUUUCUGUUAGUAAAACUGUUAAAUUUGGUAGUGAUCGCUUGAUCCGCCACUAGAAGUGAUGACAAGUUAUGACCAUUUUAAGUUGUUAUUCUGGUCUGACACAAUUAGACCUUCUCUUGGACCUAGACUUGUCCUACUAGUCUAUAAAUAUAUAUGUUAGAACAUCCAUAUCAUCUGUCUAGAGCAGAUACUAAUCUAAUUGUGACAGACCCACAUAUGGCAGCUCAGAAUCAUCUGUUAUCGCAAACCCAACUACAUCAUUAAUGGUCUCUCAAGGUAAGUCAUGAGGAAUUUGAAGCAUAUAAAACGAUAUAAGUUGUCCCAAUAUCAUAAAAAUGUUUUAAAAAAAUGUGAGUAUAUGAACCCAUGAAGUGGGAUCAGAAUCUAUGUUCCUAUUGUUAUUAACAAAACGGAAAGCCACAACUAACUGUUUGUACUAUAAUAUUGGGAGUGAGAGGUACAAUGUCCAGAAUGCUUCUAAGGAUAACCAUAUCCAUAAGAUCUCAAUGGAUUGCCCCUUACUGCAGAAUCUAGCGCAUCCUUAAGUAAAUAAAGAAAGCUAGAAUAAAGUGGCCUCAGUGAUUAUUUAGCAUUAUUAAGUAGGCCAAGUACUCUUCACUGCUUAUUUCCUAAUAAUUCCUUACUGUGGAAUUGCACUUACAAAUAAAGAACUUGUUCUUGAUAUUUUCGUACGGAAUUUCGUUUAUUCGGAUUAAUUUGAGGUUAACUAGAAUAAGAAAUAAAGAUAUAGGUUUUGGAAAGAAUAGAAAAAAAGAUUAUCAAAAGAAAUUAGAAAGGAAAAGUUAGUUAUAUGGAAUCAGAUUCACCAUUAAACUAAAGAGUCGGAAGGAAUCAUUUGUUCAAUAAUUGAAUGCGAUUUUUGUCUUAUAUAUAUUUUAGGAACUUUGCACUCGAUCGAAAGGGAACAUUUGUGCCACCAAGUACUAACAAUAACUGUCCAUAGUUUUGCAUGCAUAGACACUUUUUUUCCCGGUGUUAAUAGAUAUUUUCGGACCAACUUGAAAGCAAUUAUUAGAGAUAUCAAUUCAAUCUGAAUUCAAUAUGCAUACAUAUAUAUUACUUUUUUUUAUUUUAUAUUAAAUAUUAAAUAAUGUUUAGGAAAUAAAAAUCUAAAUGGAUCGAUGAAUAUAAUAUUAGUUUCUAAAUGAUGCAACAUAGCUAGAAGAAACUGAAGGUUAUGAGUGGACCUGAUAUAGCUAGAUGAGGGUCAAACCACCAACAAAUUACAUAGAUGACUUAACAUUUAUUUUUAUGGUUUAAUAAGAUAGGAAUAGGUUCAAGAAAAAAAUAUAGUCAUGCCAAACCAAUAAAGUAUCUAAAAGAAGCCAUAACUUGUCAUCCAAUCGUCAGAUAAAUCUCAAAUUUUUACUUAGAUUCCCAAAGCCCAUCUCUAUGGAGGAGCUCUUUGGCAAUCCAUCCUCUAAAUGGAUUUCCUCAAAUUAAGAUGAGAAGAUCCGGCUUAAGCCAAUUUUUUUGUUGUUUUUUUUUUUUUUCAAAAUUUUAUGUUUUAUCUCGGAUUUUCCAUUAUUUUUCAAAUUAAAGAAACCGAGAUAAAAUACCCUGAAUCUUCUUUCAUAAUUUGCUUUCGAGAAGGUGUAGUGUUUUUGCUACUUUUACUUUUGGACCUGACUUGAUUCCUGACCGGUAGAAACAGCAUUAGUCCAAAAGCAGGGAAGCUUUUGUUUUCUUUAAUCACAUGAUCAGAUAUUCUCAUUUAUGCCCAGCACAAAUUCAUAGAAGUGGCUCUAAUGAUUGGCUGACAACAGUUGUUAAUGAGCAGUGUUUGCGUCCCUUAUUUUUCAGUUUACUAAGUAUUUAGAACAUUCAAUUCCAAUCCAAAGUCGAUAAUAAUAAACUCUUGGUGAUGGUUUUGUUAUCGAAAGUGAUCGGACAUCGGACGACAAAAAAACCAGUAAAAUUUCUUGAACACAUCCAAAUCUAACAGUUUUUACUUUUUUUGUGUUUAAAUAUGAUAUUAAUAAACUAUUGAUGAUAAUCUUUUUUUCAUUUUAUGAUGUUUUUAUCGUAGUAGUGAUAAGAUGAAGAAAAGCUAUUGAUUUUUCUCUCAGCAAUGGUUUGUUUUAUCGUACACAAAUGUUGGGUGCUUUUAUUUACAAAAAGGAGUACUGUCUAACAAUAUUCAUUCCACAGCUGUUGUCAACCAAACCUUCCCGAUCUAUAUAAAGGUUGGUUUGGCCUCACACAUAUUAGCCAAGCAAGUAAACCAGCUCGACCUAUAUACAGCUACUUGUCUUGUGUAUUGACUGACAAAUUGUAGUUAACAUGGCACGUCAGGCAGACCGUCUUGCUAAGAUUGGGCUGGAGGGCUUUGCAGCCAGAGAUGAGCACUUCGGCCGGGCCAAGAGGCGGCCACCAGUGCUGAAGGUUCCCUAUGCUCAUCCGACAUAUUACUAUGCAAACCAAAUUCCUGCAACAGAAGUUAUCGACACCAACGAGGCAGCUCAACGCUACAAGGGGAGGGUUUAUCUCGAUUAUCCUAAGGGGAAACCAGUUCCGUUUUAAAGACCUAGUGAUUAAUCACUUAGCUUUCUUGUAUGCAUAACCUCCUCCAGUUGUGUUACCUUUAGUCCUGUACGAUAUUCUCCCUCUGCUAAACGUAUACGAGGAGAGGUUGCUAGAACUCGAGUCAGGAGCUUCUUGUUACUUCUUCAAAUAAACUUUCUGUGAUUUAUAUAUCAUUUUCUAUUUGUAUGUAUUGUCAUAAUUAUCACCUCUUACUUAGCAUGGAAUUGAAAGAUACAAUAUGCUCUUGAAAUGCUUUGAAGCUCUUCAAGGUGUGAUUUCACCGACUAAGUUGGAACUGUACAGAGCUCAAUGAUGAGCCGUAGGAGGCGUCUCUGAUUGUUGCACUGUAAGCAUGAGUGUACGUAUGAAUAUAACCAGCAGAUCCGCAAAGCACAAGUGAUGACAAGCUUCUUAACACGGCUACAUUUAACAGUUUUACCAACGAAAUUUUUUGUCGGUAUUUACUCUACCAUUCCGUCAGCAUGAAUUUUACCGACUGAUUUACGGACGGAAACAGUCGGUCGAUAAAUUCCUCUUGUCAGUAAUUUUAUUAAUGUCGGUAAAAAAAAACCGAUGGUUUUACAGACAGAAAAUGCAAGCCAAUUUUUUUUCCACUGGAAUAUAAAGACAGAAUUAUUUCUUCGGUGAUUGACAGUGGCAUAUGGAGUAAUUUUAUUCCAAACCCUCUAUAAAAUACCGAAGGAAUUAUUCCAUCGGUGAUGUAACAGUUGAAAUGGCAUAUGCAGUAAUUAUUUUUCAACUCUCUGGAAUAUAACGACCAACAAAGUUUGUCGGUAACUCUGUCCGUAAUAAUUAAAAAAUAUAUUUUAUACAAAAUUGUAUAAAAUUCAAGUAUGUGAAAAUAAAUUACCUAUGCUCAUCCGACAUAUUACUAUGCAAACCAAAUUCCUGCAACAGAAGUUAUCGACAGCAACGAGGCAGCUCAACGCUACAAGGGGAGGGUUUAUCUCGAUUAUCCUAAGGGGAAACCAGUUCCGUUUUAAAGACCUAGUGAUUAAUCACUUAGCUUUCUUGUAUGCAUAACCUCCUCUAGUUGUGUUACCUUUAGUCCUGUACGAUAUUCUCCCUCUGCUAAACGUAGACGAGGAGAGGUUGCUAGAACUCGAGUCCGGAGCUUCUUCUUGCUUCAUCAAAUAAAAUUUCUGUGAUUUAUAUAUUAUAAUUUUCUAUUUGGCUGGUCAAGUAUGCAUUGUCAUAAAUAUCACUCUGCUUCCCUGAUUAUUACCUUAUUCACCUAUUACUUAGCAUGAAAUAUUGAAAGAUUAAUGCAGUCGGAAGCACAACAAUAUAGCUGCAAGCAUAGAAAGACAAAAGAUAAACUGAAAUAAUGUUAAAACACUGAGAAUCCUAAAACCUUAUUUCUAAAUUAUUAAUUUGAUUAAGUUUACCUUCUAAAGAGGUUUACAAUCUCUUUCAUAGACUAGAAAAAUAGGCCAAGAUUCGAAACAAAAUCAGAAUCCCAAAACAUAACGGAAAAUAACAUAAAAUUUAAAAAUAAACAAUAAAUCUGCGAAAAUUAAGGAAAAAUAACAAAAUUAUCCCAAAUAAUAACUAAUUAGCCUACUUUAUGGAGAUACAAUGCUCUGAUAACUAUUGAGUUGUUUUUAAUGGGAAAACGGUUUGUAGAAUCUUCUAUAAAAAUUUAAACCUGAUUUAACGGUUAGAAUAUCUCCUGUUAUCAUUAUUUUAGGCUAUUAUUCUGGUCUUGCGUGAUGAUGCUUUCUCUUGGCCUAAACAUCUUUCACUAGUACAUGAACAUAUCUGUUAGUAGUCCGUUUAGGGCAAACAAAUAAUUAAUUUGCUGUUCAAAUGCUUUGAAGCUCUUCAAGGUGUGAUUUCACUGAAUAAUUUCGAGUUUAGAAUUAUCACCUCAUUUUAGAAUUGUCCCGAGCACAAGGAUAAAAUGAUGAGCCAUGGGAAGCGUCUCCGAUAAAGAAAUAAUAAACGGAGUUCAAGGUAAAACAAUAGCUUAGAAAAAAAAAAGUAGAAAUUUACACGAUAUCUAAGAAUAUCAGCGAUCAUGACCAUGAUUGGAUCAUUUCUGAGUUCUACAACCAAAAUUUCCUUCACAUCUCUUUAACUAAGCUGAUAGUCGAUGAAGAUUUAAGGAAAAACAUGAUUCCCAAUCCGAGCCAUAUGAGCAAGUGUAUCUAGUAAAAAUAUCUUAUCUCCCAUGAAAAUCAUAUUAGUAAGCCUCCCUCUGAAGCAUUGCUUUACACAUAUCUUUUACAGAAAAAAGAGAAAAAUGGGAAAUGCUCCGAGUUAUACCUUUUCUUGAUCUUUCCCAAUCCUUCAUUAUAAAUGGGACCCAUCAAAAACAUGAGAUGUGCUUUAACUUCCUCCAUAUUUCAUCUUAGCCUAGAAGGAUAAACAAGAAUAUUAUUGCUUCUGAAACAUAACGAUUGCAAGCAUCGCCUUUCGGUGAACUUUAGAUGACAUGAAACUGCCACAAAUUGGGUCCUAUCCGAGAGAGUUUUCUUUUUCUGCUCUGUUAUCACACAUAUACAACUGAAAUCUUUAAGUCCUCUUUAGGGUAUCCCUGAAAGAAAAUGAUCUAUCAUGCAUGGAAAGUCCUGAGGAAUCUGAGGCAUCACUACAUGAAAUUCAACCAACGGAAUUGCCGACAAACUGUUUCUUUCGGUAUUUUGCGGUGAUAUUUACCGACCGAAUUACUUCCCUUGCUAAAACCGUCGGUAUAUAUCGAGUGAAUCCCAGAUAGAAUAUAAAGAAUUUUAAAAAACAAAGCAGUGCAAUGACGUGGAAGUUUUGGUGGAUGAUGUUACUGAUGGAAUUACAGAGUGAUUCAAACUGGGAUGUUCGUACAGUGACGUGUUUACUUCACCGACAGAAUGGCCGAUGGAUUUACAAACAAAAAUAUUAUGUCGGUAAUUCCAUCGAUAAUAGUUAAUAUAUUGAAUGUUUUUUUAGUGUUUACUUGUUUUAUUACUUUUCUCAAACAAACAUGUAGUAUGGAUUUAUAAUUUUGUACUUGGUAUGGUUUGUUUUAGAUUUUGUAAAAUUAUAUUUGUUUGUAAAUUGUUGAAAUUUAUGUCGAAUUACCGACUUAGGUGUGUUGUGAUGAAAUAAAUAAUGACUUGUUUGAUGGGUCCGUUUUAAUUUUUGUCAAUUUUAUUGCCGAGUUGUAAUUUCUGUAAAUUAAUGUGUCUAAAUUUGUAUGGACGUAGAUAAUUGAUAAUGAAUAUUUAAGAGAAGUUUGAAAGUAAGUUGGAAAUCUUGAGCUAAACCAAUAUUUUUGCAAAUUUAUUUGCUUGACGUAGUUAAUUAAUACAUGUUGUCAUCAUUAUUUUAUAGAGGUUUGAUAGAAGUCAUGGAUGAUCAUUCAUGGAUGUAUCGAGAUUCACCUUAAGAAUUGCGGAGGAUGGAUUAUUAUAAUAGGGUUCAGAGUUUUAUUAAUUUCGCAACAUCUAUUUCGAGAAAUUUUAGUGGAGACGGUAUUAAGUGUCCAUACAGGAGGUGUAAAAAUAAAAAGUUUUUGCAUCCAGAUGUUGUAACGAUGUAUCUUCUACACAAAGGGUUCAUGGAGGAUUACUUGUGUUGGUAUGCACACAAAGAAUUAUUUGUUCGUAACAAGAGCAUGGUAGAAAGGAUGGUUGGGUCAACUUCUAGUGCUAGCAAUGUGCAUGGAGUUGUAAAUGACAAUAGUAAUCCUUACAGGAAUAUGGUUAUGGAUUCAAUGAGAAUGAAUCAAGAUAAUGCUAGUCAAUGUCCAAUUGUAGAAGAAGAUGCUAGUCAAUGUCCAAUUGUAGAAGAAGAACCUAAUGCAGACGCGGCCAGGUUUUUUGAUUUGUUGAAAGAUUCUGAUGAACCAUUAUGGGAUGGCUGCACAAAUCACUGUAAAUAAUCAGUUGUUGCAUAUGUGUUCACUAUCAAGUCAGAUUAUGGGUUGAGUGAGGCCGGUUAUGACAAAAUUAUCGAAUGGGCGAGAAGCAUUCUACUUGAAGGGAACAAGCUGAAAGAGAACUUCUAUGCUACUAAGUCCAUGAUGAAACCCCUCGGUUUAGGAUACUAGAAAAUUGACAUGUGUCCAAACUUUUGCAUGAUGUACUACCUUGAAAAUGCUGAGCUAACCGAGUGCAUGGCAUGAGAGCAUUCCCGUUACAAAUCCAGAACUGGCAUGGGAAAGACUCUUAUGGCAUAUAAAAAACUUAGAUACUUCCCAAUCACGCCUAGACUGUAGAGGUUAUUCAUGUCACCAAAGACUACUGAGCACAUGAUAUAGCACCAAUCACUUGAUGCAGUGGAUGGAGUGAUAGUGCAUCCUUCUGACGGUGAAGCAUGGAAACACUUUAACAGUGUGCAUUCUCAUUUUUCAGCUGAAUCAAGGAACGUGCAUCUUGGGUUAUGUACAGAUGAAUUCAACCCAUUCAGGUCAUUUGUUGAUCCUUAUUCUUGUUGGCCGAUUAUACUCACGGUUUACAACUUACCACUCUUAUGGCAACAGUUGCUCCUUCUUCACAAUACUUAUGGAACAAAGACUUGUUAAGUGCUUGACUAACGGACUGUUUUUCUCAAAGCUUUUAGUUUGGUUGACCUGAAACUUUGUUUUCGUAGCAAUCCCCAUCAACGGAAACUACGAUCAAACUGUGUACAAUUUGGUUAUCUUGAAAUCGCAAUCUAGUGAUUUGCUUAAUCCAAAACCAAAAUCAAUGCCAAAGUUCGGUCAACCUGAGAUCCCAAUUUGGCGAUCCGCUUUAACUAGAACUAAAAUAUGAAAAGUAGCUCGGUAACCUGAAAUCCCAAUCUGGCGAUUCACUUUAACCAGAACCUUGGUCUUUGUCGUUAAGUUGGUCAACCUAAAAUCCCAAUACGACGAUUCUCUUUAAUAAGAACCAAAAUGUCGCCUUUAGCUUAGUUAAUCUGAAAUCUCAAUCUAGAGACCCCCUUUAACCAAAACCUUGGUCUUUAUCCUUAGCUCGGUCAACCUGAGAUCCCAAUCUAGUGAUUUCCUUUAACCAAAACCAAAAUGUCACCUUAAGCUUGGUUAACCUGAAAUCUCAAUCUACAGAUCCCCUUUAAUCAGAACCUUGAUCUUUGUCUUUAGCUCAGUCAACUUGAGAUCCUAAUCUAGCUAUUCCCUUUAAUUAGAACAAAAAUGUCACCUUCAGCAUGGUUAACCUGAAAUCUCAAUCUAGAGACCCCCUUUAACCAGAACCUUGGUCUUUGUCUUCAGUUCGGCAAACCUAAAAUCCCAAUCUGAUGAUUCGUUUUAACCAGAACCAAAAUGUUGCCUUAAGCUUGGUUAACCUAAAAUCUCAAUAUAGAGACCCCCUUUAACUAAAACCUUGGUCUUUGUCUUUAGCUCAUUCAACCUGAGAUCCCAAUCCGACAAUCCUAUUUAACUAGAACCAAAAUGUUUCUUUCAGUUUGGUUAACCUGAAAUCUCAAUCGAGUGACUCCCUUUAAUCAAGCGAUUCCCUUUAACUAAAACCAAAAUGUUGCCUUCAACUCGGUUAACCUAAAAUCUCAAUUUAGAGACCCCUCUUUAACUAGAACCUUAGUCUUUUUUUUUUAGCUCGGUCAACUUGAGAUCCCAAUCUUAUGAUCCCAUUUAACAAGAACCAAAAUAUUGCCUUCAACUCGGUUAACCUAAAAUCUCAAUUUAGGGAACUCUCUUUAACUAGAACCUUAGUCUUUUUCUUUAGCUCGGUCAACUUGAGAUUCCAAUCCUACGAAUCUUGAAACAUCAUCCCCUUCUUAGUCCUACUUUGAUUUGCCAAAAAAAUGGAAAAGAAUGAAUGAUAUGGUGGAGAACUAGACCGGUCUUUACCAUUGGCUAGAACCAACCAUAGGCUGCUUAGAAAGCAACCUUCAACACCUAAAAACAAACCACCACAUAACAACCCUGCAAUUAUCAACAACAACAUCUAGUUCUAGCUACCUAGUCUAUGUCAAAGAAUAGAAUCUGAGGCAACUUUUUGACCAAAAUUCCAUUCUCUAUUAUUCCUUCAAUAUUGGGGUUUAAUGCAAGCAACUUGUUUAUUCGGAUUUGAGAUGUAAAUAGAUUUUAAUUUUGUUAGGAUGAGGUGGUCAGGUUGCGUCACAUUGAUUAUGUCAUGAAGUUAACUAGAGUAAGAAAUAAAGAUAUCAAGUUUCGGAGAGAAUCAAGAUCAGUUAAAGCAAAAAAAAAAAAAAACAGAUUAUGAAAAUAAAUUGGAAACGAAAAGUUUAGUUAUAAGGAAUUAGAUUCACAAACAAAUUUAAGUCUCAUCAAUUCUAGGAAACAAGUUGGAAGGAAUCAAUUUUACAAAAAUUGACCUUCGCACUAGAGAGAACCUUCGAGCCACUUCAAAUGUACUGAAGGCCAUUUGUUUGCCAUAUGUGCUAAUUAAGAACAUAAUUCUAUUCUUUUGUGAGUUAAUAUUCUGUAAAAUAAGCUUGGAAUAGCUUGCGGGGGCUUGGCUCAGAGAUCAUUGAGUUUUUACUACAAAUUGCCUUUUAAUUUUUUUCCACCUGUAAUUGGAUUCGAUAAGUUUCCCUUUUGUUUACAUAUGAAGAACAAACAUUGCUUGAGGUUAUCCAAUGCCGAGAUCAAGGUCAGAUAAUACUAGCGAACCCCUAAUCAGGAUUAAGAAGCAAAAAAAAUGUUAAGUGCAGCUUAUCCAAUGCCGAGACCAAGGUCAGAUAAUAUCCUGAUUGUGCUUAUUGCCAUUAAUUAGAAACUGCAAUAUCGUCACAUAAUUAAACUGAGAUUAUUCUGAUUAGAGAACAGAAGGAAUCUUCUUUCAUAAUUGGCUUUUGCGAAGGUUUAGUGUUUUUGCUGCUACUGCUUUUGGACCUGACUUGAUUCCUGAUCGGUCGAAAAAGCAUUAGUCCAAAAGCAGGGAAGCUUUUGUUUUCUUUAAUCACAUGAUCAGAUAUUAUAAUUUAUGCCCAACACAAAUUCAUAAAAGUGGCUCUAAGAUUGGCUGACAACAGUUGUUAAUGAGCAGUGUUUGCAUCCCUUAUUUUUCAGUUUACUAAGUAUUUAGAACAUUCAAUUCCAAUCCAAAGUCGAUAAUAAUAAACUCUUGGUAAUGGUUUUGUCAUCGAUGGUGAUCGGACGACAAAAAAACCAGUAAAAUUGUUUUAUAUAAAAAGUUUAUUAAGUAUUGAAAACAUCCAAAUCUAACAUGUUUUACUUUUUUGUGUUUAAAUAUGAUAUUAAUAAACUUUUGGUGAUAUUUUUUUUUUCAUUUUGUGAUGCUUUUAUCGUCAGUAGUGAUAAGAUGAAGAAAAGCUAUUGAUUUUUCUCUCAGCAAUGGUUUGUUUUAUCGUACACAAAUGUUGGGUGCUUUUAUUUACAAAAAGGAGUACUGUCUACCAUUAUUCAUUCCACAGCUGUUGUCAACCAAACCUUUCCUUUCUAUAUAAAGGUGGCUUGGCCUCCUACAUAUUAGCCAAAGCAAGAAAACCAACAAAACCUAUAAACAGCUACUUGUCUUUGUGUGUUGAUUAAUUGUAGUUAACAUGGCACGUCAGGCAGAUCGUCUUGUUAAGAUUGGGCAGGAGGGUUUUGCAACCAUUGAUGAGCACUUCGGCCGGGCCAAGAGGCGGCCACCAGUUAUGAAGGUUCCCUAUGCUCAUCCCACAUAUUACUAUGCAACAGAAGUUAUCGACAGCAACGAGGCAGCUCAACGCUACAAGGGGAGGGUUUAUGUCGAUUACCCUAAGGGUAAACCAGUUCCGUUUUAAAGACCUAUUGAUUAAUCACUUAGCUUUCUUGUAUGCAUAACCUCCUCCAGUUGUGUUACCUUUAGUCCUGUACGAUAUUCUCCCUCUGCUAAACGUAGACGAGGAGAGGUUGCUAGAACUCGAGUCAGGAGCUUCUUCUUACUUCUUCAAAUAAACUUUCUGUGAUUUAUAUAUCAUUUUCUAUUUGUAUGUAUUGUCAUAAUUAUCUUUCUUACUUCCUCAUUAUCACCUCUUACUUAGCAUGGAAUUGAAAGAUACAAUAUGCUCUUGAAAUGCUUUGAAGCUCUUCAAGGUGUGAUUUCACCGACUAAGUUUGGAACUGUACAGAGCUCAAUGAUGAGCCGUGGGAGGCGUCUCUGAUUGUUGCACUGUAAGCAUGAGUGUACGUAUGAAUAUAACCAGCAGAUCCGCAAACCACAAGUGAUGACAAGCUUCUUAACACUGCUGCAUUUAACAGUUUUACCAACAAAAUGUUUUGUCGGUAUUUACUCUACCAUUCCGUCAGCAUGAAUUUUACCGACUGAUUUACGGACGGAAACAGUCCAUUGGUAAAUUCCUCUUGUCAGUAAUUUCAUUAAUGUCGGUACAAAAAAACCCGAUGGUUUUACAGAUAGAAAAUGCAAGCCAAUUGUUUUUCCACUGGAAUAUACAGACGGAAUUAUUUCUUCGGUGAUUGACAGUGGCAUAUGGAGUAAUUUUAUUCCAAACCCUCUAUAAAAUACCGAAGGAAUUAUUCCAUCGGUGAUGUAACAGUUGAAAUGGCAUAUGCAGUAAUUAUUUUUCAACUCUCUGGAAUAUAACGACCAACAAAGUUUGUCGGUAACUUCGUCCGUAAUAAUUAAAAAAUAUAUAUAUUUUUAAAAAUUAUUUAUUGAACAAAAAAAGAAAAUAAUAAAAAAUAUAAAAUUGUAUAAAAUUCAAGUAUGUAAAAAUAAAUUACCUUAGUAUAAAAGCCAAAUAUUCAUUACAAAUUUAUAUGUUCAAAUAAAAUUAAACUAGAAAAAUGGCGGCGUUGGAGGAGGCUGAUCGUUCCCGGGACCAUAUGGCCAAAAAGAGUGUCGCACGUGACCCGCGCGGCGUCCGAUGGUGAUUUUUUCGUUAUGCGUUUGCUUGAUUGGUUCGUUGGGAGUCGCCACCUAGUAUUUAAUUGAGGGCAACUAGGAAACCCGGGUGUACUGGUCUUGUCAGAGAUUCACGGGUAAGGGACUGGUUGUGGUUAGGGAAGGUAUUUGCACCCCUAACGCACCCUACCUGAGGUAAGCUGCUUCGUGGCUUUGAUGUGAUAAAGAAGUUUUAAAAAUUUUGUUCUUUCAUCGGGUAUUAGAAAUACGACUUACAUGUAAGUUCAUAAUUCUUGACCGUGAUCAAAUCAAAAUAUUAAAUUCUUCUUUAUUCUUUGCAAUUUUAUCAUAAAAAAAAUACAUUUAUAAAAAAAAAACUACAAACAAACACAUUCACUUUCACUAUAUUUUUUCUUUUCUUUUUCUUUUUUUUCUUUUUCACAUCUAUAUUACAAAAAUUCAAAACUAAACAAAAAUUACAUUAAAUAAUUUGAAAUUACAAAAAUAGCCCAAAAACAAGUCCAUAACAGUGCUGGGAAGCUUUCUGGAACUGCAUGCAGUGUUGAAGAAGGUUCCUGAACAGUUGAACAGUGCGUCGCCACGAGAAAUUCCAGGCAGCAGGGGGCGCUGCUGCGGCUUCCUCCCCUCUUCACUUCCCUGCCGGCGGUUAGGGUCUUCAUCACCUGCAAAAGAAUAAAACACCCAAACCAGUUGAUUUUAAUUUUUCUUUCUUUUUCGGAUCUGUUUCGGUCUUCUCCUUUUCAGAUCUACUUCACCGCAGAUCUUUCUUUGGUUUACAUCUUCUUCUCCUUCGCUUCAGGUGGCCGGUAGUUGGGCGGCGACGGCGCUGGAUUCAGGUUGUUGCUUUGGCCGCUGCAAUUGGUGGCUGAAGGAAAUGGCGUGGAUCUGUGGGCUGCCGUGUGCUGGCUGCUGUGGCUGACGGUGUGGGCGGCGCUGAUGGGAGGAGGAAAUGAAGGAAAAAGUCGGGGGGAAAAGGGAGGCAAAUCUGUUCUGGGGUUGCAGGUCUGCAGCAAUAGUGGAAGGAAAUGGGGGAGAUCGGCUGGCUGGGGGGCUGGUCUCUUUCGGCCGGUUCUGAUUUGCUUUUGGAUGAGGGGCGUGAGUGGUGGCUUCUGUUGAUAAGGGGAAAGGAAGGCUUGUGCGGGGAAGAUGAAGAUGACCGGGAGGGGAGCGGCCAAGGAAGAAGAAAAAAAUCAAAAACCAGCGGGGGGCGGUGUCUGCUCUUUUGUUUUGCCAAGUGGGGAGCGCUGCUGUUUGGGUAAAGAUAGGUUUAGGUUUAGGGUUAGGGUUUCUUGUAUCUCUCAAUGUGUAAAAUUACCCCCCUUCUCCUUUUGUGUGUUGUGGAGACCAGUAUUUAUAGGUAAAAAUAUUGUUUGGGUUUUUUUUUUUGUAAAUUUGAUUUUUCUUGUUUUUUUUGGAUUUUCUUAUCAACAUCGCCUCGAAUGAGGAAAAUCAGUGAUUUUAAAAAUAACGCGUUAAAAGUCAAACGCGUUCCAAAGAUCUUUGAAAAUUUAAAUUCUUUUGAGACGAUGUUGAAAAUGCUAAAAACGAUGCAAAUAUAUUAAAAAAACAUAUUUUUUUGGAUUUUCGAUGUUUUCGCUAUUUUUGGAUUUUUCUGAAAAUUUAUCAAAAACAUGGGUCAAAAAUUGGGUAGCAACAAAGAGGACGCACAUGUACCACCCAUCUGUGAUCUUAUAUCCAUCGCCAUUCUACGGAGUUCAUAAUAAUCUGCAUAGAGUCGUUCAUAUUCUUCAAUGAGAUAGGUCGUAUGUUGUUGUAAGGUCACGAACUCCUGAGACUGGGUGGUCAAUAUCGAUUGCAAGCUCCCAACGGUUGAGACACUACGGGCCAUCUACAAGUUGGUCGUGGUGUUGGAGAGUUUGCACACCUGAUUUCUAUCUGGUCUACCAGAUGAUCCUACCUCCAUCCACAAAUCUGGAUCGAAAUCCAGGUGGGUCGAAGGAUCGUUCCCGUAUCUCUCCCUUAAUCGUCUGUUAUAUGUCUCCUGGAAAUAAAAAAACUGAAAUCAUCAAAUUUAAUUCAAGUAAAUAAUAAUUUACAAAAGAAAAUGGUUGAACGAACAUACCACAAAGUGUUGAGCGCAGUAGUUAACGAACUGUUGCACCUCUUUUUGGCAGUCUUCACUCUACACGUGCGUCUCCACAAAAAGCUCCAUUGGGCUUGGCUCACGUCUAAGAGCUGUAGUCUGUAAGAAAAAAAUGUUGCAAGUAAAAUAAAUUUAUAAAUAACAACAAAUUAAUUAAAGAUAGAUGUGAUUAAAAUUAUUUUUUUUGUUAUUUUUUUAAUUUUUUAGGCUUUGUUUGGAAAAAAAAACCUAAUUUUUUUGUAAUAAAACUGUCGAAACAAGCAUAAGGGGGUGUUUGCCAAACACACCCUUAAACCAAAAAACCCUUUUAGCAAAAAUAUUGCAAGCUAAACAAGGUCUUAACCCUUUGACCCAUUCUUGACCCAACUGGGUUGACCCAAUCGAGUUGACCUGACUGGGAUGACCUAAAAUCUUUGGUUUCAACCAUAAACCGAACCAAAGAUCCUAGUUUGACCCGAAAACAACUCAAAAAGAAAACAAAAGCCAAAAAACAGAUUAAACACCAAAAAACAUGAAAAAACUUGAAAAUAACGAAUCAAAUGCAAAAAAUAAAAAAAGAACACGAAUAACAUGAAAAACAUUAGAACUCAAAUUCUAGCAACAUGAAUUCUAAUCUAGACCAUAUUUCAGGAAAUAAAAAGCACAUAAAGGAUGGAAAUCAAUCAUUGAACAAUAAUUAAGCAUCAAGCAUCGAUGAUUAUCAACCAAUAAUCACGAUUGAGUCAAAAUAAGUUUUGGUUCAAAACCAAAACCCUAUGAUUAAAACCCCCAUAAAACUUGUUAUUGAUACAAAUGAGCUCUAGACUACUAAUUAAUCAAGUCCAAUGAAGUGUUUAAUGCAAAGGAAUGGACCAAAACUGGUCCAAAACAUAGAGAUAAGCCAAUGUUAUUCCCAAGAACAUAGAACUCUGCCUUAGAAAACCCGGCUAUUGUCAAGCCACCAAAACUGGCAUUUUCAACCACUAAAAAAUGCUUUCUUCAUUUCAAAAAGUCACACUACCAUAACCAAACAUGUUUGAAUAAAAAAUAAAUAAAUAACAUCAAAAGCAUGCAAGAGGUUCAAAACUACAAACUUAAAAUAGCCUAUAUAUUUAUGCAAUUUGGAUUCAAUUUUCUUCCUAAACCUUCAAAAAAACCCAACCAAAACCUAGAAACUAAGAACAUGCAUUAGUCAACAUAAAAAACAUCAUAACCUUGCUGCCACAUCUAGUAGAUUUCAAAAGUACUUUAUUUCAUCAAAACUCAACCAACAAACAUCACUUAAGUAUUCAGAGACAUUAACAAACAACUCAAAGCAGGAUUUAAACAAUAAAACAACCUUUUUAUGUAUUAAUCAAAAUCAAAACUAAAGAACAUCAUAACAGUAAAGCAAGUUUGAAAACAUCAUUAAACAUGUAAAAUAAGUUAGAGGUAUGUCUCAUGGACAUCACCUAUUAGGUUAGUUAGGGAUUAUAUCUUUCAAAAAUUCAGAAUAGUUAUUGCCUUUCUUCCUUUUGAAAAUCCAAUCUUUUUUCAAUCUUUAACUUAUCCUUUUAGCUUUUGGAUGCCAAGUGUCGCAUGUGGGCGCAAGAUGUCGGGGGGUCAUGGGAGUCACCACCUAGUUUUUUGGUUCAAAGUCGCUAGGAAACUCGGGUAUACUGGUUUUAUCAGAUAUUCCAAGGGUAAGAGACUGAUUGUGGUUGGGUAAGGUACUAGUACCCCUAAUGCACCCUACCUGAGGUAAAGUGUAUUGUGUGGUUUAAAGGUUUUUAUGGAUUCCUAAAUGGUGGUAUGUCUAUGACUUAAGAUGGGGAUUUAUUCAUGUGAAUAAAUCUGGUUUUUUUUAAUUUAUUAUGGUUGUAGACAAGAUCCAUAUAGGUGCCCUAACAGGGUUCACCUAUCUUUAAAGGUGGAACGACUUUCCACAACUCAUGUAUUGUGAUGAAAAAUACUCCCAAUUAAAAUUGGUGAAUGUUUAAAAUAAUUUUGAGAAUUUUCUCGUCAACUCAUGAUAUUUAAAUACCAGCAUACUUGUAAGUUCAACAUUUAUACCAAAAAAUUGACAAUUAUUUCUAAUGAAUUAAUUUUUUUUAUGGAUUUUUGAAAUAUUGACAAAGUUCUAAUGAAUUCAAUAAACUGGUUAUUAAACCCAAAAUGCAUGGAAAUAUACUAAACAAAGUGGUAUUUUUUGGCCAUGUAAUAUCAAAGAAGAGUAUCUAUGUGGAUCCAAAGAAGAUAGAAACAAUAUUGAAAUGGGAAAGACCUACAACUGUGACUGAAAUUCAUAGUUUUCUAGGCUUAGCUUGAUAUUAUAGGAGAUUUAUAGAAGGAUUUUCAACGAUAGCCUCUCCAAUGACUCGACUAACUUGGAAGGAAGUUAAGUUUGAAUGGUCAAAAGAGUGUGAAACAAGUUUUCAAGAGUUAAACUCCAGGCUAACUUCAACCCCAGUAUUGGCUUUACCAAAAGGACAGGAGGGAUUUGUUAUGUAUAGCGAUGCUUCCAAUAAGGGUUUGGGUUGUGUAUUUAUGCACCACGGAAGGGUAAUCGCUUAUGCAUCUAGACAGUUGAAACCAUAUGAGAUAAACUAUCCGGUACAUGAUUUGGAGCUGACAGUUGUGGUGUUUGCUUUGAGGAUAUGAAGACAUUAUUUGUACGGGGUACAAGUGCAGAUUUUUACAGAUCACAAAAGUUUAAAAUAUUUGAUGUCACAAAAAGAAUUGAAUAUGUGACAUAGGAGAUGGAUGGAGCUAAUCAAAGAUUAUAAUUGUAUUAUUGACUAUCACCCGGGGAAAGCAAAUGUGGUGGCAGAUGCUCUGAGUCGAAAGAAUAAAGCUUUUAUUAGUGGUUUACUAGUGCUAAGUGAGCUAAAUGUGCUUUUGGAUGUGACUUCAGGAGGAAUAUUACUAGCAACGUUAGUGCUAUAAUCUAAAAUGAGAGAAAAGAUUCGAAAAGCUUAAGGUGAAGAUCCUGAAGUGAUGAAAGAAAUGAACAUUGUAUAAGUAGGCCAAGACUCUUUAUUUCGUAGUUAUGGGAAACAUAAUAUAUUUACCUGAUGAUAAGGUUUUAAAAAGUGAAGUCUUAAAAGAAGCUCAUGAGUCUAAAUUGGCGAUCCAUCCAGGAAGCACGAAAAUGUAUAGAGAUUUGAAGGAGAGUUACUGGUGGCCAAAAAUGAAGAGGGAGAUAGCAUAAUACGUGGUCAAGUGUGCCAUAUAUCAGCAGGUGAAUGUAGAGCAUCAAUGGCCAGUUGGAGAAUUACAAUCUCUUUCGAUUCCAAAAUGGAAAUGGGAGAAUAUCACUAUGAAUUUUGUAUCUAGGUUACCGAGAAGCAGGAAAGGACUUGAUGUCAUAUGGGUGAUCGUGGAUAGACUGACAAAGUCUUCUUUAUUUUUGCCUAUGAAGAUGGGGGAUUCGGUUGAAUAACUAGCUCAAUUAUAUAUUAAAGAGGUGGUGAGAUUGCAUGGUGUACCAGUUUAUAUAGUUUCUGAUAGGGAUCCUUGGUUUACAUCAAGGUUAUGGCCGAGUAUACAACGGGCUUUGGGUACCAUAUUGAAUUUAAGAAUGACUUUUGAUCCACAGACUGAUGGGCAAUCUGAAAAGACAAUUCAGAUUUUGGAAGAUUUGUUGCGGCUUGUAUUCUAAAGUUUGGAGGUCAAUGGGAGGAUCACUUGCCAUUAGUAGAAUUUACUUAUAAUAAUAGUUAUCAAUCUACUAUUGGCAUGGAACCAUAUGAAGCAUUGCAUGGAAGGGGAUGUUGAACUACAGUAUGUUGGGAUGAAGUUGCGGAAAGAAAAUUAUUAGGACCUGAACUGGUGCUGAUCACGGUUGAUAAGGUGAAGGUGAUAAAGUAAAUGAUGAAAGAAGCUCAAGACCGGCAAAAAAGUUGUGCUGAUAAUUGACGGAGACCUCUAGAGUUUCAAAUUGGAGAUGUGGUAUUUUUAAAAGUUGCACCAUGGAAGCAUGUGAUUCGGUUUGGAAUGAAAGGCAAAUUAGCACCCAGGUAUAUCGGGCCAUAUAAAAUUAUAGAAAGAAUUGGGACGGUCCUAUCGAAUAAUACUGCCACCACAUUUAGAUAUGAUACAUAAUGUGUUUCAUGUUUCGAUGCUGCGGAAAACAGACUUGGAUCUUGCAUGAAUUUUGCCACAAAUUUCGAUGGAAGCACGGGAAGAUUUAACUAUGGAGGUACAACCAGUGCAAAUUAUGGACCGAAGUAUAAAAGAGUUACGAAAUAAAAAGGUGUCGUUAGUAAAGGUAUUGUGGAGAAACUCUCGAAUAGAAGAAGAAACCUAGGAGAGAGAGUCAGAAAUGAAGAAGAAAUAUUCUAGAUUAUUUUUUUACAUAGGUAUGAAUUUAGAGGACAAAAUUUUUUUUAGGAGGGGAGAAUGUAAACCCCCCGGAUGAAAAAUAAUAAAUUGACUAGUUUUAUGUAAAAUAAAACAUUUCAUAACUGUUGAUCGGGUUAUUAGACAAUUCUAAAAAUUUACGUGGAGCCUUCUAAUAUGAUGCCUUAGCUUGGGUUAAAAUUUCAGAAUUGUUGGAGAAAUUCAGAAAUUUGACAAAAAAUCACAAUUUGACAAAAAAUCACAAUUUGACUAGUUUUACGUUAUUGGACGUAAUUUUCAAUCCAAUCCUCAGAUUGAGCUGAAAUUUUACGAGGGACUUUAAACUAUAUUGAAUAAAAUUUGGUUAAAGUUUUAGGAUGAACGGAGCUCGGUAUUGCUAAAAAACAAUAAGGACCGUCAAAUAGAAGUAAAAGUACUCAUUAAGGGUAAAAUGAUUAUUUGCCAUUAAAAAAUAAAACAAAUCAGCUCUCCUUUCCUUUUAUAUGCUGCCGACUGUGCAGAAGCAGAGUGGGAAAAGAAAGAAAAGAAAAAAAGCAAGUGAGAAAGAGAGAAAAGUAAGGAAAAAAUAAGAAAAGUGAGAGAAUAACCUUGUAAACUUACAAAGUCCAACUUAUAAAACACUAAUCUAAGGAAGAAUCAAGUGAAGGAAGGAGGAAUUGAGAGAGAGAAUUUGGCUAACCUUGGGAGAGAAGAGAAAUUGGAAGAAAGUCAAUUGGUAAGUAUGAGAAGUUUGGAUUUAAUGUUUGAUUUAGAUGUUUUUAAGCUAAAUUGAUUAAGUUAGGAAGUAAUUUCAUGAAAUUUUACUUUAAUUUCCCUUAAAUCCUUGAUUCUUGAACUUAGGGUUCUUAUGGGAAUUUGGGGGAAUUAGUAAGGGAAGGAAAAAUGAUGAAGUUGAAGUGGAAUAGCAUGAAAACAAGUUGAAAUAACAAGUAAAUGAAGAAAAAUUUGGGGGAGGAAAAAGAAGAUGACAUUUGGCCAAAUGAAGGAAAAGUGGAGGAAUGAGUUUUGAUGUUAAUUUUUAGGAAACUAUGUUUAAUCAUGAUAUUUGAAAUAUGCAAGAAUGACUAAAUAAAGAAAUAACAUUAAAGUUGAGAAAAAUAAGUAAAUUCAAUUUAAAAGAGAAUUGAACUAGUUAAAAAGAAAGUAUGAAGACAAGAUGUUUAGAUUGUGUUUGAAUAUAGUUCUUACAUAUGUUUAGAUAAAAUAAAUAAUAUGAUGUGAAGGCAUAAAGAAUAGAAGGAUUAUUUGAUGGAGGAAUUAUGAACAUAAAGCAAGAAAAGAAGUCACUUUUUUUUAAAUAUGUGGUUGUAUGUGAAAUGAUGGUGUUAUGUUUGAGAAUGAAUUUUUAUCAGAAUGAAUUAAAACAAAAUGUGCUUUGCGUUUCGGCACGUAAGAAAAAUAUUGAUGUACUAAUGAUAUAAUGAUAUUUGAUUGAUUCAGGAGUUGUGUCUGGAGCUGGUUAUCAAACAGGAGGAGCCGGGUCAUCACGAGCACAAGGUAAGUGAUUCGUCACCUUAUUUGUAAGUUUUCCUUAAAUAUCUAUGUUGUUUAUUUAAUUGAUGUUAAAAGAAUGAAGCAAAUGAAUAAAUUAAGUGAUUAUUACAACUGAAUAAUUGGUAAUUUAUGUGAAAUUACCGGAAUUACUAUUUGGCUUACAAAAGAGGUUAGCCGGAUGCUGGGCAAUUCAUAUGAAAUUACCGAAUUGAUUUUGGCAACCAAAAUAGGUUAGCCAGAUUCCUUGGGUAAUUAUGAGAAUUACCGGGUUUAUUGGUUAACAAAGAGGUUAAUCAGAUAUGGGGUAAUUCGUAUUGAAUUACCGGAUUGAUUGGCUAACAAAAGAGGUUAGCAGGAUGAUGGGUAAUUUAGAUGGAAUUAUCGGAUUUAUUGGUAACUGAGGAAGGAUAACCAAAUUUGUGGGUAAUUAUAUGAAAGUGUUAGAAUUAUUGGCAAUCGAGAUGAGUUAGCUGGAUAUUUAAUUUUUGAAAAGAUUAUGUAAAUUAAUUGAAUGAAGUUAGAAGUAUUAAAUUUCAGAGGUUAAGAGUAAAAUAAUUAAUAUAUGACUAAGAUAUUGAGUAAAUUAAUUAAUGUGGUUAUUGUUGAAACAGGUACGCGAGGUGAUGCAAAUCGUUAGAUGUAGGAUUUUUCUGUUUAUGAAUUAUUAUUUUGGAAUGUAAUAUUUAUGUCUUUGUUUUCUUUGAAAACCCUUAUGUUGUCAAAAUCAGAUAGAAGAUGUGUAGUAUGUAAUGAUUGUAUUACCUUCGUGUUGUAAAAAUCAAAUAGAAGAUGUGUAAUAUGUAAUGGAUGUAUUAUAUAUAUGUAUAGAUGUUAGUAUGGUAAAUCAUUUUCAGAAUGAUAAGAUAAGUUUAUAAUAUAAAGUAGUAGAAUACAUUAUAUGUUUUAAGACAAUAUGACUCUUAAUCUUAAUAUUUUAUCCAUUUAGUCUAAAUGCAUAUAUGUAGUUAAUUAACAUUUAUUACUUUUUAGUGAUGAAAUUGUUUAUCUUUCAAUUUGUUUUAGUAAUUCUUUUAUGUUGACUUGUUAAUUCAUAUUAUGAGACUUGAAUAUGUUGAUAACUAUAAGUUUUGAGAGAUUGAUUGAUGAAUGGGAUGUGAUCCAGGAUGAUUGGAUCAAGAUGGAAGUUGUAAUGGCAUAUAAUAGAAGUGUUGUUGAUAACUUGAUACCAACAAAAAUAGAGGAAACUCUGCCAAACUUUUCAAAAAAUAAAAUAAAAAUCCAUAAUCUUAGACAUAUUAUUCAAUACUUGACAUUCGUAAAGAAAUGUUUGAGAUUUUAUGACAUUAUAAUUUGAGGAUGUUAUAGUUUGGUACUAAGACAAACCAUGUAUUUUAUAUUUUAAACAAGAUAUGAUUUUUAUUUUUAUUUUUGGAAGACUUGGUCGUAUGUUAUUUAAGAUAAAAUUGUAUUUUUGAAAAAAGAGAUUUUUUUUUUGUUGUUUUUGUAAAAGGUAAAACGAUUCGUUUAACAUCGAAGAAGCGUCUCGUGUGUGUGUCACGAUUUUAAAUAUUAAAUACGUGAUGAUUGGAAAAUAUGGAGAACUCAAAAUUAAUUGCAAGAUGAUCUUCCAAAGAUUUUGAAAAUGGACGAAGAUAGUGUUUAGUAAAACACAAAUAAAUUAUUUUUAUGAAGGCUAUUUUAACCACGAUAUUAAUUCAAAACAAAAUAUCGUUCAUCAACUUGAAACGAGCAACACCAAAAAUCCACAUGAAUCUUAUUAAUUUCACAAACUUUGUUCAAACUGCGUAUUAAUUCAAAGGAAUUAACACAAACCCAAACAUGCAUCAAUAUUUAAUGUCCAAAAAACAAUCACAAUCUAAUAAUAAACUCAUAACUCACCACAAAUACUCAAAUCACCUCAAAAUCAAUAAUACACAUCAAACCAAAUUAAAAGUGUCCAACAGUCCAUAAAAAAUACACAAUAAUAAGCAUUUUUCCUAAAAUUUCACAACAUUGUAGCAAUUUAUCUGAAACAAUAUUAGUAAUUAAAAAACUUCAAUAUAGAAAAGCGGUGAUGUAUACAAGUGGAUUUGUCUAAGCAUGAAAGCCGUUCAAGAGAGGAGUCACCAAUAUAUAUUCCUUUCUUAACUCUCAAUUAUAUAUAUUUCUUAUCACUUUAUUCAUGAACUCUUGAUAAAUCAUCAGACCACCGCCAGGACCUUAAAUCCAGACCUUUGCCUACCGCAUUAAUUGACAAGAAUAUUUCAAGCAUUUAGAACCUUAAAGAUACCAACACAAAAUUGGGGCAGAUUUUUUUUUUUUUUGAAAGAUGUGUAUAUUAUUUAAACGCCAAAGCCUGGCGGGAGUAGUACAGAAACUACAUAAUAUCUUACUAUGGCAAAAAGCCAUAAAUAGGAUAAAGCGCAGUAUAAGAAAAACAAAAGCAAAGAAAACCUUAGAAUAGCCAUCCGAAUGAGCUCAAAGCUAAACAAUCCUCUACAAAACAAAAAUGAAAAUAACGCAAAGACAUAGUGGGAGAAGACACAAGAGCAAGGCCAUAGAAAAAAAAGUGUAGUCAAAGCCAGGCAACAAAAUCACUUGAUCUUUGCACUCCUUGUUUAGCCAUGCAAUCUGCCAUGCAAUUACUUUCACGGAAGAUAUGGGAGAAGGUGAUUGAACCAAAAUAUGCUUUCAGCCUAUUAACAGAGGAGAACAGAUUAUGAUGCUUCCAGGGACGGUUGUGAGGCUUAUUCAUCCAGCUAAUAGCAUUGACAGAGUCAGAUUCUAUGAUGAGGUGUUGAUGGUGGAAGAGACAAUUAGAUGCUGAAAGUUCAAUGGCUUUGACAAUAGCCCUUAACUCAGCAAUAUUAGAGUCUAAAAUACCAACUGAAACAGAGAACAUACCGAGAAGAUGUCCAUGAUGAUUUCGCAGUACACCACCUAUUCCAGAAGGGCCUGGCUUACCAAGAGACGAGCCAUCCAUGUUCCAUUUAAGGCUAUUAAUCAUAGGAGGAGACCACAUAUUAUGAAUCCUGAAGGAGUGGGCAUUGGACCACCGAAGUAAGCCAUUUGCCGAUCUGAUCAGAUCUGAAGGGGAGUAUGGGAAAUCAGAAUGGAUAGCUUUUAGCCAUAGACAUAGACAGGUGAUAAUAAGAAAGAAUAUUGAAUCAUAGUCAGGUGUCUUCUGUUGGAAGAUCAGAUCAUUUCGAAGUAGCCAAAGAGACCAUGCCACUGAGAAGAACAACAUCAGCCACGCCUUCCUCUGAAAAUGACCAUGCACCAUGGAAGUCCAUUGAGACCACAAAUCUGAGAAGCUCUUUGGGCAACACCAAACUAAACCCCACCACUUAAUGAUUUUGGACCAAAUCAGCCAAUGCUUAUGGCAUUGAAGCAGGAUAUGGUCCACCGAUUCUGCCUCCACUAGGCAGAUAGGGCAAUUUGAUUCUGAGCUACUCAAUAUACCCCUUCGAACCAACAUGCAUCGGGUGUUGAUUCUGUUAAUGAUAGCCAUCCAGCAAAAGAUCUCUACCUUAGGAGGGACAAUACCUUUCCAAAUUCCAGCAAACGAGAAGGCAUUGUUUGUGGAAGGCUUUGGGCUUAACAAUCCAUAGAGAGAUUUAACUGAAAAUCUUCCUGAAUUAUUGUCCUUCCAUAUUAGUCUAUCCUCUCCAUCUUUGUCCAUGAGUACAGUCGAUAGGAUUGCAUAAAGCUGAUCGAGCAAGCCAAUGCUGCGCCCCCGUAGCGGACGUAUCCAGGAAAAAAACCAAAUCCACUCAUACCCUUCCCACAUUCCCAUUUUAGCAAUGCUGGCAGCUUUGUCAUUGGAUAAUUGGAAAAGAGUAGGGAAGUGCUCUGCUAAACAGUGGUUAUUAAGCCAGCAGUCAAGCCAAAAUUUAGUCUUUUUGCCAUUUCCGAUAAGAACCAGAGAUUGCUCUUUCACAAUAUCCUGCAGGUUAUUAUUUCUCACACAAUGAUUGACAAUUCGGGACCAUGUAGUUGCAGCUCCUGGAAUAGGAGCUUGCAGCAGCAGAUUAGAGCAAUUGGUGAUGUGGAUGCUUUUGAUCACAUCCUUCCACAAACUUGAUUCCUCCGACCCAAACCUCCAUAACCAUUUAAAGAGCAGAGCUGUGUUUUUGUCCCUUAAGGGACCAAUCCCAAGGCCACCCGCUUGUUUUGGAAGAGUAACAGUGGCCCAGCUGACAUUGCAUAUUUUGUGUCUUUCCUCAUUUCCAGACCAGAGGAAGGAUCGAAGUUUGUGAUCAAUUAUGGAGGCAACCGAAGCAGGCAUAGGGAACAUAGAUAGGUAGUAGAUGGGGAGAUUGCUGAGCACAUAUUUAAUCAAGCACAAACGACCCCCAAUAGAUAAGAACCUGCAUUUCCACGAAGCCAACCGGAAACUGAUAUUAUGUAAAAUAGGAUUCCACAUUGUAGCUCUGCCCAGGUUUCCAUCAAUGGGGAGUCCAAGAUACAUGAGAGGCAGCUGAUCCUACUUGCAUCUAAGAAGCUGAGCCGUGAAGUUACAUGUAUGAGCUGCUACACCCACACCGACAAUGCUACUUUUAUAAAAAUUGACCUUCAACCCCGAGACAAGUUCAAAGCAUAAUAGGAUACGUUUAAUGUUCUGCAUGCUAUGUAAAGAGUCUGAACUGAAUAUAAGGGUGUCGUCCGCAAAUUGUAAGUGAGAUAUGACAAGCCCUGCAUUGCCGAUGUUUAUACCUGAAGUCAAACCCAAAUCACAGCCACGCUGCAACAUACAACUCAACCCCUGGACUGCAAUGUUGAAGAGAAACGGAGAGAGAGGGUCUCCUUGGCGUAGGCCUUUAGCUAAGCAGAAUUCCUCCGUGGGAGACCCAUUAACAAGCACAGACAUUUUUGCCGCUGAUAUGCAUUGCAUAAUCCACCCUCGCCAUCUAUUGCCAAAGCCCAUACUAGCCAUGAUUUCAUUAAUAUAUUCCCAUAACACCGAAUCAAAGGCUUUGUGAAAAUCUAAUUUGAAGAGAUAAGCUUUACCCUUUUUCUUCUUAAUGAAAGAAAGGACCUCAUUUGCAAUCAAGACGCUGUCUAAAAUUUGCCUCCCUUUGAUGAAAGCAUUUUGAUGAUGAGAGAUGACCUCUGGCAUAACAUGUUUCAACCUGGUUGCUAGAAUCUUUGAAAUGAUCUUGUAUAGGCUGCCAACCAAACUAAUAGGUCUGAAAUCUGAUAGCUUGUUAGCACCUUUAAUCUUCGGAAUAAGAGUAACAAAGGUGCUAUUGAUACCAGCAGGGAGGAGAUUAGUCCGAUAGAAGUCAUCAAUCAUCUGGAUAAUAUCCUCACCUAUAAUGUUCCAUGCUUUCUUGAUGAAAAGGAAGUUAAUACCAUCAGGACUUGGAGCUUUAUUUCUAUCACAAUCCCACACAGCUGUUUUAAUCUCUUCUGCAGAAAAUGGCAAUUCAAGAGCAGCAGAGGAUGAAGGCUUCAGCCUUGAGAAUUCCAGGUUUGAACAUGAAGCUCUAGGUCUGUUCUGGUGGGAGUAUAGAUUGCGAAAAAAGUUAAAGACAACUAGCUUCACAUCGAUUGGUUUAGAUAGGAUCUGUCCAUCAACCUCCAGGCAUGCAAGCUGAUUCUUUUUCUGUCUUGUUGUUGCAGCUAAAUGAAAGAAUCGAGUAUUUUUAUCUCCAAGCUUACACCACUGAAUUCUUGAUUUCUGAUGCCAGGCAGACUCUUGAGCUCUAUACAGGAUUUUGAGUCGGGAGGCAAUGGAAUUACUUCUAAUCAGUUCAUUAGCACUCAAGACCCUGCACUCAUUUUCACGAUCCAUUGAGUCAGCUUCAAGUUCCAGUUCGGCAAUUCUGUUAUUCAUGCUUCCUAUAUUAGCUUUACUCCACUGCCGACAUCUCUCUUUCAACAUCUUUAGAGCUGGGACCAUUUUCCUUGUGCCAGAUUUUGAAACCAUGAUUGAACUCCAAAAGCUCUGAAUCAUAUUCCUAAAAUCAGACACAAGCCACCAGCAAUUCAUGAAGCGAAAGGGUUUCGGGCCCCAAUUUGUAGAGUCUAGCAACAGAUGCAGAGGCCUAUGAUCAGAUGAAUAUUUUGAGAGACCAAAUAAGGUAGAUGAUGGGAAAGUCUGCAACCAAUCCCCCGAUACAAAUAUUCUAUCAAUACGGCUCGCCGCAUUACCUCGAGACCAUGUAAAUUUCCUCCCAUUUAAGGGGAGCUCCAUAAGAUUACAAUCAUCAAUGCAAUUUUUGAAUCGUGUCAUGGAAGAUGUUAUUUGUGAGCUGCCUUUCCUAUCUGAUGGGAAUAAGGUUUCAUUAAAAUCACCCGCAAGACACCACGACUUGCUAACACUAUCCCUGAAUGUAACAAGAUAAGUCCACAACUCAUUCUUCAGGUUCCCACCAUUCGGAGCAUAUACAAAAGAGACUAGGCAAUCUAGAUUGGACCGAGUGAAGCUGCCUUCAAUAUGCAAAAUACGGCCAUUCAUAGCAACAGAACAGCUAGAGACACAAAAAAGAUCCGGAUUCCAUAUACAUAAUAUUCCCCCCGAAAGGCCUAAUGAGGGAACUGCAUACCAAGCCCUAGGAUGACGACCCCAUAUAGCAGUAAUAGUGAAAUCAUUCAAAGUUUCCAAUUUUGUUUCCAAAAUACCCAGGAUAUGAAGAUCAAAUUUUCGACCAAGAUUCCUCAAACAUCUCUUUUUUUCUCUCCCCCCUAAGCCACAUACAUUCCAUACAAUUAUACUACCCAUAGGAGUGAUUACAGAGACCAUACCUGCAGACUAUUUACGGAAGCAAAUCACGGCUUCUUCCUUAGGAUCCACUCUUCCUGUUCUCGGUCUAGGAAUCCCUGCAGUGUCUGAGUCAUGAGUGUGCUAUCGUCAUGCCCUUGGAGAAUAGCUUGUCCAACUUCCCAGCAAGCAGUGGCUUCUGCCCUAUUAUCAGAAUGUGCAGGCUCAGUUGCUUCAUCACCAGCAUUGGUGUCGGGUCUGUAUCUUGAACUACUUGCCUCAUCCUCACCAAUCAAUUCCUUACCAGCUUUGAUAAUAGCAUUUAUGUUCUUUAUCCCAUUAUCAGAAACUGAGUAUUCAACAAUUACGGUCUCUGAUUGCUUACCGCUUUGUUUUCCCAGUUGACGUGAUUUCCUCCUCCUAAGAGAGUGUGAUCUGCGUCUGAGCUUCGUUGCUUUUUUUCUGUGGGUUUUCCUGUCUCCUACUUCCAGAGCACUAAGCUCAUAUGGAUCAGCAAUAGGAGUGAUGAAGGUUGUAAAAGAUGGCCCAAUGCUCGUUGAUUUCUGCUUUUUCUUACGCCCCAUCUGCUUUAGGAGUCCACUGUCAUAAUUUAUAUGUUGAUUCAGCCCAUCCUUAGCAGUAAAACAAGAAACUUUUUGCAUAGCCACCCCUCUGCAUGCAACUGAAUCCACCUCAACAUAUACGUAAGGUACCAAGGCUAACUGGUUAUCGCCUUCGUACGUACUCUCAUCAAAUAAAACCGCAUGUUUGCAGAUUUCAGUAAUUUCUGGGUAAAGGUACCACGGUGAAACUUCAGACGUGGUGAGUGUGCUAGCAAGCUGAGUUUGGGUGCCCAACAAACCAGUGAAUUCGGAUUCAAAUUCGGGUCUUUGUUUUGUCUCUUUGUGAGUCGUUGCAGCUUUAUUAGUUUCCUCAAAAAAAUCAUCUUCAUCGUCAUCGGAUAGCACAGAUGUUGAGCACAAUGAUACAUCCAUGGAGUGUUUGACUGUUGUGAGAGAGGGGAUAAACUCACCUUUGAUUUCUUUCAAACUGACCUCAACCUGCACUCCAUCAAGCUGGAGCAACACUUGAUCAUGUAAAGGUUCCAGCUUUGUGGUUCGAAUAAGAACCCUAAUACCUGAUAUGGACCCCUGACUAACACAAGAAGUGUCGUAUCCUACAAUAUUUCCCCAGUUCUGAAGCAAAAUAUUGAUACAGUUUCUGUUCCACCCUUCCAUUGGCAAACCAAAUAUGGAGAUCCAAGCAAAUCUGUCAGAUGCUCUAGUCCUUGUUUCCCACUGUCUGAGAUUGCUGAAUAGAGAAUGCAGCACAGAUACUUUAUUCCUUUGUUCUUGCACUGAGGCUAACUGAUCCACAUAGGUAAUAAUCACCUGGCUAGCUCCCAAAAAACGAAAGCUCACAGCUUUGACACUUGAUUUUAAAACCGUUGCCUCCAGUGUUGCUACAUCCACAUUUGGCAAGAUAUUUCCCACUAAGCUCCUAUGCAGAUUUUUCAUACCAUGAAAAAUUGGGGCAGAUUUUUCAUACCAUGAAAAAUUGGUCGUAAUAAGAACCUUUUUUUUUUCCUGGUCCUGCUCGACUUGGAAAGGGGUCCUUGAGGAUCCAAUUUGGAGUAUCUUGUGGGUUUAGUCAAAAAGGUCAUUCUCAGUCUUCACACUUCAUGCACAAGGAAAGAAUAUGUUUAAUUCGUCAAUCGACUCAUAGCUAACUCUGUAACAAAUGUUUGGGAUGAAGGGAAAAGUAUAGCUUUUUCUAAUUAGAGAAAGAAAUUGCAUAAACUGUGAAUGCUGUAAUUAUUUUCAAAGAACUUAACCAUAAAUCUACCCUUCUUGCAAGGAACAAAGCCUUCUUCUCUAUAUUUUCAAAGAAUGAUAUAAUUAUUAUGGUGAAUCAUGCAUGCAUAUCCAGAAUUUGAUAUUUCUUAAUUGAAUUUUGGAAAAGUCGUAAUACUUGGUAAAGCCUUUGGAUCGAUAGUUUCUCUGAGAUGUGAAUGGAAUUAACAACAUAGAGAAUAAUAAAAAAGAAAAAGCAACAGAAUCAAUCAUCAGAAGUUGUGAGAAUUAUAUCUUUCUUUGAAGAUUUUGAUUUUGACCACAGUGAACCUAUAAGCUUAACUAGAGAGGCUUCUAUGAUUUCUAUAUAUACGGACUAGCUUGGCUUCAAACCAUAUGUACAAGUCAAGCUCAAACUCAGAACCUCGUUAAACUGUUUCUUCUUAUUAUUUUUUAGUGUCAUUUUGCAAAUGGCUCGCCAAGCAGAGCGCCUUUCCAAGAUUGGGUUGGAAGGACUUGCACUAAUAGAUGAGUGGUACGAGUGCCCUAGGAGGUCUUCAACUCCUCAAGAACACCAUCAGCAACGAUAUGACUAUUGUGGAAUCCAAGUUCCCAUGAUGAAAAUGGAUGUUAUCAACAACAAGGAGGCAGCUAAACAUUAUGGUGGGGUGGUGAUUAUGGAUUAUCGAAAGAAAAAGUUACUCUAUUGAGCUCUUUAGUGAUAAUGUAUUGGGCCUUGCUUUGCUUGGUUAAGUUAAUUACCAAGCAUAAUUAAGUCGUUUUUAACUUUAUUGUUUUCUUCUUCUUUUUCCUAUGUUUUAGAGUCAGCUACUCCAAAAGAUGAAAAAGUAUGAGUGCCUUAAAGUGAUUUGCUGCACCUCUUAUUUCUCUAUGAUUUGUUGGGUUUCUUGAAAUACAUGACAUAGUGAAAAUAGUUUUUUCAAGUCUCAUGGAUCUCAUUAAACAACAUAAAUUUAUUUAGGAUUUGUGCGAAAAUUAUAUGAAGAUAGUUCUUCGUCCUAGAAUUUGAUCAACACUUGAAGGCUGUGUUUUCGUAAAUCAAGUCCUUACUUGAUUUUUCUAAAUCUAGAAUUUUAAUCUCAUGUUCUAAUUAUAUUAUAGUUUUCAAUUUCAAAAACUUAUUUACAAUCAAUUUGUUAUUACCUACUUUUGACUCCACGAAAAAUCAAGAAAAGAAAAAAGAAAAAAUAGAAAGAGAAAAUCCAAAAUACAAGAGGAUAUACAUGAAAAAAACCUAAAAGAUUACUCAAGUUGAUGGUGAAGGACCAAAUUACUAGUGGAAAAGUUGGAGGACUAAAAUGUUCAAAACUACUAUAAUUAACAACCCAAUUCUAAUUGACAAGGUUCCUUUUGGUGAAAAUAUUUCUAUUAGGGUAAAGAAAUACAAAUUUGGAUAGGUAAGGACUUAAUGAGAAUUUUGCAAGGCUUAAUUAAUUUUAUUGAGGACUUGAUUACUGGGAAAAUCAGUUUUUAGAGUUAAUUUAGGUGUUAAUUGAAAUAAAUUAAAGUUCAGAGACUUAAUUGGUUUUUUAGGAGGUUUAAUUGGAUGAAUCAAGGGCUUAAUUGUUAGAAUAUUAAAGUUUGGUAUGCAAUUAGGAACUUGAUUGAAGAAUUCUAAAACCAAGAACAAAACUGAAAAAAAAACGCAUGAAGUGGUAUCAGAAUCUAUUAUCCUUUUAUUAUUAACAAAACGGAAGCCAUAACUUACUGUUUAUACUGUAAUAUUAGGAUCUUCUCUGCCUUCUCCUCUCCAAAGGCCAUUGAGAGGUACAAUGUCCAGAAUGCAUCUAAGGAUAACCAUAUGUCCAUAUCCAUAAGAUCUCAAUGGAUUGCCUCUCACUACAGAAUCGCCUCUCACUACAGAAUCGAGCACAUCUUUAAGCUAGAAUAAAGUGCCUUCACUUAUUAUUUAGCAUUAUUGCGCAGGACAAGUCUUCACUGCUUAUUUCCUUAACAGUUUUGUCACUAUAAAAAAUUCAAUGAAUACAAACGGAUUUGCUGAUUGAAUUUUUCUAUCGGUAUUUUAUGGUGUUAUUUACCAACCAAAUUUUUUCCCUUGCUAAAAGGAUAAUGUCCAGAACGCUUCUAAGGAUAACCAUAUAUGCAUAUCUAUAAGAUCUCAAUGGAUUGCCUCUUACCAUAGAAUUGUAAAUAAUGAAGACUAUUUUACAAGGUUUUUAUCCUACAUUUGAAAAAACACAACUUAUUUCUUGUAAACAUAGAGUCUAUAUAAGGUUUUAUAUUACACAUUGAAAAAAUAAAAUAUUUAUCUAGUAUUUAUAUAGUAAACUUUGAUACGUGAUAGUAACCAAAACAAAAGGGGUAGUGGGCUUGCGUGUAUAAAGUUGAGCCGAGCAGGAGAAAAACCUCUGAUUACUCUCCGACGUGUGAGGCAAUGCCUUUCUGAACCUUUUGUCUCUAGCAAUAAUUUGUUUUUGGCUCUUAAAUUGAAACCACAAUUUUUUUAAAACUUAGAAUUAAUUUUCUAUUAGUCACAAAAUCCUAACAACUCUUUUAUUUUAAAACGUUUUUAACAUUUACAAUUCUUUAACUUCCUAACAGCUCUUUUAUUUUUUUGAAUUGUUGUAAAAACUCUUUAAUUUUCUAAUUUAUUUUCUGCCUAGUUGUUCCAUUUUAACAACCUAUAUAUGUCAUGCACUCUUACAAUCAUAGUGUGCUGAAAAAACCAUAGUAUUUUUCUGUGUUUGCAAAACUUGCUGGCAUUUCCUUUCGAUCUUGGUCUAGCUGUUUCCGUAACCCUUGUUUUAGAAAAAAUCUUGUUGAAAUCUGGAAUAUAACCUUGUGUUGAGAAAAUAUAUUUAAGGACAAUGUUUGUGCAUGCCUCAAGUUUUAUUUUAUUUCUAUUCUUCAUCUUAUUUUAUUACAACAUCCAGCACAUCCUUAAGUAAAUAAAGAAAGCUAGAAUAAAGUGGCCUCAGUGAUUAUUUAGCAUUAUUAAGUAGGCCAAGUACUCUUCACUGCUUAUUUCCUAUUAGUUCUGUAUUGUGGAAUUGCACUUACAAAUAAAGAACUUGUUCUUGAUAUUUUCGUACAGAAUUUCUCUCUCGAAUAGUCGGUCAAUAAAGUCACUUCGUUUAUUCGGAUUUGAGGCCGGCCAUGAGAUGGAGAGGUUGUGUCACAUUAAUUAUGUCAUGUUACUUAGGUUAACUAGAAUAAGAAAUAAAGAUAUAGGUUUUGGAAAGAAUAAAGAUCAGUUAAAGAAGGAAAAAAAAAAAGAAUAGAAAAAAAGAUUAUCAAAAAAAGAAUCAGAUUCACCAUUAAACUAAAGAGUCUCAUCGAUUCUACGAAACUUGUCGGAAGGAAUCAUUUGUUCAAUAAUUGAAUGCGAUUUUUGCUUUAUAUAUAUUUUAGGAACUUUGCACUAGAAAGGGAACAUUUGUGCCACCAAGUACUAACACUAGAAAGGGAACCUUUUUUUCCCAGUGUUAAUAGAUACUUUUUUUUAUAUAUUUUUGACAUUUCUCUUCUUGAUUUUUCUUAUUAAAGCAUGUUUGUUUUUGCAUUUCAAAAAUGCUUUGAAAACAUUUUGAAAAUUUUUAAUCGUUUUCUUUACUUCAAAUUUUAGGGGAGACUUUUGAUAAUAUUUUCAACAUUGUAGCCGACUUUUGGUUGCUCAAUCUUGGUUCUUGAUUGAACUUUCAACUCUUCAAAGAAUUGACCAUUCUUUGUUGUGAAUUUAUACUUCUUUUGCUCGUCUCCAGGUGUAGGCGUUGUGAUCGAGUUGGUUUAUAGUCUUGUUGCCUUGGAGCAAGUCUUUUAUUGUGAUAAGCUCAUUCAAAUCUCAACAAACUUGGGUUAGAUUGAUCUUGGGGUCGCGUAUACCAUUAAAUUCCGCUAGGGUUUGCUUCACUAGACCUUCUCUUGGAUCUAGACUUGUCAUACUAGUCUAUAAAUAUAUAUAUUAGAACAUCCAUAUAAUCUGUCUAGAGCAGAUACUCAUCUAAUUAUGGCAGACCCACAUAUGACAGCUCAGAAUCACCUGUUAUCGCAAACCCAAUUACAUCAUUAAUGGUUUUUCAAGGUAAGUCAUGAGGAAUUUGAAGCAUAUAAAACGAUAUAACUUGUCCCAAUAUCAUAAAAAUGUUAAAAAAAUGUGAGUAUAUGAACCCAUGAAGCGGGAUCAGAAUCUGUUUUCCUAUUGUUAUUAACAAUACGGAAAGCCAUAACUAACUGUUUGUACUAUAAUAUUGGGAGUGAGAGGUACAAUGUCCAGAAUGCUUCUAAGGAUAACCAUAUCCAUAAGAUCUCAAUGGAUUGCCCCUUACUACAGAAUCUAGCACAUCCUUAAGUAAAUAAAGAAAGCUAGAAUAAAGUGCCUUCACUGAUUAUUUAGCAUUAUUGAGCAGGCCAAGUCUUCACUGCUUAUUUCCUAUUAGUUCUGUAUUGUGGAAUUGCACUUACAAAUAAAGAACUUGUUCUUGAUAUUUUCGUACAGAAUUUCUCUCUCGAUUAGUCGGUCAAUAAAGUAACUUCGUUUAUUCGGAUUAAUUUGAGGCCGGCCAUGAGAUGGAGAGGUUUUGUUAUAUGGAAUCAGAUUCACCAUUAAACUAAAGAGUCGGAAUUAAGGAAUCAUUUGUUCACUAAUUGAAUGCGAUUUUUGUCUUAUAUAUAAUUUAGGAACUUUGCACUCGAAAGGGAACAUUUGUGCCACCAAGUACUAACAAUAACUGUCCAUAGUUUUGCAUGCAUAGACCCUUUUUUCCCGGUGUUAAUAGAUAUUUUCGGACCAACUUGAAAGCAAUUAUUAGAGAUAUCAAUUCAAUCUGAAUUCAAUAUGCAUACAUAUAUAUUACUUUUUUUUUAUUUUAUAUUAAAUAAUAAAUAAUGUUUAGGAAAUAAAAAUCUAAAUGGAUCGAUGAAUAUAAUAUUAGUUUCUAAAUGAUACAACAUAGCUAGAAGAAACUGGAGGUUAUGAUUGGUUAGAAGGGACCUGAUAUAGCUAAAUGAGGGUCAAACCACCAACAAAUUACGUAGAUGACUUAACAUUUACUUUUAUGGUUUAAUAAAAUAGGAAUAGGUUCAAGAAAAGAUAUAUUCAUGUCAAACUAAUAAAGUAUCUAAAACAAGUCAUAGCUUUUUAUCCGACCAUUAGAUAAAUCUCAAAUUUUUACUUAGAUUCCCUAAGCCCAUCUCUAUGGAGGAGCUCUUUGGCAAUCCAUCCUCUAAAUGGAUUUCCUCAAAUUAAAAUGAGAAGAUCCGGCUCAAGCCAAUUUUGUUGUUGUUUUUUUUUUUCUUCAAAAUUUUAUGUUUUAUUUCGGAUUUUCCAUUAUUUUUCAAAUUAAAGAAACCGAGAUAAAAUACCCUGAAUCUUCUUUCAUAAUUUGCUUCCGAUAAGGUGUAGUGUUUUUGCUACUUUUACUUUUGGACCUGACUUGUUUCCUGACCGGUAGAAAUAGCAUUGGUCCAAAAGCACUAGUCCAAAAGCAGGGAAGCUUUUGUUUUCUUUAAUCACAUGAUCCGAUAUUCUCAUUUAUGCCCAACACAAAUUCAUAGAUGUGGCUCUAAUGAUUGGCUGACAACAGUUGUUAAUGAGCAGUGUUUGCGUCCCUUAUUUUUCAGUUUACUAAGUAUUUAGAACAUUCAAUUCCAAUCCAAAGUCGAUAAUAAUAAACUCUUGGUGAUCGGUUUUGUCAUCGAUGGUGAUCGGACGACAAAAAAACAUCCCGGUUUUGUCAUCAAUUAUCGGUUUCCAAUCCAAAGUCGGUUUUUUAUAAAGUUUUCUUAUAUAAAAAGUUUAUUAAGCAUUGAAAACAUCCAAAUCUAACAGUAAAAUUAAUAAACUUUUGAUGAUAAUCUUUUUUUCAUUUUGUGAUGCUUUUAUCGUCAGUAGUGAUAAGAUGAAGAAAAGCUAUUGAUUUUUCUCUCUGCAAUGGUUACUUUUAUCGUACACAAAUGUUGGGUGCUUUUAUUUACAAAAAGGAUCACUGCCUAACAAUAUUCAUUUCACAGCUGUUGUCAACCAAACCUUCCCGAUCUAUAUAAAGGUUGGCUUGGCCUCACACAUAUUAGCCAAGCAAGUAAACCAGCUCGACCUAUAUACAGCUACUUGUCUUGUGUAUUGACUGACAAAUUGUAGUUAACAUGGCACGUCAGGCAGACCGUCUUGCUAAGAUUGGGCUAGAGGGCUUUGCAGCCAUAGAUGAGCACUUCGGCCGGGCCAAGAGGCGGCCACCAGUGCUGAAGGUUCCCUAUGCUCAUCCGACAUAUUACUAUGCAAACCAAAUUCCUGCAACAGAAGUUAUCGACAACAACGAGGCAGCUCAACGCUACAAGGGGAGGGUUUAUCUCAAUUAUCCUAAGGGGAAACCAGUUCCGUUUUAAAGACCUAGUGAUUAAUCACUUAGCUUUCUUGUAUGCAUAACCUCCUCUAGUUGUGUUACCUUUAGUCCUGUACGAUAUUCUCCCUCUGCUAAACGUAGACGAGGAGAGGUUGCUAGAACUCGAGUCCGGAGCUUCUUCUUGCUUCAUCAAAUAAAAUUUCUGUGAUUUAUAUAUUAUAAUUUUCUAUUUGGCUGGUCAAGUAUGCAUUGUCAUAAAUAUCACUCUGCUUCCCUGAUUAUUACCUUAUUCACCUAUUACUUAGCAUGAAAUAUUGAAAGAUUAAUGCAGUCGGAAGCACAACAAUAUAGCUGCAAGCAUAGAAAGACAAAAGAUAAACUGAAAUAAUGUUAAAACACUGAGAAUCCUAAAACCUUAUUUCUAAAAUAUUAAUUUGAUUAAGUUUACCUUCUAAAGAGGUUUACAAUCUCUUUCAUAGACUAGAAAAAUAGGCCAAGAUUCGAAACAAAAUCAGAAUCCCAAAACAUAACGGAAAAUAACAUAAAAUUUAAAAAUAAACAAUAAAUCUGCGAAAAUUAAGGAAAAUAACAAAAUUAUCCCAAAUAAUAACUAAUUAGCCUACUUUAUGGAGAUACAAUGCUCUGAUAACUAUUGAGUGGUUUUUAAUGGGAAAACGGUUUGUAGAAUCUUCUAUAAAAAUUUAAACCUGAUUUAACGGUUAGAAUAUCUCCUGUUAUCAUUAUUUUAGGCUAUUAUUCUAGUCUUGCGAGAUCAUGCUUUCUCUUGGCCUAAACAUCUUUCACUAGUACAUGAACAUAUCUGUUAGUAGUCCGUUUAGGGCAAACAAAUAAUUAAUUUGCUGUUCAAAUGCUUUGAAGCUCUUCAAGGUGUGAUUUCACUGAAUAAUUUCGAGUUUAGAAUUAUCACCUCAUUUUAGAAUUGUCCCGAGCACAAGGAUAAAAUGAUGAGCCAUGGGAAGCGUCUCCGAUAAAGAAAUAAUAAACGGAGUUCAAGGUAAAACAAUAGCUUAGAAAAAAAAAGAGUAGAAAUUUACACGAUAUCUAAGAAUAUCAGCGAUCAUGACCAUGAUUGGAUCAUUUCUGAGUUCUACAACCAAAAUUUCCUUCACAUCUCUUUAACUAAGCUGAUAGUCCAUGAAGAUUUAAGGAAAAACAUGAUUCCCAAUCCGAGCCAUAUGAGCAAGUGUAUCUAGUAAAAAUAUCUUAUCUCCCAUGAAAAUGAUAUUAGUAAGCCUCCCUCUGAAGCAUUGCUUUACACAUAUCUUUUACAGAAAAAAGAGAAAAAUGGGAAAUGCUCCGAGUUAUACCUUUUCUUGAUCUUUCCCAAUCCUUCAUUAUAAAUGGGACCCAUCAAAAACAUGAGAUGUGCUUUAACUUCCUCCAUAUUUCAUCUUAGCCUAGAAGGAUAAACAAGAAUAUUAUUGCUUCUGAAACAUAACGAUUGCAAGCAUCGCCUUUCGGUGAACUUUAGAUGACAUGAAACUGCCACAAAUUGGGUCCUAUCCGAGAGAGUUUUCUUUUUCUGCUCUGUUAUCACACAUAUACAACUGAAAUCUUUAAGUCCUCUUUAGGGUAUCCCUGAAAGAAAAUGAUCUAUCAUGCAUGGAAAGUCCUGAGGAAUCUGAGGCAUCACUACAUGAAAUUCAACCAACGGAAUUGCCGACAAACUGUUUCUUUCGGUAUUUUGCGGUGAUAUUUACCGACCGAAUUACUUCCCUUGCUAAAACCGUCGGUAUAUACCGACAGAAACAUUUCGUCGGUAUAUAUCGAGUGAAUCCCAGAUAGAAUAUAAAGAAUUUUAAAAAACAAAGCAGUGCAAUGACGUGGAAGUUUUUGUGGAUGAUGUUACUGACGGAAUUACAGAGUGAUUCAAACUGGGAUGUUCGUACAGUGACGUGUUUACUUCACCGACAGAAUGGCCGAUGGAUUUACAAACAGAAAUAUUAUGUCGGUAAUUCCAUCGGUAAUAGUUAAUAUAUUGAAUGUUUUUUUAGUGUUUACUUGUUUUAUUAUUUUUCUCAAACAAACUUGUAGUAUGGAUUUAUAAUUUUGUACUUGGUAUGGUUUGUUUUAGAUUUUGUAAAAUUAUAUUUGUUUGUAAAUUGUUGAAAUUUAUGUCGAAUUACCGACUUAGGUGUGUUGUGAUGAAAUAAAUAAUGACUUGUUUGAUGGGUCCGUUUUAAUUUUUGUCAAUUUUAUUGCCGAGUUGUAAUUUCUGUAAAUUAAUGUGUAUAAAUUUGUAUGGACGUAGAUAAUUGAUAAUGGAUAUUUAAGAGAAGUUUGAAAGUAAGUUGGAAAUCUUGAGCUAAACCAAUAUUUUUGCAAAUUUAUUUGCUUAACGUAGUUAAUUAAUACAUGUUGUCAUCAUUAUUUUAUAGAGGUUUGAUAGAAGUCAUGGAUGAUCAUUCAUGAAUGUAUCGAGAUUCACCUUAAGAAUUGCGGAUGAUGGAUUAUUAUAAUAGGAUUCAGAGUUUUAUUAAUUUCGCAACAUCUAUUUCGAGAAAUUUUAGUGGAGACGGUAUUAAGUGUCCAUACAGGAGGUGUAAAAAUAAAAAGUUUUUGCAUCCAGAUGUUGUAACGAUGUAUCUUCUACACAAAGGGUUCAUGGAGGAUUACUUGUGUUGGUAUGCACACAAAGAAUUAUUUGUUCGUAACAAGAGCAUGGUAGAAAGGAUGGUUGGGUCAACUUCUAGUGCUAGCAAUGUGCAUGGAGUUGUAAAUGACAAUAGUAAUCCUUACAGGAAUAUGGUUAUGGAUUCAAUGAGAAUGAAUCAAGGUAAUGCUAGUCAAUGUCCAAUUGUAGAAGAAGAACCUAAUGCAGACGCGGCCAUGUUUUUUGAUUUGUUGAAAGAUUCUGAUGAACCAUUAUGGGAUGGCUGCACAAAUCACUGUAAAUAAUCGGUCGUUGCACAUGUGUUCACUAUCAAGUUGGAUUAUGGGUUGAGUGAGGCCGGUUAUGACAAAAUUAUCGAAUGGGCAAGAAGCAUUCUACUUGAAGGGAACAAGCUGAAAGAGAACUUCUAUGCUACUAAGUCCAUGAUGAAACCCCUCGGUUUAGGAUACUAGAAAAUUGACAUGUGUCCAAACUUUUGCAUGAUGUACUACCUUGAAAAUGCUGAGCUAACCGAGUGCAUGGCAUGAGAGCAUUCCCGUUACAAACCCAGAACUGGCAUGAGAAAGACUCUUAUGGCAUAUAAAAAACUUAGAUACUUCCCAAUCACGCCUAGACUGUAGAGGUUAUUCAUGUCACCAAAGACUACUGAGCACAUGAUAUAGCACCAAUCACUUGAUGCAGUGGAUGGAGUGAUGGUGCAUCCUUCUGACGGUGAAGCAUGGAAACACUGUAACAGUGUGCAUUCUCAUUUUUCAGCUGAAUCAAGGAACGUGCAUCUUGGGUUAUGUACAGAUGAAUUCAACCCAUUCAGGUCAUUUGUUGAUCCUUAUUCUUGUUGGCCGAUUAUACUCACGGUUUACAACUUACCACUCUUAUGGCAACAGUUGCUCCUUCUUCACAAUACUUAUGGAACAAAGACUUGUUAAGUGCUUGACUAACGGACUGUUUUUCUCAAAGCUUUUAGUUUGGUUGACCUGAAACUUUGUUUUCGUAGCAAUCCCCAUCAACGGAAACUACGAUCAAAUUGUGUACAAUUUGGUUAUCUUGAAAUCGCAAUCUAGUGAUUUGCUUAAUCCAAAACCAAAAUCAAUGCCAAAGUUCGGUCAACCUGAGAUCCCAAUUUGGCGAUCCGCUUUAACUAGAACUAAAAUAUGAAAAGUAGCUCGGUAACCUGAAAUCCCAAUCCUGCGAUUCACUUUAACCAGAACCUUGGUCUUUGUCGUUAAGUUGGUCAAUCUAAAAUCCCAAUACGACGAUUCUCUUUAAUAAGAACCAAAAUGUCGCCUUUAGCUUAGUUAAUCUAAAAUCUCAAUCUAGAGACCCCCUUUAACCAAAACCUUGGUCUUUAUCCUUAGCUCGGUCAACCUGAGAUCCCAAUCUAGUGAUUUCCUUUAACCAAAACCAAAAUGUCACCUUAAGCUUGGUUAACCUGAAAUCUCAAUCUACAGAUCCCCUUUAAUCAGAACCUUGAUCUUUGUCUUUAGCUCAGUCAACUUGAGAUCCUAAUCUAGCUAUUCCCUUUAAUUAGAACAAAAAUGUCACCUUCAGCAUGGUUAACCUGAAAUCUCAAUCUAGAGACCCCCUUUAACCAGAACCUUGGUCUUUGUCUUCAGUUCGGCAAACCUAAAAUCCCAAUCUGAUGAUUCGUUUUAACCAGAACCAAAAUGUUGCCUUAAGCUUGGUUAACCUAAAAUCUUAAUAUAGAGACCCCCUUUAACUAAAACCCUGGUCUUUGUCUUUAGCUCAUUCAACCUGAGAUCCCAAUCCGACAAUCCUAUUUAACUAGAACCAAAAUGUUUCUUUCAGUUUGGUUAACCUGAAAUCUCAAUCGAGUGACUCCCUUUAAUCAAGCGAUUCCCUUUAACUAAAACCAAAAUGUUGCCUUCAACUCGGUUAACCUAAAAUCUCAAUUUAGAGACCCCUCUUUAACUAGAACCUUAGUCUUUUUUUUUUAGCUCGGUCAACUUGAGAUCCCAAUCUUAUGAUCCCAUUUAACAAGAACCAAAAUAUUGCCUUCAACUCGGUUAACCUAAAAUCUCAAUUUAGGGAACUCUCUUUAACUAGAACCUUAGUCUUUUUCUUUAGCUCGGUCAACUUGAGAUUCCAAUCCUACGAAUCUUGAAACAUCAUCCCCUUCUUAGUCCUACUUUGAUUUGCCAAAAAAAUGGAAAAGAAUGAAUGAUAUGGUGGAGAACUAGACCGGUCUUUACCAUUGGCUAGAACCAACCAUAGGCUGCUUAGAAAGCAACCUUCAACACCUAAAAACAAACCACCACAUAACAACCCUGCAAUUAUCAACAACAACAUCUAGUUCUAGCUACCUAGUCUAUGUCAAAGAAUAGAAUCUGAGGCAACUUUUUGACCAAAAUUCCAUUCUCUAUUAUUCCUUCAAUAUUGGGGUUUAAUGCAAGCAACUUGUUUAUUCGGAUUUGAGAUGUAAAUAGAUUUUAAUUUUGUUAGGAUGAGGUGGUCAGGUUGCGUCACAUUGAUUAUGUCAUGAAGUUAACUAGAGUAAGAAAUAAAGAUAUCAAGUUUCGGAGAGAAUCAAGAUCAGUUAAAGCAAAAAAAAAAAAAAACAGAUUAUGAAAAUAAAUUGGAAACGAAAAGUUUAGUUAUAAGGAAUUAGAUUCACAAACAAAUUUAAGUCUCAUCAAUUCUAGGAAACAAGUUGGAAGGAAUCAAUUUUACAAAAAUUGACCUUCGCACUAGAGAGAACCUUCGAGCCACUUCAAAUGUACUGAAGGCCAUUUGUUUGCCAUAUGUGCUAAUUAAGAACAUAAUUCUAUUCUUUUGUGAGUUAAUAUUCUGUAAAAUAAGCUUGGAAUAGCUUGCGGGGGCUUGGCUCAGAGAUCAUUGAGUUUUUACUACAAAUUGCCUUUUAAUUUUUUUCCACCUGUAAUUGGAUUCGAUAAGUUUCCCUUUUGUUUACAUAUGAAGAACAAACAUUGCUUGAGGUUAUCCAAUGCCGAGAUCAAGGUCAGAUAAUACUAGCGAACCCCUAAUCAGGAUUAAGAAGCAAAAAAAAUGUUAAGUGCAGCUUAUCCAAUGCCGAGACCAAGGUCAGAUAAUAUCCUGAUUGUGCUUAUUGCCAUUAAUUAGAAACUGCAAUAUCGUCACAUAAUUAAACUGAGAUUAUUCUGAUUAGAGAACAGAAGGAAUCUUCUUUCAUAAUUGGCUUUUGCGAAGGUUUAGUGUUUUUGCUGCUACUGCUUUUGGACCUGACUUGAUUCCUGAUCGGUCGAAAAAGCAUUAGUCCAAAAGCAGGGAAGCUUUUGUUUUCUUUAAUCACAUGAUCAGAUAUUAUAAUUUAUGCCCAACACAAAUUCAUAAAAGUGGCUCUAAGAUUGGCUGACAACAGUUGUUAAUGAGCAGUGUUUGCAUCCCUUAUUUUUCAGUUUACUAAGUAUUUAGAACAUUCAAUUCCAAUCCAAAGUCGAUAAUAAUAAACUCUUGGUAAUGGUUUUGUCAUCGAUGGUGAUCGGACGACAAAAAAACCAGUAAAAUUGUUUUAUAUAAAAAGUUUAUUAAGUAUUGAAAACAUCCAAAUCUAACAUGUUUUACUUUUUUGUGUUUAAAUAUGAUAUUAAUAAACUUUUGAUGAUAUAUAUUUUUUUUCAUUUUGUGAUGCUUUUAUCGUCAGUAGUGAUAAGAUGAAGAAAAGCUAUUGAUUUUUCUCUCAGCAAUGGUUAGUUUUAUCGUACACAAAUGUUGGGUGCUUUUAUUUACAAAAAGGAGUACUGUCUACCAUUAUUCAUUCCACAGCUGUUGUCAACCAAACCUUUCCUUUCUCUAUAAAGGUUGGCUUGGCCUCCUACAUAUUAGCCAAAGCAAGAAAACCAACAAAACCUAUAAACAGCUACUUGUCUUUGUGUGUUGAUUAAUUGUAGUUAACAUGGCACGUCAGGCAGAUCGUCUUGUUAAGAUUGGGCAGGAGGGUUUUGCAGCCAUUGAUGAGCACUUCGGCCGGGCCAAGAGGCGGCCACCAGUGAAGGUUCCCUAUGCUCAUCCCACAUAUUACGAUGUUCCUGCAACAGAAGUUAUCAACAGCAACGAGGCAGCUCAACGCUACAAGGGGAGGGUUUAUGUCGAUUACCCUAAGGGUAAACCAGUUCCGUUUUAAAGACCUAUUGAUUAAUCACUUAGCUUUCUUGUAUGCAUAACCUCCUCCAGUUGUGUUACCUUUAGUCCUGUACGAUAUUCUCCCUCUGCUAAACGUAGACGAGGAGAGGUUGCUAGAACUCGAGUCAGGAGCUUCUUCUUACUUCUUCAAAUAAACUUUCUGUGAUUUAUAUAUCAUUUUCUAUUUGUAUGUAUUGUCAUAAUUAUCUUUCUUACUUCCUCAUUAUCACCUCUUACUUAGCAUGGAAUUGAAAGAUACAAUAUGCUCUUGAAAUGCUUUGAAGCUCUUCAAGGUGUGAUUUCACCGACUAAGUUUGGAACUGUACAGAGCUCAAUGAUGAGCCGUGGGAGGCGUCUCUGAUUGUUGCACUGUAAGCAUGAGUGUACGUAUGAAUAUAACCAGCAGAUCCGCAAACCACAAGUGAUGACAAGCUUCUUAACACUGCUGCAUUUAACAGUUUUACCAACAAAAUGUUUUGUCGGUAUUUACUCUACCAUUCCGUCAGCAUGAAUUUUAUCGACUGAUUUACGGACGGAAACAGUCCAUUGGUAAAUUCCUCUUGUCAGUAAUUUCAUUAAUGUCGGUACAAAAAAACCCGAUGGUUUUACAAAUAGAAAAUGCAAGCCAAUUUUU